ACAUGGCUUGGUAUUAACUUGGUAACUUUAUCAGUGCAAAGAGGCUAAAGAACAAGGCAGUUUUCAGCAGGAUCCGGUCUUGCUAACCUUUAUUGUAGUUAAAAUUAUGUUAAUCAAACACAGGUGUGAGUGUUGGAUACGAGUAUAUGUUAGACAUGAGCAUGGUCAGAUUUUAUAAGUUUUUUCAUGUAUUUGAAAGAUCCUUGGAGGUUAUAUCCCCAUAUUCGUCUGCUAGGCAUGAGUAUUGGACACAGAUACUUCAAAAGAAAUGAAGAGUUGGAGCAGAUAUAGAGUUAAACAACCCUAUCAUUUGAAUCAAGUAAAUACAUGCAAUAGCUUGAUCAUACUUUACAUAUGGACAUAUAUAUAUAAUAAACAUAUAUAUGCAUGCCAAUGAGCAUAUUUGUUUCUGUAUCUCUGAAGUUGAAAGGAAUGUAUAAAAGUGCAUGCAGAUCACUAUUACUGAAAGAAAACAACAUACCUUGUGUAUCCGGAUACGCUCAAUGGAUUCUCUAAGUGAAUCUUCCAUCUGCCUAAGAUGUUCUAUGUUGUCAAUUUUAUCCGGAUUAUUCCAGUAGCUGAAAUCAUUGCAUGAUAACAUAAGAAUUACCCGAAUGACUCCAUAAAGAAAUUAAUCAUGUUUUUGCAGUGAUAAUAUGCACAUGUUACUGUCCAAACUGUAUCGGAAAACACAAACAGUUAAGAAGGAACACAACCAAAAUAAAGAGAUAGACAGGGUACAGAACAACCAAAAAUCAACAUAAUUGCUACCAUCCGAAGGUUAGAGGUGAGCUAUAGAUUGAGAGCAGUUACAGGGUUUGAGUUAAAGCAAAGAUUUGAGCUGAAUAAGGCUUUCAGCAUCAGAGACACUUAUUUUUCACAGAGUGAUGUGAAAAUCAAAAUUUUUAAAUCCAGGUUUAUAUUUUUUCUGCAUGAUGCAACCUUAAAUGGCAAGCAAAUCCCUUGAAUUAUAUUUUUCUCAUUAUAAUAUCCCCACGAUAGUAUAUAGUAACAUUAAAUAUAUUAAUCAAGUUCAUUCCCACUAUAUCUUAAUUCUAUUCAAAUUGGCGACAAACAUGCCACGUAAAAUCCUAAUGCAGAAAAUGCUGAAACUUCCAUAGUGGCAUCAAAAUGCAUCUUGUAUUUUCUAUACUCGGGAAAACAUUAACCUAAACCACCAAACUCAGAAAAAGUGGUUAAUUAGGGCCUAAAAGAUUUGUAUAAAAGAUGUUGCAACGGACAAAGAUUGCAUGUCUUGCAGUAUACAUUAGAGUUUAAGAAUAUAAUUAGCUGUAACACAUAAUUGUAAACAGUAAGACCUCUUCUUAUCUCAUGCAAACAUUUUAUAAACAAGACCAAAAAGAAAAAGCAAUACUUUAACAACCAAAAGCUCCAAAGGUGCACCUCAGUCUCUUAUGUACUUCGUUAAGCCGAGCUUGCAACAUUGAUACUUCAUUAGUCAUUUCCUGAAAGUACCAAAUAUCCAAGAAACUUAAAAAAAAAAAAGAGGAAUAACCAGAAAAUCUAAGAUCAAAUGGGACACACGUAAUGCAGGCAAACUUCAUACCUCAACAGACUGACUGCAGCACCGGUAAAAAAAGAAUGGAAAAAAUAAAAAGAAAAGAAAUUAGAUUCUUCCCAAUAUCUUUCUUAAAUAGAAACACAUUAUCUAGAAGAAAAUGAAAUAAUGGUCACAUACGUUGCACCUAGAAAGUCUUGUAUGUUUAAAUCAUGAUCCAAUUUCUUGAAGGUUUUCUUCAGUGCCUAUAUUCUCAAUAACACGACUCAAAAAUUAGAAUGAUAAAAGUGCAAUAAUGGUUUACUCUUAAGUUGAAGCAGAAGAUAUUGAAGAAAAUGAGUUUCAAGGAGUCUUACUUCAAGGCUCUCCAGCUUCCUGUUGAAGACCAAUGAAAACCAGUUAGCUAAAAUGCCAUUUGAAUACGAACAGAUUAUUCAAGAGGUCAAAAUUCAAAGUGCACACCUUUUUGCCCUUUCUUGUGGUGUUAAUUGUGCAAACUUCGCAAUAACCUCUUCAAUAGUGCUGGGAGAAAAAAAGAAAAAGAAAAGAAAACAAGCACAAAAUAUGAACCCCAUUACCUUACUCUAUUUUCUUCUACAAACAUGGUAUCUUCUUUUAUAUACACAAUAAUGCAUAAAUAUAUGAUUAUUUAGACAACAAUAUAUCUAUGGCUAUUUCAGAAUAGCUUGUUAUGUGCCUGAUGCUGUGUUAUGAGGAAAGCGAAGAAUCACAGUAAUAAUGGUUCUAAUUAAAUAAGAAAAAUCAAAAUACAGCACAAAUUCAGAGAUAAAGAAGGCAAAGAACAUACUUUAUUAAAAUCCUAGUCCACUCUAGCCAAAAAAAUAAAAACAUCUUAGUCCACCAUGUUUACUAAUUAAUCCAACUGAUCAUCACAACUGUCUAAGAAAAAAAAUGAAAGGAUAUCUGUAUCUGUUAAUAUAAAACAUACACAAAUUCUCAAUAUAUAUGUUCUACUUCUUACACUCAUGUUAUAAGUUGUGUUGAUAUGAAAUUGAUUUCUCUAUCAAAGGAAAAUAAAUAGAUAUCAUUAAUUCAGGGGAUGCACAAAAAGUAAUAGCAUUAAUUCAGCAAUCUCUUCUGAAACAUAAACUUAGGCCCUCCAAGAAAUUAAAAUAUGAUUCCAUUCUUCCAAUACCUGCGCUCUCCAUGGAAUAGAGUAGGCUUUCCGGUUGGAGAAAACAUGAGAAGGAUAAUAUGAAUGUCACAUAGUAUUGAUAAUUCCUUAGCUUUCUUCAAGAUUCCAGUUCUUCGUUUGGAAUAUGUAACUUGUCUGUUGCUAUAGCUCUCUAACCUUUUAAUUUUUAGUUUAACCCUUCCCAUUCUGCAAAUUCACAAGAAAAUCUUAGGUCCUUUUCUUAAACCAUAUUUUCAUUCUAAGUAAAAAAUCUCAACAUUUACUCACUUUAACUAAGCAAAAUAAAGCUGUGCAAGUGUUGUUCUCAUUCCAGGCACCAACCUUAAACAACCAUAUGAUCUUCAAUAGAAUUUCAAACACGGAUACUCAAAACUGGAAAAUUAUCUGAAAAUUUAAUAGAAAAAUGUCGAAACAUAAAAAAGAAAAAGCAUUUGUUGACACCCAUCAUCAUGUUCCCUUUUCCACACAAACAGAGCAUAUCUUAUCAAGCGGAAAAAAAAGGUUUUAAGUUGAAUAUGAUUAAAUUUUCAAAAACCCAGAAAGGAAAUAUCAAAAAAUAGAAAAUAAAAUAAAAUAAAAUAAAAAAGAGAGAAAAUUUUUAACCCCAACAGAGAGAACAAAUAUUUUCUCUUAUUGACAAUAAAAAAAAACAAAUAUUUUGUCUUUGUCCCAAAAGGAAACCCAAUUUACAGAAAUGGAGUAUACCCAGAAGAGAAAAUCGUAGAGGAAUAAAAAAACAACAAUAGAUGUGAAGAAUUCAUUGAGAUAGAAAAGGAAAUCAAUCAUACAGUGAAGCUAAAGAGGAAAAAAAUAAAAGAAAAAACAAUGACAGCUUACAAUUUAGAAAGGAGGAGGAGGAGGAGGGGUCAGGCUAUGAUUUCGGUGGAUAAAAACACACUGAAAUUUCGUUUCUUCACGAAGAAGAGGAGAGCUUAGAGACGGUGGAGAGAGCCAGCCAAAUGGACGGUGAAAUGUUCGAUAAAAUGUCUAACAAAAUCUAAACCAGAGGAUUGCAUAGCUUGGGCCGGGUCGGUAAUCUUUUUGUUUUAAAAACACCCGAUUCAUUAUUCAAAAAAUAACAAAAAAUUUUACAAUUAUAUUUAUAUAUUUUUAUUAUAAAUUAAAUAAAAAAUUUAAAUUAUUAAAUAGCAAUUUCGAUCCAUUCAAAUUUUUAAAAAAAAGUUACGUCCCAACUCGAUUUGUGUGUUGUAUAUGAGCCAAGCUUUACCAAAUCGCAUACAAAUGGACACAUGGAGAUGUAUAAUCUAAUAAUAAUAAUAAUAAUAAUAAAUUAUUAAAAGUAUUAAAAAUAAUAUUAUUAUAAUAAUAUUUUAAUUAUAUUUAUAAGUGAAAUUAAUAAAAUUAGUUUAUUACUUUUAAAAUUAAAUUUUAAUAAAAUUUAAUGUAGGAUCAACAUUUACUAUACUUUAUCCAACACCAUAUAAAAUUAAAAAAUAACCCUUGAAUUUUUAUUAGUAAAAUAAAAGAAAGUUAUAAGGUUACUUAUUCAAUAAAAAAAUUAUUAAUAUUUAUAAUGAUUACAAUAAGUGAUAUAAUUAAUUAUAACUUAAAAAUUAUGUUCAAAUUAUUAUAUAAUUAAAAUUAUUUUAUUAGGAUUCAAAAAAUUAUCCCAAAUUUGAAUAAACAAAAAAUUUAUUAUCUUAAACUCUUAUCAUAUAUGUUCUUUUUGAUACAAUGUCUAGAACUACACAUAGUCACUGCACUGACAAUAAUAUUUAUACCAAUCGAGCUAAGAAUCAAUCCGCUUGACUUAGUUAUUAUUUAUUACUAAGCUUUACUUUUAGUUACACUUAUUCUCUAAUCAUUUACUAUUUGACUUAGUUAUUAAUUUAUUAUUAAAUUUUAUUUUCAAAAUUUGAAAUAUUAAAUUACAAAUUUAUCAUAUAUUAAUUUACAAGUUUAUUAUUUUUAAAGAUAUUAAGCAUUUUUUUCCCCUUUUUUUGGAGGGAUCAAAAAGUAAUUUUAUCAUAUAUCAAGUUAUAAUGAUGGGUCAGAUAUGUGUAGAUAUUUUAGUAACUAAUUUUUAAUUAAUGAUGUGUUGAUUAGAAAUUAAGUUAAUAUGCAAAAGUCAUAUGUUAGAGUUAUGAUCCCCAAAUUACACAUAACCUAACUUUUUUAAUAUCUCAUCUUUAAAAAAGAGAGAGUCACAUUCUCUAUAUUACUUGUGUAUUAAUUUGAAAAAUCAAAACUAUAAUAUUUAAAAAUUUUAAGAAAUCGAUGAAUUCAAGUAUAUUUUCACAUUUAAUUUUAUUGUUAAUGUUGACAUAGAUCUUUUAUUUAUUCAAUUUUGUAUAAUAAUUUUACAGUUAUAACAAUAAUAUAAGAAGACUAAGGAUCAAGGCCUUUAUCUAGAGAGGGCCAAACUUAAAGUGCUUGAUAGAUUUUGAACUAAUUUACUGUAAAUCUAAGUGUUUUCUUUUAAGUGAAAGCAAGAUUGAUUUUCUUUUUACGAAGGAUAAGGAACAUUUAUGAAGAUUACUUGUGUUGUCAUGCCUUGCUCUGCUCACUAUAUAAAAUUCCAUUCCUUAUAUAUACAACUAUUAAAAGAGUGACGAUGUAAAAAUGUGUUAUAGAAAUAACUUAUAUGUUUCAUGUUUAUUUGAAGAAUUAUGUAUACUACCUACCAAGCCCCUUUAUUAUAAAUUAGUAUUCUUAUUAAAUGAAUUAAUUUAAUCCUUAUACUAUUAAAAAGAAUUAAAUAAGAUUAAUUUGUAAUAGAUUUAACUCUUAUUGGUUAAAAUUGACAUAAAUUUUUUUUUAUUCAAUUGUAGUCCAACACCAAACAAAAGAUAAGUCUAAAAAAUAUUAACUUUAUUAAAUAGUAAAUGAUAUUUUUUAAAUACUAAAUGUUAACUCUGCUAAUAUGUGACAUUAUUUGAUUCUUUUUUAAUAGUACAGACUCAAUUAAUCCAUUUAAUAGUAGAAGAACUAAUUUGAUCUAAUCCUCUAAUAGAUGGACCUACCAGGUACUUCCACCUUAAAUACUUAUUUACCUUUGAAAAGAUUAGAAAUAUUAUAGUUAAUAGUAAAAAUUAAAUUGAAGCGAGUAGGAUGGGACAGAGAUGAAUACAUCCAAUAUCUAUAAAAGUAGUAAUAAUUUUUAAAUUUAUACAUUAAAUUAUUUAGCGUGGGGUAAAGCAUGCCAAACUAAAGUACUGAUAGAUUAGAUAAUAUUCAUCGUCACCCUCCUCUAUUGUCAUCUCCUAAAAACUCUCCUUUAAUCAAAUCAAAUUUAUAUUAAUAUUAACAUUAUUUGUUCAAUAUUUGAUCUGUAACCUUAAAAUUUUCCAAAUCGUUUGUAUUUUUAAAUAGAUAAUUUAAGUUAUUUGAGUCUAUCCAAUAUAUUUAAUAAAAAAUGUUAUUUUUUUAUUUUUAUUAAAAUUUUAAAAAUUGAUAUUAUUUUUAAUUUUUAAUUAUAAAUUUAUAAUAUUAUAUAUAUUUUAUUGAGAAAAUAUUUGGUAUACUUUUAGUGAGGUUUUAGACUUCAAAUGCAGGGUCAAAGGUUAACAAUUAUCUUAUAAGGGUAUAGUAAAUUAUUUAAAAAAAUAAAUUUAAAAAAAAAACACAAGGCAAAUUUCAAGGCUACUUGCGGAACCUUUUAAGUAGGAGAAAAAUAUGAUUCGGUAUAUUCAAACCCACAUCCUCUUACACUAGUAAUAAUAUCAAUAUCAACCGAGCUAAGAUUCAAUCAAUAUAUUAUCCUUAAUUCUAAAAAUGAGAUACUUGCAAGAUGAAAAUGUAAUAUAGUCAACCCUCUCUAAAGUAGUCCUAUUUGUUUGCUCAAUUUUUACUUGUUAUAAAGAGGUGGUUGUUAUACACAUAAAGUAACAUACUAUUAUAAAGAAAUAAUUAUUAUAAGCUUAACAUAUAAUUCAUAUAGUGAAUUUUUAUCAAUAAAAAAGUGAGAAUUAUGUUUUAAAAAAAAGUGAGGAUCAAAUCAACAAAAUAAAAAGAUAUAUAACAUGUGCAACCAUUUUUGCUCAUCUUUUUAUCAUUUGUUAAUAAAUUUAAGUAAUCAAUUUAUAUAUGUUUAUAGUGUUCCAAAUUUAUAGUAAAAUAUUUAAUUACGAAACUUAAUAAUUUAUUGCAAUGAUAUUUUAAUUUUACUCAUCGAAGGUUAUUUUUAUUUAAUAAAAUACGAUCAUAGAUUUAUUCACAUCAAAUUUAACAUUUUAUUGAAAUAAUAUUUUAAUUAAAAUAACUUUCAUUAUAAUUAAUAGACUUGUUUAUAUGAAAUAAUUAUUUAUUUAAAAUUUUAAUAAAGUGCUGAUUUAAUAAAAAAUGUUGUUCAUAAUAAUACUGUUAUAAGUGAAAAGUUGUUAUAAAAAAGCUAGAUCAUUACUGUGGAAAGGGGCUCACAUCUAACGGUAAAAAAAGGGAAAGUUACUAUUCUGUUUUGAAGGUACAUGUUAUGAAAAUAAAACAAAUUUAUAUAAAACUAGUACAAAUUUUAUUAUCCCUCGAAUGCUGAUUACAGAUUGCUUCACCUAAAAGCAAAAAUUGUAGCAAACCAAAAAGAAGAGGCGGCCGGCAGGUUUUUAAAUCAAAUACCCACCGCCACCGCUGCCAAUUUCUCUGUCUCCGCCUUCGUCAAAAGAGAGCAGAACAGAAAUAAAACAGCAACCACCACCACCACCUUUAAAUUUAAUUUCAAUGACGAGGGCCCAUCUUAAAAUUAAAAGCCUUCUCACCAUUUCAACUACUCUACGAAUUUAAAGGUUUUUUUUUUUUUACUUGAUAUAGAGUUAUAACCUCAUAUUAUGAUUAAUCUAUUCAUUUCGACCACUCUACCCCUAAAAACAUUAAUCUUUUACACCCCGGCUUAAUUCAAACAGUAAUAAGACUGCAAUGCAAUAUUACGAUUAUCAUCACUAUUAUAUUACGGAUUCUGGAGAGUUUAGGGGAACUGUGAGCCGGUGAAGGUUUGGCCAAAGGACCAAUUAGGAGGGACGACAUUGUUAGAGACAAGAGUUCGACCAUCACUGGUGGUGACCUUAAAGGACAGACUUUGUCCAUUAAGGUAAGUGUUGCUCUGCCAGUUUUGGCCCCAGUUCCUCGACAGGGGUUGCCAACCGGUUCUUGAACCUUUUAUGGAAACCGAUACAACAUCGCCUGCACCUCCUACGUUGGUGAUUAGGACUAGGUUGAAGUAUGAAUGUCCAUUGAUUGUGAAUCUUAUGCCUCCUCUCUUCCUGCACGCUACCCUACAAAAACUCCACACAAUACCAAACUCUUAUCUGAAAAACCAAAGAUGAAAGUUUAUCUAUCUCCUCUCUCCUCAUUAUUAUUAUACAAGUUAAUCCAAUUCAGGUAAAAAGGACAAAAAUAUAAUGAAAAAAAUUCAUUUAUUAAUAAAUUCCAAAAUUCAUAAUUUUUUUCGGUUCUUAGUCUUUUAAGAGUUCUAGUCGAUUUCUUAGUUUUUCAGUCGACCAAUCAUUUGAAGUUUUAUCUUUUUUGAAAUAAAUAAAUUAUCAUUAUUAUUAUUGUGAUUGGGAACGUCAGUAAAGGGUGAUAAUACCUUCUAUAAGCUACAGGAACAAUCCCAGCUUUGUAAUGGGCGAUUCGUUGGAAAACAGGUUGAGAGAGAUCAAAAUGAGGCAGAGGAGGGUUGCACCAGCCGCCAGCAUUGUUUGGGAGUGCACUAUUUGGUGGGCAGAAGUUGGUGGCAGUGACCACAAUCGAGCCAGGCAGGCACCACCGUGGGUCAUUCACGCACUUUAUCUCGAAACAAGCUCCACAAGUCAUGCCAUUAUUAAACAGCGCAGUGCUUAAAGCCGCUGUAUUAGUCCCAUACCCUUGGGUGUAUAGGUUCCCAUAUCCACACGCCCCGCCUUCAAAAUUAUCAAAACAAUUGCUUUACACUUCAAAAUUUAACCCCCCCCCCCAAAAGAAAAACAUCAUUGACGAAGUUUGAUUAGUGUGAUACAUCCGACAUCCUUACUUUAAUGUGGACAAGUAAACCAAAAUAAAAUUUUAUCUUAUGAUAAAAUCAACAUCAAAAUUUCACGUUUAUAAUUAAGAAAAAAAAAAUCAUAUCUGAAACGUACCCAUUGUGCCAGAGGCAUCACCACCGCCGUAGAAUGUGGCAUGAGCAUCAACCCAUCCCCCACCAUAUCCAUAAGCAUAGGAGAAAAAAUGAAGAAAAACCAUGGCAAGUAGAGGAAAAAGUGCCAUUUUCGUGGUGAAUUUAUGAAAUGAAACUUGAGAGAUUGGGUGUCCUUUAGGCUUUAGGUAGCUUAGGGAGGAAGAAAUGAAGCAGUGGUAUAAAUUAAAGACAAGUUUUUGUUUUGAGUAAUGAGGGAAGGAGGAGGAGGUGGGGGAAUAUAUAGAAAGGCGACGAGUGGGAACGUCACACCAUCUUGGCUAAUGAGGUGUGGGGGUGGGACCUUUCAAACCGCCAGGUGCAAGCGGUUUCUUCCACCCUGUGGACCCGAACUCAGCUUUCCAUUCAAACCACGUUCUUUUCUGCUUCCCUUGGCUCUUUUAUUACUCUCGACGGUUGAUGCAUUCGAUUUGGGUGAAAUGGAGUUCAUUAUUAUAAGGUUUUAUAUUUAAUGUUGUCAUAACACCAAAGUUGUUAUUCGGGAUGUUUGACUGUGUGUAAUAGGAGGUAAUUUACACAGUGAAGAGUGUGAAACAACGGUUCACAUCGUGAAUGAUGUGGAGAACUAGAAUCAAUAAAAUUAAGGGUUUAAAAAAGUUUGAGUGAAUCUUGAUAGUGUGUUGAUUAUAGUUAUCAUCUCUUUUUGAUGGGGAGUAGAUGGUUGGGUGUGUACUCUAAUUAUUGAGUUCUUUAUUUCAUGGAUGUCAUGAUAGAAUGAUGGAUGGACAUUGUUGGAGUUAGGAGUAACAGCAAAAGGUUAAAAAAAAAAAAAAGUCUUAUUCCCCUAAAAUUAAAAAUUUAAAAUUUAUGAAGUUUUAAAUUAGUGUAUAACAAAAUUAUACUUUUAAUUCUAAAAAUGAUAAAAUUUUAAUUUAAUCUAUUAAAGGUUAUAAAAUAUAAACUAUUAAAGGAAAACGAAAGUGUAAAGUUUUAAAAGUUAUUUUUUUGGUUUAAUCUCUAUUUUUCUUUAAUAUUAUUUUCUUAAUUCUCUCAUUUUAAAUUCAUAUACCUUUUUUAUUAUUAUAAAUAUUGUUGGUAUAACUUAUGAGAUCCUUUAAAAUAUUAUUUGAAUAAAAAAACUUAACAAUACAUGGUAUUUUAUGAUUGAUCUAUACAUUUUAUCAUUUCAAAUAUUAGCACUGUUAAACGAUUUUAUUAUUUGGAUAAACGGUAAAAAAGUUAAAAGAUAUCACAUUAAAAAUAAUAAUAAAUUAGUGAACCAAAUAUCACAUCAUCCCUUGUUUUUAAUUGAAAAAGACACAUUUAGUAAGUAAUUGCUUAGUGGGUGUGACAUUUUUCCCUUAAGAAAAGGGGAUAUGUUUGGGCAGCCUUAUGAUCGACUGAGACUAGGAUAGGAAUGACGACAAGUUAUGUUAAUUUGCAGUUUUUGUCAUAUUCGAAUUUAGGUUUAUAUAAUUACUUUAUAAUUUAAAAUUAUUUAUUAUAUUCGUUGUAUUAUUGAAUUUAAAUAAAUUUAUUUAUGGAUUUUUUACAUUUACUAAAUAUAAGUAAAAAGAAUUUUAAAAUUCCAGCCCAAAUUUAAUUCAAACGAUGAGAAUUUGAACAUUUAAAUAUGUUAUCUGCAAAAUCAAGUGAAUUCCUAUAAUUAAUAUAUGUAUUUGCUUCAAAUCCAAUAUAAAUUGUAAUAAAAAUAUUUAAAUAUAAAUCUCAUUCGACUCUAUAACUAUCCAACAUUAUUUUAAAAAAAUUCAGAUUUAUACAAAUAUUCAUGUCUAUAUUAUCUAUUGUCAUAUCUAAUUUUAGUUUUUGAUAAAAUUUGAUUUUAUAAAAAAUAUCUAAAGUUUUGGGGUUAAUAUACAGUUUUGUCAUUAUACUUUAAGUGAAAAUCCAGUUUACUUCAUUUUAAUUGCUAUUUGUCAUUAUUCUUAUAAAUUAAAGAUAAAUUUAUCAUUAUACUUUAAUUUCAUGUUUAAUUUUGUUGCUUUACUUUUAUUUAGUUGAAUUUUACCAUUAAAGUAUUUGUAUUGAAAUUUGCUAUUCAAUUUUAAUUUAAACUAAUUUGAAAACAAAACUUAAUAAUAAUUUUUAUAUUUUACUUUAAUAUUUAACAACAAUAAGUUAAUUAAUAUACUGAAAUUAAAUAAAAUGGUUAUUUUAUAAAAAUGAACUUGUUUUUUUUUCGAAAUUUUUCAAGUUUUUAUUUCAUUGAAUAGAAAUUUUAAUUUAAUUUAUUAAGUUUUAAUAUUUAUAAGUUAAAUGAUUAAAAUGAAAUUAUUUCAAAUCAUCAAAAUUAAUAUUGAGUGGUAAAAAUUGAAUUAAAAAAGUAAAGUUGAUAGCAAAAUUUAAUAAAAUUUUAAGUUUUGUAGUAUAUUUCAAUCAUAUAAGAGUUGAAUUACAAAUGUACUCGUAUUUUAAAAAUAUAUUGACAAAUAUCAAUGAAAAUAAAGUAUAAUAAUAAAUUUCAAUAUUAUAAAUUUUAUAGUAUAAUGAUAAAUAUAGAGGAGAAAAAACCACCGUACCCUCCUGUUCCAAACCCUAUUUAUAAAAAUAAACAAUAAAGGAAGUUACAAAUAUUAAAAAAGAAAAAAAGAAAAGGAAUAAAGGCUAAAAUUAGAGUCUCACUUGGUAGAUGAUAAAAGAGAAGGAUUGGUGUGUAAAUAAAAAAAAGUAAGAAAAAGUAGGCAAGGAUAAGAAGGUGCAUUGCACUUGGAAUCCCACUGUUUUCAAAGAUGGAGGAUAAACAAAUUUAAGAGAGUAGUGUAAAUGCAAUAAUUUUUUUAGACAUAAAGAAAUUUUUUAUUCUCCAUCUCUAUUUUUUUUACUACUAACAACUUAAUCCAUAUUUAAAAAAGAAGAACAUUUAUUUGUAUGAUUCGGUAGAGGACAUGUCACCAAAUUUGUUCAUUUCUUGACUUCUUUAAUUACAGCCGUUAAUUAGGGAUUUAGACUUUGAACUCCGGUAUCAAGUGUUUCUCAUUUUAUCAAAUAAAUUAAUUUUACUCAUAUUUCAACCCUACCAUUAAUCUCAUUAAUAAUUUUUUUUUUAUGAUGAAUGGUCGAUUUUAUCUCUAUUUAUUUUUUUUCAAACUAAUUUGGGAUCCUGGGCUUUUAAAUUUUAUUUUCACAAAAAUGGUUUUGCUUUAUGGUUUUUUUAAGAUUAUUUUGUAAGGUUUCAAAAAUUCUUUCACAAAUAUUUCUAAAAUAUAUAAAUUUUCAAGUAAAUAAAAAUAAUCAAUAAUUUUUAUAUUAUAUUUUUUGAAAAUUAACUUUCAUAUAAUAUUUUAAGUUGUUUUCCACUAUUUUUAAUAUUAAAAUAUUUAUUUUUACAUUAUAAAAAAUAAAUUUGGUUUAUAUAAUUAUGAAUUUUAACUUAUGAAUCAAAAAUCGUCCAAAUAAAUUCAAAUUAAUUUUUAAUUUUUCGUUGUUUUGUUUAAUUUUAAGAGGAGAUAUGUAUAAGAUAAAAUAGAUAAAAAUAAAAAAAUAUAUAAUAAAAAUAAUAUGUAUGUAUGUAUAACAUAACGAUUCAAUGUCAUUUUACCCACGUAUAAAUAAAAAUCAUUUUAAUAUACUAAAGUUAUUUUUUAAAAAAUACAUAAAAUAGAACAAUUUUAGCAUUUGACCACAUGCUUUAGUUUUGGCUUUGAAGAAAACUGAUAAUCCAAAUGGAAGACGGGUCAAGUUUUAAUUGAAUUCUCAUCAUUUAAUUGAAUGCCAACAAAAUCUGUAAAGGAUGAAGCUGACAGGCAGGGGAAAGGGUGAGGCUGCACAUGGGUGGUGCUGGUAUCGGGGAAAUUAAAAGGUGGUUACAUCGGGAGGACCAAAAUAACCUCUUUCUCAUUUAUUAUUUUAUAUUCUUAAAUUUAUUCAAUCUUCAAAUGCUAACUUACAUCUCAGCUUUCGGGAUCUUUUUUUUUAAAUAACUAAAUUUAAUUCAUUAAUUAUGAAAAUAUUUAAUUUUAUAAUGAGUUGGUGUGAUUUGACAUACUGGCGACACCAUUCCUCAAUUAUGACCUAAUUAUCAUCUUUUUAAAUAUAUAUUUUUUAGGUGUUGUCACGAUAUUAGUAUGUUUUUUUUAAAUACUUGUUAAAUAUAUAAGUAUUUAGGGAGGAAAAAAAUUUAAUGAGUAUUGUCAGUGUGUAAGGCGGCACAAAAGAAAUUUUUAAAAAAAAAUUGAUUUUGUCAAACAGUAAAAGAAAUCAAAAUUUUUUUUAUUUGACGAUGUGUCAAGCGGCACUAAUGGGCCCCCGCAAAGCCUUUAGGCAACACCAAAAGCCUAUAUAUACCUAAUCUUCGGUGCAAAAUAUGUAUAUGUUGAAGUAAAUAAUUUUUUUUUAAAAAUUCCAUUGAAGAGAAAAAGAAAAAAGAGAAAGUUUUGUGAUUAAUAGUAGGGGAUAGAACAAAAAUAUAUAUAUCAAUGUUUAGAAUAAGGGGUGAAGAAUUUUUUUUCUUUGUGCUUGUGUUUUAGGGAGAAAUUGUGAUAGUUUUAAGAUAUGUUUGAUUUUAUGGGAAUCUGGUGGUGCUUAAACACGAACAAAUUUUAUAUGCCGUUUGGGGAGUGCAUCAUCACCUUAGAAUAUGUCACAUUACAACUCGGGUUCCCAAUUGAUAGUUAUGCAGUCACUAAUUCAAAUAAAAAUAGAACUCCCAAUUGAAAGUGGUUAUACGGUGACAGGUUCAAAUUGAUUAAUUGUUAAGAGAACCUAGUUUCAUGGCACUAAAAUAGGAUGCUUUAUUACCUCCAUAAUAAAUUUGAAAUUAUAAUCAAUGAGAAAAUUUAAACUUUGUUUCUUCUCUAGUCAACUCUAAAGCUUAUAUAAGCUCAUAUAAGACUCAUGAAAAAUUUUAAAUGAUAUUAUAUGAUGGAAAUGAUAAAAGUUAAUGAAUGGUUUGAUUUGAAUUAGUGGUGUAAUAUGAUGUGAUGAAAUACAGUAUAAUUGAAUAAAUAUUAAUAUUUAAAGAUGAUGAUGGAUAAAAAUUAAAUUGUGUAUGAAUGGUCAUGGUAAGUUAGUACGUACAUAUAUUGAAUAUUGAAACUUAUAUGAAUAUAAGCAUGUUAUAUUGUAUUGGUCAGUGUUAGAAUAUAAAAUUUGAUAAUGAGAUUUAACAUGAGUUGCAAUUGUAAGAGAUUAUGCAUAGCGGGUUAUGAUCCAGACGGUUGGGAUGAAUUAAUCGACUCGAUUUGGAAUAUAGUAUGCUAACAUGUUAUACUCUUGAACUAGUUUAUGGAACUCAUUUAAAUGAACUUAAGCGGAAUAAAUGAUGUACUUAGUAGUAUGUUUUGAAUAGGUGUAAUUAUUGAGUCUUUUUAUUAACUUAUUUGUUUUGAUAUUGAAUUUGUAGAAAUACCACUGAGUUGAUAACUCAGCAUACAAUUUGUUUUGCAUUGUAGAACGCUUGGAUGAGAGGCGACCUUGCAAUCCUAUUUGUUUAAAUCCAUGCCAUUGAUCCAUUACCAACGUUGGUACAUGGUUAACGAGUUGCAUUAUUUAUUUAAGGAUUUAGGAUUCGAGUUUGGGGUUUAAGACUCUAGUUUGGGGUUCAAUGUUUAGGGUUUAAGGUUCAAGUUCAAGAUUUGAGCUUGAGGUUUAGUGUUAGGUUUGGGGUUAGAUUUUAAUAUCCUGGAUUCUGGAUUUAGGGUUUAGGGUAAAAAAUUACUAAUAUUAUGUAUCAAUGUCAUGAAAAAAUUAGUGAAAUAUUGUUAAAUAAUUGAAAAAGAACGAUGAAUGAUGUGGUGGAAAGGGGUCAUAAAAUAAUUUCUCUUGUUUCAAAUGUCCUUAUUUGAUAAGAUAAGGAUAAACUUAGCAACUUAGAUAUUUGUACUUCUUCAAGUAAUUAAAGAUGAUGCUGACGAGUUUAAAGUGUUAGCUUGAAACGUAUCAAUAUCUCGUUUAGCAAGCUACAGUCAUAGCCCAUAGAUGUCAAACAUACCAACCAACGAACUUUGUUCUAACAUGCUAUGAAAUAUUAGAGUAGUCAUAGUCUCCAACAAUUAUUUUUAGUGCUGUUUCAAGUAGGAUCAUUUGUUUGAUAUUUAGAAUAAUAUACAGUUAAUUAGAGUAAAUUGAUUCAUAAUUGUUUGUUUAUUCUAAUAAUUAGAACAAGUUAGCAUAUUAAAGUGAUCCCUAUGAGAAUGAAUGAUUAAAUUUAAGUGAACUGUUGAAAAAUAUGGAAUGACUCAAAUGUGUUUGAGGAAGUGCUCACUUUUUAAAACAUUACGAUAAACUAGCCUGUCUUCAUAUUUAUGUGAUCGACAAUUUGCUGAACUGGAUUUUUUGGAUCGUGGUGACAUUGUAUAUUGUAUCUAAUCAUUAAUGAAUAUCAUAUCACUUUGAAAACAUGUUUAAAGGAUUGAAUCAUGUCUAUUUAAUCCCGUGAAUCGAGGAAGUUAAAUCAAUUGAAACGAAUGCUUUAUUUAUUACAUUUACUUUUACUUGAAUUAUUUUAUUAUAUCUUUGUUCAUAACAUGGUGGUCAUAUUAGGUGGAUUGGCUGAAAUUGGAGGGUUUGGAAAAAAAAUAUAGAUUCGAAAAAUGAGUUUGAGUAAAAAAAUAAGACCCGUUUAGAAAAUGGGCCGGGUCGGGCCUUGGGUAAGAUUUUUUGGUCAGGGCUCGACCCAGCUUGAAUUUUUAAUUAAAAAAUUCUUGUUGUUUUCCCAUUUUUUGUCUCUAUUUUGUUACUAUUUCAUUAUUAUGUUGCUACUAUUUUGUUUUUAAAAUUUUUGGAUAUUGUACAAUACUUGUUUUAUUGUUAAUUUUGCUACUAUUUUAGAUGCAUUUGCUUGUUAAGUUGCACUUAUCUUGGUGUUAUUUAAAUAUAAAGACUUUUUUAAAUUUAUUUUUAAUUUGUUGGGAAAUAUUUAUUUUAAUAUUUUUAGUGUAUUUGGUGUAUUAUAUUUUUAAAAACUUUUAAAUAAAAAUUAAAUUAAAAAAAUUAAUACAUGUAGGGCCAGACACAAAUUUUAGCAUUUUUAUUUAGAUUGAGUUUGAAAAAAACUAAUAUUUUGAAUUGAGCUCCUAAAUUUUGUUAAGACUUGAUCCGACUCGGCCUAUAGGUAACUCUAAAACCAAAUUUCACAUUAUUUUGAAUGAUUUUCAUUAGUGUGGUUAACAAUUUUACUGGCUUACAUUAUGUUAAAAAUACAAAGAGUUAACUAAAAUAAAAUUUAAGUAAAAAAGAAGAAGUUAUUGCUAAGAGGGGCCGACUAAAUCUGUUGAAUCACUUGAAAUAUCAAAUUCAACAAUCAAGAGUUAAUUUUAUUAGGAACUAUGAUAUAUCAAACUGUUCAAUUAUUAUUUUUAUAUUAAUAAGAAAUAAACGCGUCAUCCAUUUGAAUCCAUAUUUAAUCUUGAAAGUUACAAAUUGAUUAACAUAAUUGUUGAUAUCAGUCUGUCCAAAUCGUUAAGUAGACAUAAAACAAUAACCAUUGUAUUUUAACUUUUUACGACAACAAUUCUAUUAUUUAAAUUCAAAAAUAAAAAAUAAAAUAGUGUUUCAUUCUACUCACAACUCAGAGGUUGAAUAAAUAGAAUGCACUCUUCUAUUUGCUGCUUUAUUCAGAACAACUCAGUAGCUUCGUUCUAGCCUUUAUUCAUUUAUCGCAUUUAUUUCUUUUAAUGGAAGCCAGACGUGAAUGAGAAAAUUGAUUAAACAACAUCCUUAAUUUUUGUCCCCAAUAAAUAUUUGAUUGAUAGCUUAAACAACUAAAACCAUUUUAUUCAUGAAAAAUAAUAUAAAAAUUAUAUAACAUAAAGUAUUAGCACGUUUAUGGUAAAUAACAUAUAAUAUAAACACUAAAUCCAUAACUUACAAGGACUAAUAGCAAAAUUUGACCCAAAUCACUAUCAUUUCCCCAUUUUCGUUUGAUAUAAAGAAAACAUGAUGAACCAAAAGUCUUUUGUCCCCUUCUUCUUUUACUGGUUUUACUUUUAUCUUCACAAAGUGAAGUGAGGCUUCAGCAAACUUUUAUCACUAAUUUAGACCCAACAAUUCAUCUAUUUUAUUCUAUCAUAAGUGUAUUUGAAAUGACUCAUAUUUUAUUUUAAUAUUUUUUAUUAUAUAGAGUUUUUAUUAAUAAAAAUAAAAACAGAAAAUUAAAGGAGUUAGGUGAAAUUGUAUGGGUCUCUCUUACUUUAACCAAUAGUCGAGAGUUUGAUCCUCAUUUUAAAUAUGGAAUAACUUUAAAAUUCGUGGCCAAAGUUACUGAGCUCGCUCUAGUGAAUACAAAACUUGAACCCGUAUCAUUCAAGUAUUAAAUUAAAACUCAUGUCACUAAAAUAAAAUGAUUUUACUAUUAGAUAAUAAUUUAAAAAUUAUAUAGAAAAAGAAACCAUAUUUAUGGUCUGAACUCGGAUUAAACUUAAUCACAAAUCAGCAAACAAUGUAACAUGAAUAAGACAGUGCCGUAAGUAAGAAGCCAAAAUAUAACAUCCAUUGCUUCUUCCUAUUAGUUGUUAUCAUGAUAUCUUAAGGAUUAUGUUUGAAAGAUGACAUUAAAGAUUUCGCUUUCAAAAGGAACUACACAAUCAGGCCCUAACCUUUCCUUAUUUUGUAAUAUUACACAAUAUGUCCCAUGGGAUGGGGCCUAUACCUAUCAAAAGCACCCAUCAUGUAACGGGAAUCGACCUGGUGAACACCUUUAGAUGGGGCCAUGGGGGGGGGGGGGGUCAAAUAGCUGAAGCUCAUUUUGAUUUUGGUGGUGAAAUACUGUGAAUCUGUUCCUGUCCCCAGCUUGAUGGUGAUGGAAUCAAUGUCUUUUUGCUUUACCAUUUCCAAAUUGCUGCCGUAAACUGAAAUGAAAGAAACCUUGCAUGAACAUGAACCAUUAACUUUUUUUUUUAUAUGCAUUUGACAAGAGUUUUAGGAAUUACUUUUCUCCUUGGUUGCUUGUUUUUACUGAAAUAUUAGAUAGGGAUGCGAUAAGGUUUAAUUGUUCAUCCAUCGAAUAGAUAUUUGAUUAAGUUGGGCUUUGAUAUAUAAACUUCAAAUUUACUUCACCAAAAUUCAUACAUAAAACUUGUUUACCCUACUCAUAUAAUUUUCUAAAAACACUUCUUUUAACCAUUGAUAAUUUAUAAUUUUCCUCUUGUCAAAGUUCUUAAAUUUCAACUACUCGACAUCUUUUUAAUAUUUAACUAUUAUAUGAUAUAAAUCAUAUAUAGAAUAGUAUGUACAAAUAGAAGUAAAAAAAUAUUGCAUAAAGAUAUUCUUGAAUGUUAAAAUAAAAACUAUCUAUACUUUUCAUAAAAGAAACAUUAAUUAUAUAAAUUUAUUUUUUUUUUGAGUUCAAAAAUUUUGUCUAGACUCAAAGAGGUAUAAGGUACACAAAUAGAGAUGGAUUAAAUUGGUUUCAAUCAAGUUGUGAAAAGGUAAGAAAUGUAGGUCACAUCAUAGAAUUGGAAUAGGACAAAUUUAGAAGAUGAUUCAGCAUAUGCAUAAAGAUACAAAAGAUUGAGUUUGGUUUAACUCAAUGCGUCAUAAUUAGCUUUGUUGGUCAGUGCUCCAUCAUCCACUUGCCAUUUCCUCAAAUUCCUUUUAUCUCAACCUCUACCAUGUAUGCUAUGAUCCAAACAGAGAUUGUCAUAAAUUAUUCUGGAUACAAAAAUAGGACUAUAGAUAUCUACUUUCAACACUGGAAUAAAAUGUGUUAGAAUUUUUUUUGUUGUUGUUGAAAACUGCUCUCUAAUUCAGUAAUUAUAUUUGCACAUUGAUUUUCCCUCGUGAUAGAUAUGUAAAAGCGAGGCUUUCUCAAAUUUAGAUAUAGGCAACCUACAAUCGUUUACAUGUGCAACAAGAAAAAUAUUGUUAUUCCAAUCAUUUUUAAUAAAUUUAAUCAUUGUUUCACCGUCAAGCUCAAUCUCUAAAUUAGAAAUAUUCAGUUGUAGUGCUAAGGAAAGUCCAUCUUUGGGUGCCCACAACUUAGUCUCAACACUGGUAGCCGAUAGAAUGUGCCUAUACGACACUUAAUUUCCUUUCUCAUUUCUGAUGAUGGCAUCACCUCCACCUUUUUUGAGGUUUCCUAUUGAUGAUUCACCGGUGUUGAGUUUGAAUAAGCUCACUACUGGUGCACACCACUUGACUUGGACCAUCUUAAGCAAAGAUUUAGAUGGCAACCUACCAAACAAAGCAAAAAAUUCUCUUGUUUUGCUCAUAACUUUAUUAAUUAUGUUAAACUACCUUUGGUUACUCCUAAAUACUAUAGAAUUUCUCAACAAUCAUAUUUCCCAAAUAAAAAAGCAAAAAAUAAGAUACAUUUGUAUUCUAUAGACAAUGGUUAACUUGUACUAGUUUUCAAAUGCAAGAAAUAAAGUAUGAGCAAAAGUGAUAGUAGAAGUGGGCACUUCUAUGUGACAUUGUGAUAAAUAAUAGAAAAAAAUGGGACAACAAAUUUUUUAUACAAUUUGAUUUUCCUACAUCUGUGGAGCCUAGCUCAGUGAGAUGAAUUCAUUAUCCUUGAACUUAAUACAACAACUAAUCCUAGUUCUAGUACACCUUAGUGAAGAAUUUUUACUUUUGUACUUUAGGGACUAGACCUCUCACCACUAAAUUUUCCCUUGAGAUCUUACUUUGUAAAACCAACAACAAAAGGUUUUACAAUCUCAAAUGCACCCUUACAAUAAUGUUCUUCAAUGAAUUGAUAAGUGCUCUAAAAGAUACUUAGUACAUAAAUCUAUUCGGGUUUAGGGAUGAUUUGAUGAAAGUUAAUUGUUAAUAUUACAUAGAUUGACUCUAAUAGCCUUCCUUCCAUGAUUGGUCUAUUGGUAAGUUUUAAUUUUCGAUACACCUUCACGUCGUUAGGCUUGUAAACUGUUGAAAAAAGUAUGGUUUGAAAACGGUUGUCUUGCACAACGGAAAAUCAAAAUUUUGAAAAUCAACCCGGGUUGUGAUAUUUAUAGCAAUAAACCCUAGACCGAAAUCGUACCUAUGUUUUCGGAUAGAAGGAUCCUUGUCGUUCCCAGCUUUCAAACAAACUAUUUACUCCACUAUUCUCCUAACUUGAAUUUCUGAGUGUGGGCUCGAUCAAAUCAAAUCAAACACAGAAACUAGAAAUAGUUUUCUUUUCUUUUAGGGUGAAAACGAAAGUUCUCUUCUCAAAAGAGAAACCCACAGAAUCGUCAUUCCGAAAAAAUAUAUUUAAUAAUUGAGAAUAAAUUCUCUCUAUUUUUCUACAUAGUAAUAACAUCUUAAAGUUGUGCUUAAAUAGCCUUAUCGGUGCCAUCUAUUUAUAUGAAGAGGAAGUAGAACCUUUGUUGAAUUGUAGAAGUUUAUUUUCAUUAGAAAAACAACUUCCUACUUAAAGUAGAAGUAGGACAACAUCCCCUAGUAUUCUUACUAGGGUUACCGCCCCUCCAUAUUCCAUGUGCGGAUUUUGGACCUCUCUCACAUUGGGUCAAAUUUCGAAUACUUCCCAAACUUUUCCACCUAAUACUUUGUAAUCUUAUCUAACCAGAUUUUGUUUUUCUAUUUUCCAAUAAACUUUAAUAUUUAUAUUCAAUUAAAUAAUUUUCUCAUUUCAAUUUUACCCCACUAAAAUUAUGAUGAUUUUACUGAGAAACUAUAUUUAAUAUUUUACUAUUUAACUUGUUCACUAUGAUCGAAUGAUUUAUUUUCAUUUUCAAACUUUAAAAUAACUCAAAAACAUAAACUCAUUAUUCUAAUCAUUUCUGAGUAAUCCAUGUUCAUUUGCAAAUAAAUCAUUUCUCAUUUUCAUUUUUCAUUUCCAUUUUGAGAAAACCAUAUUCAUUUCCAAAUGAUUCUAUUUCUCCAUUUCCAAGAAAUCUAUAAUCAUUUCUGAAUGUUUUCCUUUUCUCUAUCUUACCAUUUCUAUUCAUUUGAUUCAUCAUGCAAUUCAUUUCUGGUUUCAAUGAGCUAGCGAAGGGACCAAUUGAACAUAUACAAUUAAGGCUUAAAUGAUUUAUAGCUAAGUUCUAGUUUUUCGCCUAUUAAUUAUAAACUCAUUUAGUUAUGAAGUCAUUCCACUAUAGUAUCAUGACUAAGCUCUCCCCAACGCAUACCAUUACGAAAGGAACUUGAUUAAUACUCGUCCAAUGACCUUGUCAUAAGUGUGUUAUCCUCAUAGGAUAUCCUUAAUCUCUUUGGGAUAAUAUUCAUUCUCACAAUAUGAUCCGAUUUUAUCACAUGGUAAUCGUUACAUAUUCCUUCAUGAAAAGUCAAUUAUUGUUAAAUAGUGAUCAAGUCAUCCAUCACAAAGACAAAUGACCUAUGACCACGUUUACUUUUCAUCAACCAUGUAAUGCUAAUAAAAUGAUAUCAUUUACCCAUGUUUCGGGCAUGAAUUUCACUAUUGUGAAUGACACUACAUACUGGAAAAGUCAUAUACCCAACGCACUAGCUUUCAAUUCCUUAUCUAUUCAAACUCAGACUUUUACUUACAUCAAAUUGUACGAGUCACGCAUACGUAUUUCAUCAUCUACUUAGGAUUUAAGCAUGUCACACUAUGAAUGUCACAAGUGAAUAAAUCCAUAAACAGAUUCAGGAUCUAUUCUAUUUGGAUCUUGUCCGAUGUAUUGUCAUUCCAGUCAGUCACAUCUCUAUCUUCUGGGAGUCAUCCGCUCUGAUGCCCAAGACAAAAUAUCUUCCCGAUUGGACUUGAUAGACGACAUAUUAGUCUUUUAAUCAGUUUGCUCAUUCCCAAUUAGACUAAGGACAUGUUUAGGUUCGCCGACUAAUAUAAGUUGCCUUUCUGUAUUAUGAUCCGACUAUGUAAUACUGCUUAGUAUUAGUUAAAUAUUAAACAACCAAUGAGCAACAUUUGCUUCCAUUUUGCUUUGCAUGCAAAAAACAUGUGAAGACAAUAUACAAAGUAUUAAUGUAAUUCAUGAAUAAUUUUAUUAACCAAUCUUUUUGAAAAAUUACAAGUGUACUUAAACGAAAAUACUAAAUAAUUUCCAUUUUAUGUGAGUUGUGACACUAAUAACAAAUUCUUCUUUAUGUCAAGCACAUGAUACACGUUUUAUAAUUUCACCUUGUGUGGACUGUAACGAGGGAUGUGUUGCAUAUGGUGCCCUAAAUGUAGUAUAUUUGUUUUGUAUACUUGUAUUUUUUGAACAAAUUGGUUUAAUAAAAAUAUUCAUUAAUUACAUUAAUACCAAUUUUAUAUUGUCCUUGAUGUUUUUGCAUGCAAAGCAAAAUGGAAACAAAUAUUGGCUCAUGGUUGUCUAAUGCUUAACUAAUAUUAAACGGUAUUAUGUGGUCAAAUCAUAAUAUGGAAAGACAACUUGUAUUAGUAGAUGAACCUAAAAGUGUCCUUAGUCUAAUCGAAAAUGAGCAAACUGAUUAAAAGACUAAUAUGCCGUCUAUUAAGUCCAAUCAAAUAGAUGUUUUGUCUUAAGCACCAGAGUGGAUGAUUCCUAGAAGAUAGAGACAUAGAUGUGAUUAACUGGAUUGACUGUAAAUCGGACAUGAUCCAAGUAGAAUAGAUCCUAGAUUCAUUUAUGAAUUUAUUCACUUGUGACGUUCAUAGUGUGGCAUACCUUAAUCUUGAGUGGAUGGUGGACAAUAUAUGCGUAGCUCAUACACUUUGAUGUAAGCAAAAGGCUGAGUUCAAAUAGAUAAAGAACUGAAAGCUGGUGGGUUGGGUAUUCGACUUCUACAAUAUGUAGCAACAUUCAUAAUAAAGGAAUUCAUAAUAAAGGAAUUCAGAGCCUAACUAACAAGUAAAUGAUAUCCUCUCAUCGACAUUACAUGAUAAAUGAAAUGUAAACGUAACCACGAGUUGUUUGUCUUUGUGAUAAAUGACUUAAUUACUAUUUAACGAUAAUUGACUUUUCAUGAAGGAAGAUGUAAUAGUUACCAUGAAAUAAAAUAGGAUUAUAUUGGGAGAACAAAUUUACCCUUAAGAGAUUAAAGAUAUCCUAUGAAGGUAACAUACUUAAGAAAAGGUAAUUGGACGAGUACUGAUUAAGUUGCUUUCGUAAUGAUAUAUAAUUAGGGAGAGCUCAAUCACAAUACUAUAGUGGAAUGACUUUGUGAUUAAAUAAGUCUAUAAUUAAUAGGCGAAAAUAUGAAAAUUAAUUAUAAAUUAUUUGAGCCCUAAUUAUAUAUGUUUAAUUGGUCCCUCUACUAAUUCGUUGAAACAAAAAAUGAAUUGCACGUAGAACUAAAUAAACAAAAAUGAAUAAAAAUAAUGAAGUUAGUUAAAUGAGUCGCAAUAAAAAAUAAAUUUGUUUGACUUGGAAAUUAAUUUAAAGUUUUAAAAUUAUUAUAUUAUUUAAUAAAUUAUAACUAAACAAUUGAAGUUCGAAAAUAGAAUUAAAUUAAUUAGUCAUUAUGAACAAGUUGAAUGGGGAAAUUAAAUAUAUUUCUUCAUAGGUUCUUUUACAGUAAAGUUGUCAUUAUGAAUAAGUUAAAUGUGGAAAUUAAAUAUAUUUCUUCAUAGGUUCUUUUACAGUAAAGUUGUCAUGACUUUAACGGAAUUAGAAUUGAGUUGAGAAAAUUAUUUAAUUAGAAAAUUAAUUUAGUUAAUUUAAUUAAUUAAUAUUUAUUUUGGGAAAUAAAAAAAAGUAUUGGGUUGGAUUAAAUUAUAUAGUGUUGGGUAAAAAGUCAAUGAAACACAUAUAAUUGGACAAAAUAAAUAAGAAGUCCAAUAUUAUCUUUCAUGAAUAUGAAGUGGUAGCACACCCUAGUAAAUUACUAGGGUUGCUUCCCACCCCUCUCAGUUAGGUUGGGAGAGGGUUUUUUAUUUAAAUAAUAUCAUUUGUUUAAGCCAUAUUCAAUUAGGAUUCUCCUAUCUCUUCCUAUAAAUAGAUGAAAAUGGUAGAACCAUUUACGCACAAGUUUCAUAAAUUGUUAUUCUGUCAGAAAGUAGUGGAAAUUCAUUUUCUAAGAAUAAAUUCUAUUUUUUAGGAAUUAUAAUUUUCUACCGAUUUCUAUUAAGAGAAUUAAUUUCCUACUAAAAGUAAUUAAAUUGUUUCUUGUUCUGUGUUUGGUUCGUGUUGCUCGAGCUCAUAGUCGAUACAAUUCAGGGUAAGAGGAUAGUAGAGAAGGGCAUUCGGUUGAAAGUCGACAAUGAUACAUAUUCAUCUCGCACAGAGCAAAGAUACUUUUCAAGAAAAAGUUUAUUACGAUAAAUAUCACAAACCGAUUUGAUUUUCAAAAUUAUAAUUUUUCAUUAUGACUAACUAUCAUUUUCUAGAUGGGAUUGUUCCAAUAGGAUACUCAUGGUAUGACCAAUAUAGGAUAUUGGUAGCUUGGAAUCAUUGACAGUAACCACAAUUCUUCAUUUUUUGUACUCUAUUGUGCUCAAUAGCUUCUUUUUAUCUCUAGUCAUAUGAUUAGACCAACGAGAAUCAAUUAUCCAGUCUUCUUGAUAAUUGAUCGAACAAUUCUUUACCAUUGCUUGAGCAUGAUUUGCCAGUGGCUCCUCAAUCUAUGAUGCUGCAAUUUAUUUUCCAACAUCAUCUACUAUUGCACAUGAGGCCUGAAAAUCCCACUCUUCCUCACUAUCAUCUUUUUUAAGAGUAGCAACACUUUCAUUGUUGGAAGUUGCAAUGUUUCCUUGAACUUUUCUUAUCCUACAAUCUCAAGCAAAGUGUUCGAACUUACCGCAAUUAUAACAAUUACCUUACCUCCUGCGGGUAUUUUUUUCCUUUUGAUUAUCUUACUUUGACUAGCUCUCCCUACUUUUGUCUCUUCAUCUAUUUUACUAUCUUUGUUUAUGGCCUUGAGGUACUUGUACUUUCUUCAAGCUUGUCUUACUUUGUUGACUUUAUUCUUGAACAUCUCGUUUUUUACUAAUCAUCGUUUUUCCUUAUUUUUAAUCAAACUUUAGACAUUUGAUUAUCUAAAGCUUCUCGAUUAGACAGUAUGAUUUCCUAUUUGGUAAUCAUUGGUAUGGAAUAUAAUAAGCAUUAAUUGUAAAAGUUAGUUAAGAUAAUUAGUUAGGUUCAGUUGUUAAAUGGUUAGUCAGUUAGCAGUUAGUGAAUGACCUUUUGUAUUAAAUACUAGGCUUAUUCUUCUUUUGCAAUAGUAAAUGAAGUUAGUUUACUUCACAACUAAGAACAUUAACAUGGUUUCAAGAGCCAUGGAUUCUUUGGUAUAAAUUUUUUUUCCUAGUUCCUCAUGUUCAUGGCAACAGACGCCGUCCCAACAGUUGACACGACUCGGCAUUCUACCAAUACUAGUGAAGCAGUCCAUCAGCAUGGUCCUGGCAGCCUUCCUUUAUUCGAUGUUCAUUACUUUUCCAAACAUGAUACUAUUAAACUCAGUGAGCAUAAUUUUCUUUUGUGGAAGCACCAGCUGUUGUUGAUUCUCGAAGGUUAUGGUCUUGAAGGGUUUGUCUUAGGCACCACUCUUCCUCCUUCUUAUUUUCUACUUGGGACCGAUGGUCAACUUGUUGAUAAUCCUGCGUUCAUUGUGCAUAAAAAGCAGGAUAAAUUCUUAGCCUAUUAUCUCUUGUCCACAGUUACGGAUGAAAUCUUAAAGCAUCUAACAGUGGCCAAAACCAGCUUUGACAUUUGGACAACCAUUGACAGAAGGUUUGGUGCCAAGUCCAAUAUCAAGAUCUCGAGUAUGCGCCAUGCAUAAUACUCGAUCAAGAAAACAAAUCUUACCAUCAAAUAUUACAUUUCCAAUGUCAAGAGUAUAAGUGACAGUCUGACUGCAGCUGGUAGCCUAGUUACUGAACAAGAAUAGGUCAGCAUUAUCUUGGAAGGUCUUUUCAUCGAAUUUGAGUCCAUUCGAGUACUUGCUUUUGCCACUCCCAUGAGUCUUAAACCGGUCACUGAAAUGUUUCUUGAUUAUGAAGCACGACAAAUGGCCUUAUUGGUAGAAGUACCUUUGCAAGCUAACUUGGUGUCUCGGUCACAACAAGGUAAUUUCGACAACAUGAAAUCUGGUUCAGAUUCCAAUCGUGGUUCUCAUCAAGGACAUUGAGGUCAAGGUCGUGGGUGGUCCUGCUCUAAACCACAAUGUUAGGUAUGUAGUAAAAUAGGAUACAUGGUGCAAAUGUGUUAUCACAGAUUUGAUGAGAAUUUUUCUGGUCUUGGUUCGAGUCCCUCAAUGUCAAUCAAUUAUCAGCAGCUUAAUGAGUCUCCUACAUCCCAUUUUUCCUUGACUCACUGUUAUGGCUCAUUUUCACAGCCUUCCUCUGCAGCUCCUCACCCGUCCUCUCAAGCUCCAUCUUUCCCCGAUUCUGGUGUAACUAACCACAUCACCCCUACCAUGACUAGUCUUACCAAUGUUUCUCCUUACACAGGUACAAGUCAAGUCUCUAUGGGCAAUGAUGAGUCUGUUUCCAUAGCUAAUUUAGGCUUAUCAACCUUUGUGGUUGGUUCUCAGUUGCUACAUCUAAAAAAAAUACUAUAUGUUCCUACGGUUUGUAAAAAUUUGAUAUUUGUAGGGCAGUUUGCAAGAGAUAAUUCAGUCUAUUUCGAGUUUCAUCCCUUUUUGUGGUUUGUGAAGGAUGUCCUGAUAGGGAGAACUCUACUGGAGGGCCACAUGCAUAAUGGCUUGUAUAGGUUUGACUUCUCUCGAGCUGUUUCACAUAAGCCUGGUCCUGCUCAAAGCGUAGGGUCUCCUCUUUUGUGGAACGUAUAGGCUCCUUCCUCUUUUGAGCUGUGGCACAACAGACUUAGACAUCCCUACCAUAAUACACUUGCUCCUGUUUUGCAUUUUUGUAAUGUGUCUUUCAAGCAUAGCAACUUAGAUUUUAUGUGUACACCUUGUAAAUUGGGCAAAUCUCACAAGUUGCCUUUCAGUACUUCACAAACAGUGUACUGGUUUCCCUAUGAAUUAGUCUAUCAAAUGUUUAGGGACCAACACAUGUGCCCUCAAGUGAUUUCUCUUAUUAUGUUUCCUUUGUUGAUAUGUAUAGCAGACAUACUUGGCUAUAUUUUCUUAAAAACAAGUCUAGGGUUCUUCGUUGUUUCCUUUAUUUCCACAAAAUAGUUCAAGUUCAAUUUGGAAAGUCUAUUAAAAUGCUGCAGAAAGACUGAGGAAGUGAGUAUCGUUCCUUGUCCACUAAGAUCUUUCAACUUGGUAUUCAACAUUAAAUAACUUGUCCUUAUACCUCAAAACAAAAUGGGGUUGUUGAAAUGAGACAUUAACAUAUUGUUGACAUGGGGCUCAUACUACUAGCUAGAGCAUCCAUGCCUUUGGGGUACUGGUCAACUGUUUUUUCUCAUGCAGCUCAUCUGAUCAACAGGUUACCAACGCUUGUUUUGAAAAAUUAAACUCCUUAUAGAGGCUAUAUAAAGCUUAACCUGACUAUUCUAAACUAAAAAUGUUUGAGAGUGCGUUUUCCUUAACUAAGGCCCUUUCAACACCAUAAGCUACAAUUUUAAUCUCUGAAGUGUGUUUUUCUCGGGUUUGUUCUAACCAGAAAGGUUACAAAUGUCUUGCUGAAGGUUGUAUGUUUGUAACUCGUCAUGUCUUAUUUGAUGAAACAUAUUUUCCAUUUCAAGCUGGCUUUACUUUAUCAACAACCUUGGCUCCUGUUAGGUUCCUUCAUCAAAGUUCUCAUGUUCCUAUGGCGAGUCCUCCUUCUCCUGGUUCCUUACAUUCACUUGAAGCUCUCCCUGCCUCAGCUUCAACCCAGCCUCCUUCUAUCAUGUGAUCUCCUAGUUCAUUACCUUCACCUAGGAAUUCUUCUACGAUGGCUAGUUCAUUUGCAUCCGGUGCUCCAGAUGCCAUUCCUGUAAUGUCACCUUCUCCUGUCAACUGUCAUCCUAUGCGCACUAGAUCGAAUAACGGUAUUUCUAAACCAAAACUUUUCUCCUCUACCUUGGAAGAAAAGGAGCAAUCUAACAUUGCUGAGGCCUUUAAAAGUUCUGCCUGGACUGCAACUGCACAAGCAGAAUAUAGUGCCUUAAUGGCUAAUAACACAUGGAACCUUGUACCUCUACUUGCAGGCCAUCGAGCUGUGGGUUGCAAAUGGAUUUUUAAGGUCAAAAGACAUGUAUAUGGAUCAGUAGCUCGAUACAAAGGAUGAUUGGUUAUUAAGGGCUAUCUACAAGAGGCAGGAACCGAUUUUUCAAAGACCUUCAGCCCUGUGGUCAAGCCAACAACGAUCCGAGUAGUGCUGGCCCUUGCUGUUUCUCUAAGGUGGUCCCUUAGACAAGUAAACAUCAACAACGCGUUCUUGAAUGGGGGGACCUGCAUGAGGAGAUUUAUAUGACACAGCCACUAGGAUUUGGGCAACAACAAACUGAUGGUCAACAGCUUGUCUGUAGACUACGAAAAGCUCUUUAUGGCAUUAAACAGGCACCUCGAGCAUGGUUUCAUAAACUGAGGGAGUUUUUGUUGGCUACUAAGUUUGUCGCCUCUAAAGCUGACAAUUCUCUUUUCAUUCGACGAGCAGGAUCCCAGCUACUCUAUGUUUUAGUAUAUGUUGAUGACAUAAUAGUCACUGGCACUAACUUUCUUGGCAUUGAUCAGUUUGUCAAAAACCUUGAUGUUCACUUUUCUUUGAAAGACUUGGGCCAGUUGUGUUAUUUUCUUGGAAUUGAAGUAACUCAUACUCUGAAUGGUGUUUUCUUGAGUCAGAAGAAAUACAUCUUGGACUUGCUUCAACGAGCUUUCAUGGAUAGGUCAAAAGCUUCUCCUACCCCAAUGAUGACCACUUGUCAAUUGUCAGCUCAUGAAGGAAGCCUGAUUGAGGAUGAACACUUAUUCAGAAGUAUUGUGGGUGCCUUAUAAUAUGUGGUAAUAACGAGGUCAGACGUUGCCUUUUCUGUGAACAAGGCUUGUCAAUUUAUGCACAAACCCUUGGAUACACAUUUCAAAGUUGUUAAACGGAUUCUAAGGUACUUGCAAGGGACGCUAGAUUAUGGGUUACAGUUUACCCGAACAUCAAAGUUCCUUCUUGAAGGCUAUUCCGAUGCAAGUUGGGGAUCGGACACUGAUGAUCACUAGUCAACCUCAGGGUUGUGUCUUUCUUGGAGGAAAUCCAAUUUCAUAGAGCUCUAAGAAGCAGAAAGUGGUGUCGAAAUCCACCGCAAAAGUAGAAUAUAGAAGUCUGGCCCAUGUCACUGCUGAAAUAGUUUGGAUUCAGUCGUUGUUGUCUGAAAACAAAGCACUAGUUUGGUGUGAUAGCUCAGUCACGGUUGCUGUAGCAAAUAACCCUGUCAUGCACUCCAAAUUCAAACAUGUUGAAUUGGACUUAUUCUUUUUCAGAGAAAAGGUUGCAAACGGGUUCUUUCAAGUAGGUCAUGUAUCUAGACAGGAUUAAAUUGUUGAUAUCUUGACCAAACCCUUAUCAGUAGGGUUGUUCAACAGAUUUAGAAGAAGGCUGACAUGAAGAAACAGGAGAAGUCAAUAAGCAUGGGGCAUGUUAUGGAAUAUAAUAAGUAUUAAUUGUAAAAGUCAGUUAAGAUAGUUAGUUGGGUUCAGUUGUUAAAUGGUUAGUCAGUUAGCAGUUAGCAGUUAGUGAAUGACCUUCUGUAUUAAAUACUCGGCUUAUUCUUUUUUUUGCAAUAGUAAAUGAAAUCAGUUUACUUCUCAACUAAGAACAUUAACAAUCCUGAACUCUUUAGACUAACCUCUAAUAGCUGUUACAAGACCAUUAUACUUUUGAUUUAAGCUAUGAAUUAUUAUUCUUCAUAAUCUGGCCUCAUUGGGCAUUUCAUCCAAAGCCAAUUUUACAAUUCCACUACUAAUAAACAAACUUUGGUAAAGUACUGACUUAUCAACAUGCUUCAUUGGUUCAAAGUCAUUCGUUGCCAGAGUGUCCCACAUUUCAUUUGGUGUCUCGACAUCCUGUAUGUGCUACAAAUAUUCAUCAUCUACUGCAAAGAUUAGAUUGAACAUCGUAUUCGCAAACUUAACCUCUCACUUUUCCAUGUCAUUAGCUUCAGUUGAUGCUUCAACCUCAUUCCCACCAACUACAUUCCACAACUCUUUCCUUUUCAGAUAAGACUUCAUCUAAAGGCUCCACGUGUUGUAAUUGCUCUCGUUGAUCUUCUAAAUUGUGUUAGCUUGCGCACCAAAAUAUGUCAUUAAGGAUUUAUUAACUCUUGUGCUACCUUAGCUAUGUUUAGUCCCAAACCAUAAAUUAAUUCCAACCCUAAACUGUAAAAUUAGUAGCACUCCUCUUAUGAGUGAUCCUUGAUCAAGCUAGCUUAUGUUCGCAAUGGUCCCAGAUCGCUAUUUAACUAGCUUCGAGAUCACUUAUUGCAGCAAUUGAAGGAGCAAAUAUAAACUAACUUAGAUAAUAAAAGGGAGGGACAAAUUUGAAAAGAAAACAAAACAAACUUGGAUACUUCAAGGAGCAAUAACACUAAAGGAGACUUAAGAAAGCAUAUACUCGACUUUUAUUGCUUUCUAACUCACAUAUACAUAUAAAGAAAUUCAUAACCUAUUUAUAAGCUUCCUUAAAUCGAUUUAAGCUUAGAUAUCUACAAAUAGUAUUAUUUUAAUUUAGUUAUAAAUAAACUUUUGAUUAGAUAAGGAUAAUGAUUGAUGAAGAAAGAUCGAUCAAGAGAGAAGUCAAUGACUUUAACACAUUGUAGUUGUGUACAUAAUUUUUUUAAAUUUCUUUUAUAAUUAUUUCACUGUUUUUUUUUUGUAAAUUUUAAAAUUUUUCGGAUAAUGACAUCAUUAUAACGUUGUGAUCUAAUAAGUGGUGAAUAAUGAGGGACUGAAAGUUGCAAUCAACAUUUUUUACACCGAUGGAGUCUUAAACAUAAAAAAGGAAAACUUUAAAGGCCAAAAUAGAAAUAAACGGAAUAUCUUACAAAAUCUUGAGCAUAUCUUUAAACCCGAUUCCCCAACACAAGGCUCAAACUUGAAACAAACAACCUGAUUUGUACCUGCACCUGUCUGGGCCGAAGAGCUCAAACCAAUGGGCAAAAUAUAUGGGCUGCAUUAUGUACAUUAGCCCAUCAGUCGUCAAACAUAACCCUUAACCCUAACCUGGUACCCUUCCCUUCUCACCUCUAUAUAAAUAACCCACAUAAACCUAGAAGCUUGCCUUGAAAAUAAACCCCAAGUUCUUUGGGUUGUAUGGCAUCCUACUCUACCACUUCCUCUUCCUGCAUUUCUUAUAAAAUCCUAACCUCCAUAUCUUUUUAUCUUGUUUUAUGCUUCUCUGUUUGCCUAUGAUGGUAUUAAAUAUACUUUGAGAGAUUUUUUUUCCUCAUUGAAAACGAUCAAAUCUGAGGCAAAAAAAAAAGAAAUGGAUACUUUUUAAUUCUUGCCGUUACAUUGUGAUUUGUUGUUUAGUUUUGAUUAUCAUAAAAAAAGGGGGUUUUAUCUAUUUAUAUAUACAUAUGGAAGUGAUAGGCAGAUGAUGAUAAGAAUAGACAGGGACAUCUGCACUCCCUUCUUUGGGUGAUUGAUGACUUAGUCUUAAAUGGGAAUCUCUCUGAUGCUUUAUCUUAUUUCUUUUCAGUUACUCUGCUCUUUUUGCUAGUUUUGUCCACUAAAGUUUAAACUUGCUUUGUUUCAUAGUUACGAAGAUAGGUUUUAUAUAUAAAAUCUAAAAAUGGUUUCACAUCGAUUUGUUUUGAAUUGAAGUUUUAACUGUGGAGUAUAGAUUUUGGUCAGAGCUCACUGUUCCGCUUUAUAUAUAUAUAUAUAUAUAUAUAUUUAUAUUUAUCUUUUAAAGUAAUUUAUAUAUUUGUAUUUUUUGGGAAAAAUUUUAUCACACCAACACCCAAAAUAUUUAUAUUUAUAAAAAUAUAUGGGAGCGAUAAAAAAACUUUAUAUGGUAUGAAAUAUUACUUAUUAUUUAAAGUAAAGAGUAUUUAAUAAUUUUAUUGGUGCGUGAGCAUUGAAUAAGCUCGUGUGGUCACUUUCUAUUAGAUAAUAAAUUAUAUAAAAUUAUUUAGUUUUUCACUAAUACGUUUUCUUUUACAUGAAUAUUUUAAGAAAUUAAAAGAUUACUUAAAAAAAAUGAAAGAGGGGUUUUAAGGUAACUUCCUGAUUAUAGGUUAUGACAUUCAAUAGAAGCAGUGGAAGUUGCUGGAAAUUUGAUCUGUUCAAUCGUUUGGUUAAUCCCGAAUAUUUAUUGAAUUUUAAAUAAAUAAAAAAAAUGGUAAGAUUCAAAAAUGAAUUUGGACAAAUUAGUGGCUUAAUCUAAUAUUAUAUUUAUAAUAAAACAACUUUAUAUUUAAAAAUUACAAAACCAAUUGCUUCGGUCGAAACCCAUAUUUAAAGCCCUAUUAACUUGAUCUCAAAUCAAAAUCUAAAAGCCUAAAGUCAUUCAUCACUUAAAAAAGACCUAAUGAAUUAUCUUUGCAACAUUAACAUAACUAUCAGCCGUCACUUCUACUCUCAAACUCUCGUUUCUCUUUUUUAUUUGGUUAAAUUACAUCUUAGGUCAAAUUAAAAUAAUAUUGUUUCUAUUUUGAUCAUUUUAAAUUUUUAUUAUCAAUUUAAUCACUCUAAUUAAGAUAAUUGUUUAAAUUGGUCAAUUUUAUAAAAAAUUUCGUUAGUCCAUUAAUGAAUUAUUAAUGUGACAUUUUUUUUUACUUUUGACUAAAGUUAAAGGGUCACUUUAUAAUUAGUUCAAAACAUUUUAUUUGGUUUAUUUGCAAUAUAAGAGCCACAAAAUUUUCUCACCACCUAUCGUCUAUGCACCAUCUUUAUUGCUCCUCACUCCAUAGGAAUAAUGUUUCAUCACAAGGGUGUACAAAAAGCAUUGGUUGCAUAUUGACCAUCGUACAAAUUACAAUCGAACAAACUUUAGGCCGGUUACUAUCGAUAAGCUGUAGGUGAAGUUGGACUAAAAAACACGAGUCGUCAUGUAAAGAACUUAGGGUGUUGUCGAAUCUUGCCUAGCAGAUAAGGAGAUGACAAAAUUUUCAAUUCCGACGAAUAACUUAAAUCCAAUAUCCUUAAUAUUUUUUCAAUCAUCCUUAUUGAAUAGCUUGGAUUUUUCACCACAAUUUAAUUGAAUCUUCUCAAUUGGGACAUAGUCAACAUCUAGGACAAGAUGAAAGAGAAGCAACAAAGAAGCAUUAAUGGUAAAAAGCUUGGGAAAUGAUUGAGUACCAAAUGAGUUCUUCAUGGAUUUAGUACAGGAUCCAAGAAAGGAAAAUAUAUUUAAUCUUUAAGAACAAAUGAAAAACCAAAGGAAACCCAUAAUUUUUUUUGCUAGAAAAGAGCAAAUAUUUGAGAGAUUAAGAGAGAAAACAAGAAACUAGCUAAAGAAAAAUAAAGGGGACAAAAACAAAAGAGAAGGGCUUUGAAAUAAAUUUACCUAUGAGUCUUUGCUACAAGAAAAUGACAACACUUUCACUCAGCAAGUGAUGAGAGGCUUAAGGCUCAAUUUUAGGCCCAUAGACAUGUAAGGCUUACAAUAUCUCAAGGCCCAAUAGUGAGGUCAAAGACAAAGCAAAUCAAAGCAGAAUUGAACGGGACCAUACAAGGCUUUGUUACAAAGGCCCCCAAUAGUUAGUUAAGUUAGUUAUUUGAUAAGUUGUCAUGCUUAGUUAACAUACACCAAAUCUUAUUAGGAUUAGGAGACUAGUUAGGGAUUGGGAAACUAUAUAUAGGGUGUGUUAUGCCCUAUUCAUUCAUUGAUUAUUCACUUUUGAGUUAAUGAAAUUCUCUUUAAGUUUUCAUUUGAAGAAUUUCUCUUGGGUUUUCUUUUAGAAAACUUUAAACAAUUUUUUUAGAUUGUAGGAAUCAUCUUCAAAUUUUGUCUUGCCAAUGAGUCUUGCUUGGAGGGAAAAUUUGAGUCGUUUGAAAGGAGUUGUGGAUUCGUCUUGUUUCCAAUGCUCCCUAGGAUUUCUACACGCCACUCUCUUUUUUUCCAUCUCUCUUAUUUCUUUUCUUUGUUUUUCUAUUCUAUUAUUUGUACUUUGAAUCUAACCUUUGAUUUUACUUAAUUUCAAGUCUUGCUUCAAUCAAGAGGGGUGUUCUAUUGGAUCUGGUGCCCUAAGUGUAGUAUUUUUGUCCAAGUACACUUGUAAUUUUUCGAACAGAUUGAUUAAUAAAAUAAAUUAAUUGAUUACAAUUAAUAUACUUUGUAUUAUUGUCCUCAAAUGGUUUUCACACACAAGGGGGUUUUGCACACUAGGGGUUUUUGUUAAGGGUUCACAUAUACAGGGGUUCGCCUAUAUUGAUUUCUUACUUCAGUUAUACAAAAUGAUUUAAGUUUAGAUCCCACACAUGAUUUGAAGACACAAAAACCUUAAUUUGGGAGAGGAGAUUGAUGAUCUACUUGGAAAGGGACGAUUUUGAAAAGCUUAAAUCCUUUUUCUUUGAAAAUUGAUUUGGAAAAUGAUGGAGAAAGAGAAGAACUUGAGAGUGUGUUUCUUGAAAAUUUACUACAUUAAAAACUCUAGGGUUUGAAUAAAAUUGGCUAUUUAUAAAGCUUUCUUUACCUAGUUGAAAUAAGUUUUAAGAAUUCAUGUAGAAUUAGGAUUAUUUUAAAAUAGUGACUAAAUUUAAAAAAAAAAACAGUUUUUGGAUGGGUUAUUUUGAAAUUUUAACACUUUUAUGGGGUAAAAAUAAGAAAAUAAAAUAUUCUGGUUAAAUGCACUUUCAAACUUGGGACCUAAGGAUAAGUUAACUGUCGUAACCAUUCUUUUGGAAAACGGGAAUCGACUUGGAUUUUGUAAAUGAAAAUGAAAAACGGAUGUGGGAGUCGCCACCAAUCUUUUUUGAUGAGGUGUGAUCAGAUCACCUUAAUUAAUCAUUUUAAUAAAAGUUAAGAUUUACUAAAACGAUAAUUUUUGAUCUACGAAAAUCAGAAAAUGAGUUCGGGAGUCGGUUACGCACGAGGAAGGAUUAGCACCCUCGUAACGCCCAAAGUUGGUACCUAGUUGAUUAAUUAGUGUCUUUGUUAUUGAAAAUUUGAAAACUUGAAAGACUUUGAAAUACGAUCCCUUUUUGUAUUAAUGCUAAUUUAAAAAUGAUUGAAUAAAUUAAGCGGAUGUUAAGGACUCUCUCAUCUCGAAGUAAUAAAAUAUCAUGCCCAGUAAGUUAGGACACGACAUCUCGAACUUUGAGACUGAGCUUGCCUUUUAUUUAAAAUUAAUGUAUUUUAACUUCUUUUAAAAGGAUAUUCGGUUAGUUAGAGUGAACAAGGAAAAUCAAAACCCAGUAAGUUAGGGUAUGUUUCCUCGAAUUUUCGAACACUGAAUAUUGCCUUUAUUUGCAAAAAAUCUUAUUUCGAGGUAACAAAAUGUCAUACCCGGUAAGUUAGGGCACCACACCUCGUAUCUCCGAAAAUAAGCAUUUUUUUAACUCACAUUAUGAUUAAAAGGAAUAUUUCAUUAUUUAGGUUAAAUGAGAAAAAUCGAAACCCAGUAAGUUAGGGCACGAUUAUCUCGAAUUACCUAAUACGGAAUAUUACUUUUAUGAAAGAAUUGUUUUAAUAUAUUGAGUAAGAAAAAUAACGUAAUUUAUAGUAAAACAUAAAAGCAAUUUAUAAUAUUAAUAUGAAUAAUAACAUAAUAAUAGGUGCGACAGUGUCAAAAACGAUAAUAUGAGCAACUAUAAAAGAUGAAGUAAUAGCAAGGCUAGUAAUAUGCAAAUAUAAACAAAUACAUGAGGAAAAUGAAAUGAUCGAACACAUAAAAAUAAAUAAAACACGGCAAAAUAAAAAUGACAAUGAUAAUGAAAACGAUAAUAAUAAUAUAAAUAAUAAUUGUAUGAAACGAUAAUAACACAUGGUAUUAAACAUGAUGAUAAUAAUGUAAAUAUGAAAUAGUAGGGAACAUAUAUAUGUACAACAUAUAAUACUAGAUUAAAAAUAUAUAUACAAUUUUUAUUGAAAACAGUAAUAAUAAAAAUAACUAAUGCUAACGGUAUAUAAAUAUAUACAUAAUAUAUACAUACUAGAAAUGAUAGUAUUGAAACACAAAUAUUACAUAAUAUAUACACACAUAUAUAUAAUAAUGAUAUUAGAAGUAUGUACAAAAAUAAAAAUAGUAUAAUAAAAAGUGGAAAAUAAUGAUAAUAAUACAUGAAUAAAGAAAAAAAAACAUAUAUAUAUACAUACAUAUAUCAAGAACAUAUUUAUGAUAAUAGUAUUGAGUAUUAAAAGUAUGUAUACAAUAUAGACAAAAAUAUAAAAUAUAGUAUUGAAAGUAUUUACAUAAUAUAAAAUAUAUAUAUGAAUAAUGUGAUAUUAAAAAUAUAUACAUAAGAAUAUAAUAAAUAAAAAAAUAUAUAUAUAACAUAAAAUAUAUACAUAAUAUGGUAUUAAAAAUAUAUAUAAUACAUACACAUUAGAAAUAAUAAUAAUAAUGUUACAAAACAAUUAUUAAUAAUACUUCAUAAAUAUAUACAUAUAUAUGUUAAAAAUAAAUACAUAUUAAUAUUAAGAUGAUGAUAAUAUUAAAAUAAUCAUUGAUGACUUUACAUAUAAAUAUAUAUACAUAUAAGUGUAAUAAUAGUAAUUAUAAUACUAAUACUAAUAAUAAAUAUAAUAAUAGUAGUAAAAAUAAAUACAAUAAUAAUCAUAAAAAUAAUAUAAAUAAUGUGUACAUGAAAAAUAAUAAUGAUAUGAUAAUAAUAAAAAAACAAAAAAGGACGAUACAAUAUAAUAAUAACGUAAGAAAAAUAAAAUAAUAAUAUUUAUAAUAAUAGAAAAUAAAAGAGUGUAUUUAAAAGUAUAUAUAUAAUAUUAUUGGAACUAAUAUUAAAAAUUAAAAUAGCAAAAAUAAUAUAAAAAUCAACUUAAAUUAAAAACGAAGUUUUAGGGCAAAUUUAAAAUAAAAAAAGAAGAAAAGGGCUUAUUUAAACGCACGUGAAACAACGGAGGGCCUAAAGUGCAAUAACUCCCUUCCUAAAACGUACAACAUCAGCUAGGAUUAAAUUGGAAAUCGCGACAGAUUUUGGGGCCAAAUUAAAAAUAAAAAAUGACUUAAUUGCAAAGUAAUAAAAAAGCGAAGGGGCUAAACGCGUAAAUAGCCCCUCCAAUGAAAACACGCGGAUCCUAAAGUUGGAGCGGGUCGGGUUGCGGGUCGGCCAUGGGUUAAGGGCCAAAACGACGUCGUUUUGGCAUUAGUGACUUAAGCUCAAAACGACGUCGUUUUGAUGGGCUAUAUAAGUCAAAUUUCCCUAAAAAAAAACUCAUUUUCUCCAUUUCAUAAAAAAAAAAACUAACCCAUUCUCUCAAACUCUCUCAAGGCCUUCUCCCUCCGGCAAAACUUCGGCUAUGUCCACCGCCGUCCUCCGCCGCCGGCCACCGUCGCUGGCCACCGCGCACGGUGGCCGAAAAUUUCAAAAAGGUAUUUUUUUCUCUUUUUUUGUAUAUUUUUUUAUAUAUAUACCUUGAUAUAUUUUAAUAUAUGAAUGAGAAGAGAUAGAUUCGAAUAAUAAAAUAAAAAGGAAAAAAAGAAAAGAAGAAAAAAAAUCUUAAGCCGAUUUGCACUUCUUUUUUUCGAUGGCUUUGUUAUUAUCUUUGUUCUUGUAUUGCUUGCUGUUUUUUUCCAAGAAAAAUCUUCAGAGAGAUUAAACUGUUUUUUGCUUAAAUCUAUUUUUGUUUUUAUUUUUCACAAAUGCUCAAUGUUACAAUGGUUUUAGAUUUGGCUCUUUAUAGCCACUUAUAACUUGUUUCCCAUUUGAUUGCUCUAUUCCUUUUGCAGGUGAAUGGCGGUGGAGAAAGUGGCCGAUGUGAUGGAGGCAGGUGGUGUCAGAAGGUGGUUGGCCAAAAGCCAAGCAUAGGGGUGGUGGCUAGGGUUUUUCUUAGGUUUCUUUUUUCUGAUUUUUUUUGUAUUGGGCUGUUAAUUUUGGGCUUGGGGUAUUUAGGUUUUGUUGGGUAAAAAUUUUUUUUAAGUUGGGCCAAAAUUGGGCCUCAACAUUAACGCCUUACCAUUAAACCAAUAAGCUCAUUCUGAUUAAUUCUUAGUAGAACUUAUUUUUAAGACUUUUUAAUUUUCUUACCCUAUACUUUUAAAAAAAAUACUAAAUUUUUAUCCUUAUUUCUUCUAACUCUAUUUUUGGGAUGUGACAACAGAAGCCCUACUCGCUUAAGCUUCUCUGAUUUUGAUCUUUUCGUCCUCUGCUGUUUGCAGUGAUCAUUGGUAGCUUGGGUGGCUAGGGUUUAUUUUCCUUUAGGAUGGGAUUAGGCUUGGUUAAGCCCUUGUACUUUAUGUUUGUUUGUUUUUUUUAAGUUGAUGGACCCAUUUGCUUGUACUCUUUUAUGAUACAAUGAUAUUGAUUCAUCGUCUCAAAAAAAAAAAGAGAGAGAGAGAGAGAGACAUAAAAGAGGAAAAAGAAGAACACUUAGAGGGAGAAAGUGAAGAUAAAAAAUGAAAAUGAAAAUGUAUUUUAAAAAUAUUUUUAAAAUGAUUUUAUGUUAUUUAUAAAUAUAUUUUAUUUAAAAGUUAAUUCUUGUUUAAAAUAUUAAACUAUGUUGGUAAAUGUAUCAUGUUUAAUAUUUUUAAAUAUUAUUAUUGUAAUUUCAAUUUUAUAUUAAUUUAAUAAAUUGAAAUAAUAUAAAUUUUAAAUUUUAAAUAUAAAAAAAUUAUUCUUUAAUUAAAAAGUAAAAUUAUUAUUCUUUAAUAAUAUUUUAGCCAAACAAACAACAUUGAAACAUUAUUACUCUAUUCCAUUUAAUUAAUCAAACUACGCAUACUAAAAAUCUUAUCACACAUGAAUGCAUGUGAAAACUAUAAAUAUAGAAUAUAAAUGUGUAAUUAAAAAUAACAAACAAUAAAUAACGAAAUAUAUGGCUUGAAACUAAUUAUUAAUAAUAAUUACACAUGAAAUAUGUAUGCUACUAAAUUUAAAAAAAUAGAUUUAAUUUAAGAAAGUAAUAAAGUGUGCAUAAUUAAAAUUAAAAUGUAUAAUAUAUUAAAUUACGGCUUUAGUUGAGUGGUAAAUAAAAUGUUUUAUUAAUGCAAUUGGUUUUGGUUCAAAUCUCAUCGUAUGAAUAUUUUUAUUAGUUUUUUUAAAGAAAAAAAACUAAAAUACCAUCAAAUAAUUUAAUUUAAUUUAAUUAAAAAAGAUAUUUUCAUAAUUUAACAAUUGAAUUGAUAGCUUGAUUGAGGGUUAUCCCAACUUAAAUAAUAGAUAAUAUAUAUGAUAUCUUUUACCUCAUUCCCACCAAAUUACUAUUAUUUUCUUACUCCAUCCAAAUAUAGUAAAUCAAAAUUCUAAAGUGGUGAAAAAUUUAUCCAAUCUUGAGAAUUGAGAUGACAUUAUGGGAAAAUAUUAGGUACACUAUUAAUGGGGUUUUGGACUUCAAAAAUAGAGUUAAGAGGUUGACAAAAACUCUAUAAAAAUAUAGUAAAAUAAUAAAUAAAUAACAUAAGAUAAAAUUUAAAAUUUAAUUAUAGAGUAAAAAAUAUAUAUUGUACCAAAAUACAAAGUCCGAAAUUGAUGCUGAUACAAUUAGAUAAUUAUAAUCCAAAAAAGAAAAGAAAGGGGGCAAAGGCAAUGUCAAGUUGCCGAUUCCCAUACACAUGGGUAAAUUGGCAAGUGGGGUCAAACUUUGAUUAGGAAACCCAGUAAUCCACGUCAGUUCCACGCUUAUUUGACUCCACCUUCACUUUCAUAAUUCCGGAUAUUGAUUGCUUGCCAGAUCAUACAUAUUCUUCAUUCAGAUCCCACAUUGUUUUCAAGUACAAUUUUAUCUCAUAUAAAUAUCUUUUAAAAUUUUUAAAUUUUAUAAUACAUAUCAUAUUUUUAUUUUCAUUUGUAAAAUUCAAAAUAUUAGGUUAAACUUUAUUAUUAGCCCUUGUACUUUAUGAAAGUUGUGAAUUUAAUCAUAUAUUUUAAUUUGAUAAAUUUUAAUAUCAGCACUUUUCGAAUUUUAAAACUUCAGUAUUUACCAAACAAUAAUUGUUAAAUUUAUUAUUAUUAUUAUUUUUAAAAUCUAAUGCAAUAAACAUAUUAUCAUAUAUAUAAUACCACGUCAGCUUGUUAUUUUCAUACAUUACUUACUACAAUCCCCGUUAAUGAAUUAAUGAUUGUCAUUUAUGUCAAGAUUGAAAUUUCAAAACUCAAACAAUAAUUGGAGAAUAUAGACUAAGUCCGCAACUUGACACAUUGUAAAAGAUUAGUAUUUGAACUUAACCAAACAAAUUUAACUACUACUGUUUGAGUUAGGACUAAAAUUUUAAAAUUCGAAAUGUACAUGGACUAAAUUUAACCAAUUCAAAAAAUACAUGAAUUAAAUUUGAUCAAAUUAAAGUACAGAGAUUAAAUCCACAAUUUUUGAAAAAUACAAGAACUGAUAGCAGAAUUUAACCUUUAUAUUAUCAUGUAUUAAAAUAUAUGCUUUUGUUAGAACAUUUUUAGUUAUACUUCUAAAAUGCAAGUAUGUUGCAAUAGACUUUCUAUUUGUUGUUUACAUCUGGCCUAAACCAAUUUUCAUAUUUUGAGUGUUGUUUAUUUUUUAUGUGUAAGAUAUUUAUUGAGUGAUUUUUAUCAUAAUUUUUAUGCAAAGAAUUAUGAAUUUUUAUAAGAGUAAACUAGAAUAAUUAUGUAGUUUUAAGAGUCCUUGAAUUGUAGGAUUUUAUGUUUUUUUUGUGUGUGAUUAUCCUUUGACUUCAAUAUGAGACUUUGUAGGAGUUUAUUUGGAAAGAGAUCUUGAUUAGAUUAUGGAGGAUUAUUUGGAAAGAUAUUGAAUGUGAGAUUAAGUAAGAGGUUAUUUGGAAAGAAGUUUGUUCCUUUAGAGUGGUGUCGAUUGGAGCUAAUAUUGGAAAGCACUAUUCUGUCUAUUUUGAAAGGCUUUCUUUGUGCCUUUUGUGAGAGCUUAUUAUACACAUAUUUGAGUGUGUUUAUUAGCCUUACAUAAGGAGGUUUGGGUGGAGAGUGACUGCACACAAACAGUAUGAUCUUUGUUGUUACAAUUAUCUUUUGGUGAGCUUGGGUAGAUUGAGUUGAUUAGUAAAGUUUGUACUAUGGAAAAUUUGAACAGUGGAUUCAUUCUCUAAGUAAGGCCCCACAAAGGUGGGUUGUUGAAUUGAACCGCGUCAACAAAUCAUUGUUCUCCAUCUUUUAUUUAUCUUCUUUUUUUCUCAUUACAACUAUCAAAAAAAACUUUUAAUGCAGCACUAAUUGCAUUUGCCAACUAAAAUAGGCUAUUUACUAUACUUAAUCAAACUUUCAAUUGGUAUCAGAGCUACACGUCGAACAUAAAGUCCGGAGAGCUAUGGAGGCCAUAAGAGAAAAAAAAUCUACCUUUAGUCCACAUUUAUUGAUUAAUGCUUCAAAUUAUACCUAUUGGAAAGCUCAAAUAAGGUUAAUUGUGAAAUCCAUUGAUGAGGGAACUUGGAUGGCUAGAGAAAGCCUACAACUACUAAUAAAAAUAUGAUUGUGUCACUGAAGGUAAUAAGUAGUUGCACUACUGAAAAAGAAAAAGUUGUUAAUUAAAACUCAACGUCAUUUUUAAUUUUUUUGACAUUGAGAAAUUAAGAAUAAUAUUGAUGUAUGAUUCAGCAAAGGAAGCAUGGACUAUCUUGGAAAACCAACAUAAAGGAACAACCUUUGUAAAAUUAUCAAAGCUUCAAAUACUUAAUAUCAGGUUUGAAAUUUUAAAAAUGAAUAAAGAUGAAAAUAUUUAUGAAUUUUGUACUCGUUUAUGUGAGAUUUCUAAUGGAGCUUUUGAAAUUGGUGAGUGUUUUUCCACGGAGAAAUUGGUGUAGAAAACGCUUCAAACAUUACUUGAAUUUUUUUCUAAAAGUGACCAUAAUCGAAGAAGCCAAUGAUAUUACCUCCAUGUGGCUAAAUGAGCUUGUGGGUUCUCUCAGAACCAUUGAAUUAAUCCAUAAAAGCCUAAAGAAGAAAUAGUAACACUUAAAAAAACAUUACAUUCAUUAUUUAAUCAGUUGUUGCAACAAUAGUUUCGUUUUCUACCACUUUAGAAGACUUGGAAGAAAAAGCGGACUAUUGUCAAAGAACUUUACCCGAGCACUCAAAAGGCUAUCCAUGAAAAACAACAAUGUUGAUGGUGGGAUAAACUUCCCAAAGAACAAGGGGAAGGUAAUGGUUAAAGAUAAAGAACCUUGUGAUAAAAAGAAAGACAUUCAUUGUUAUGAUAGGAGGGAUUUAAUCAUAUUGAACAUGAGUGUGCUAACACCCUAAAGAAAUCUUUCACAAUUACUUGGAGUGAUGAAGAAGCAAGGGGUAAAGACUCUGAAGAUGAUGAUAAAAUUAGUAACUAUGUAGCUUUUACAACUACUAUGGAUCUUAUGUUGCAUCAUCAUCUUUGCUAGUAAAGACGAUUCUGAUGUGAUUGUGAUAUUUCUUUUGGUAGUAUUGAAAAAGCUUACAAUGAGAUGAUAAAAAAAUAGGGUUGGUGGUUCAAUUAAAUCAUGCCUUGUCAAAACCAUUCCCCAUUUAAUACAAUUUGAUUUCUAUUAUGCUAGCCAAAUUGAGAAAACUAAUUUUGUUUUGUUAUUCACAUAUACUUUUAUUAGGCAAUAAAGACCCCAAACCCAUAUGUUUCAUCUCCUAUGUGGCAGAGUGAUAAUAACGCUAAAAGAUAUAGUGUUGCUAACGAGACUUCUAACAUUUUAUAAUGAGAAGUUUUGAGCAUUAUCUAGGGUAGGUCAUUUAUCGAGCAUUUGGAAUAGGUAUCAACCUUAAGUCUUAUUUUCAAAGGCUUUAAAAUAAGUUAAACUAGUUGAAGAUAUGCUUCGAGCAUCUUUCACAAAAUCUAGCAGUAGAUGAUAUUGAUCAUCAUGCUAGAGUGUACAUUUUUUUAUUGACAAAUGUAUGUUUUUUUCUGAAAGUAUGACAACUUAGUUCGUACCAUUUACCUCUCAUUGCUAUUAAAUUUUCAAAUGGUCGAAACAUAUAGUUGGUAAUUUUCCAUUUUGGCAUGACUAUACAAGGCAUUAUGCAAGGUGCGUAGAGCGUCAAGCAAUGAAGUAAAAAAUUUCCUUUCAAUUUUACAAUUGUAUGAGGGGGUAUCGACUUUCUUGGAUGGCGUUUAUACCCUUUCAAGCUCUCGAUUUCUUUCUUGCUAGAAGGUAAGAGUAGAACCCAAAAUCAUAAAAUCUAUAACAUUCUAAAUGUGUUAUUUUUAUAGGUAAAAUUUAUUAUGACAUUUUAUAUUUUAUAGAUGGUCUAGUCAUUGAACUAUAUAACUUACUAGAAAAGCAAUUUGUUAACCAUACAAGCAGUAAUUGAUGCACAAUCUAAAGAUUCAGUAAUUUGUGUUUAAUAUUGUUGAGUUUAUUUUGCUUUAAUUAAUAUCACAUCAUAAUGUAAUUUAAAUGCAAUAUUUUUUUUUUCAAUUUAUGUGGAUAUCAUACCAAGUAGAACAAAUUAUAGCCAUAUUAGCAUCGAAGACACUUUCACACCUUCAAGUUUUUAACCUAUGCAUGUUGUUUAUAUGCUUUUGCAUUAUAAUCAAGCAUUCUGAUAGUUUGAGAUAGUCUAACAAAUUUUGGCAGAUUCAAAGAACAUAGAUCACUAACAUCCCACAGAUUUGCAUUUGGGAAGAAGUAUAAUCGUAACACCCCUAACCUGUAUCUAUCGCCAGUAGGGUUGCAGAGUAUUACCGGAGUUCAUAAGACAAUUACAGAUAAUUCAUGUCAUUUAAUAUUCAUAUCCGAGACUAAUCAUAUUGUCCCUUGAAUGGACCAUCGAGCCCUAAUUUAAACAUUAGAAACUAGUCAAGAUUAAAUCGGAAUCUCAGUGAAUUUUUCACGAAAUUUAAAAAAUUCUUUUAUAUACAGGGCACACACGCCCGUGUGAUCAAGGCACACGCUUGUGUAACCAUAGGACACGUCUGUGCCGCAGGCCGUGUCCGACCCCGUAUAACUCUCUGAUUUAUGCCACACGACCUACCACACGCCCAUGUGUUAGGCCGUGUGGUCAAUUUAAUUAUCAUAAACUAAGUGCAGGUUUCACACGGCCAAGACACACACCCGUGUUCUAAGCAGUGUAUCACACACGACUAAGACACAUGCCCGUGUCUCUGCCCGUGUGCCAAAUUCUGAACAUUAUGUUUCUCAAAUUUAAUAUGUAGGGGACACACGGCCAAACCACAUGCCCAUGUGCUAGGCCGUCUGUCACACCCACUGUCAAGAAACACGCUCAUUUGUCUACCCGUGUGGACAAAAUAAGGCCAUUUCUUUGUCUUAUUUCUCACCCAAAUUUAACCUUCAACCUACAAUAACAUUUGCAUACAUUUUCCAAUCAAUUCAAGUCAUAUAAAUAAAAAAAACAUCCUUAACAUGUAUGAAAUAGUAUCACAUAUUUAUAUGAUCAAACUUACCUUCUUGUAAUGAUUUAUAUUUUACCCUAAUUCACUUUAACCAAACCACAUACAUAUAAGCUAAACAUGACAUAUAUCCUUAUAAUAACAUGCCAAAACAAUCCAUUUUAAACCAUUCCAAUGGCUAAGUUACAAACAACUAUUUACAUGCCAACAAAUUCCAAGUUAACCUAUACAUUCUGUUAUAUCAAAAUGAGAUUACUUUUUAUACCAAAACAAGCUGGAGGAUAGCGUGAUGGUUCUCCGGCCGUUCUCCAACCUUAACGAGCUUCCAAAACUUUAUAAAACAAAGAAACUAAAACCUAGUAAGCAUUUAAUGCUUAGUAAGUUCGUAUAACAGAAAGUAAACUUACCAAUCAUAUUCAUUUAAAUAAAUAUAACAAUAACAUACUUUUCAACAAAUUAGAAAAUUUGCCUAAUCACAUACAUUUAAAUAAGCAAGUUAGUCAUAUAAUUCACAUGUACAUUAAGUAAGCAUGGAUGAGCUCAUCAUGCCACACUCCUUUUAGGUAUUUCAGAAGUAUUCGGGACAUAACUCUUUUAAUCUCAUAAUUUCUCAUGUCAGAAGUUUUGUCUGUUCAAUUAUUGAAAUAUCGAUGGAUACUCAGGUAAUACACACAAGGUGUGCAAAACUAUAAACCGCCAAUUCGUAAUCAGUGGUACCCAUUAGGGCACCUAAUUAGAGAGAACACUCUCGUGCCACAUAUUAGGAUGCUCAGAUGAGCCAUGUAACAGGACACUUAUCUGGGUUAAUCAGGAAACCCAUAAGAGUUUUAAUUAGGGAGUUCAUAGAGCUUAUCAGAUAACUUCAAAAAGUUAAUAUCAGGGAGCACCGGAUAAGGUAAAAAGGAGUUCAAAUAAACCAUAUCAAGAAGCCUAUAAGAGUUAAUAUCAGGACGCUCACGUAGAGCUGCGUUUGUGUCUGCAUUAUAUGCUGGAUCACAACCGAUAGAGUCAUGUAACAGGACGCUUACACAGAGUUACGGUAGUGCGCAACACAUGUAGAAUCACUAUCGAUCAAGAUGCUCGCAGGAACUAUAUAACACGAUGCUCGAGAGGGCUAUAUCAGGAUUGCUCGUUCGAGCUACAUUCUGUCCGCAACAUAUGUAGGACCACAUUUAAUACAUUAUUCAAACGAAACCUAACAUCUUAAAAACAUUUCCGGGCAUGUGAUCAUUUCAUGUAUUUAUAACAUUCAUAUAAUUCACAUAAAUACAUAUUAUACUCAAUCCAAAUACAACAUUCAAUUGAAACAUAUUAACAUGUAUAAUAUAGUUACACGAACUUACCUCAACAUUUGUUUGUAUAUAAAAAUCUACUAAUUUGAAACUUUUUCUUUUCCUCGAUCUAACUUCGAAUUUGAGUUGUCCCGAUCUAUAUAAAUGAAUUUAAUCAUCAAUUUAAUACAAUUCAUAUACGAUUGGAUUCAAGUUACACCCUAGGCAUAUUACCAUUUUGCCCUUAUACUUUUCAUAAAUUUCAAUUUCAUCCCUAGUUUCGGAAAAUGAAAUUCAUGCAAUUUAAUCCUUAUUCUAAGCCUAACUGAAAUUUUCUUAUAACAUUACAGCAUAUGUAUUUCAAAAUUUUUAGAAUUUUUCUAUAACUUUUACAUCUUUACAGUUUAACCCAUAAAUUACAAUUUCAUGAAAAUUAACUUUCAAAAGUUGUUUAUCUAUCAACAACCUUUCAUUUUCUACCAUAAAUUCCAAAAUUUUAGCAUAUUCAUCCAUGGCAAAAACUUUGAUACUUUGAUAACCUUUCAAAUUAAUCCCCAAAAUAGAUAGAUUAAACUAUCUCGAUCUCAAAAUAUAAAAAUUACUAAAAAUGAGACAAGAAAACAUACAUAAUUAAGCUUUAUUAGUUUCCUUUCUCUCUCCUAGGGUUUCCUUGCAAAUUUUGGGGAUGAAGAUGAUAUAUAAUGAUAAUAUUUCUAUUUAAUUAUUUAUCAUCCAUUAAUUUUUCCACUUUCUAAUUUAGUCAUUGCCUUUUUCUAAUUUUUCCAUAGAUGAUUUAUCAAAAAUAUCUACUAAAUUUUCUUUAAUGGUCUAAUUACAAUAUAAAGACCUCAAUUUUUGAAUUCCGUAACUAUUUGAUGCUUAUAGAUACUAGAACUCAAUUUUUGCAUUCUAUGAAAUUUGGUCCUUUCCAUAAUUAAACACAUAAUUGAUAAAAUUUUCUUAUCAUAAUUUUCAUAUAAUAUUUCUAUCAUAAUACGGACCAUGCAAUAAUAUUAAAAUAAUUUUUUUCUAGCUUAGAUUUAUGGUCUCGAAACCACUGUUUCGAUUUCACUGAAAUUGGGCUAUUACAACUCUCCUAUUUUAAGAAUUUUCGACCUUGAAAAUCUUACCAGUAAAAAGGUUCGGGUAUUGCUUUCUCAUGGUAUCCUCCGGUUCCCAAGUAGUUUCUUCAAUCUCGUGUCGUUGCCAAAGAACUUUUACUGAAUCUACCUUUUUAUUUCUUAAUUCUUUUAUUUCACGAGCCAGAAUUUUGAUCGGUUCUUCAUUGUAAGUCAUAUCAAGCUGGAUCUUAAUUUCUGUCGGAGAAAUAAUAUGUGAAGGAUCUUAUCUAUACCAUUGUAACAUGGACACAUGGAAAACAUUAUGUAUUUUGUCAAGAUCUGGUGGUAAUACCUACAGAUAAGCAAUGGCCAAACCGGAGAACUUUUUUUCACGGUAAUACUUUUAAAAUAUCUUGUCGUCGACUUGAAACUCUAUUUCUUUUUGUUUAAGAUCAGCAUAGGACUUUUGACGAUCAGAGGCUGCUUUCAAACUAUCUCGAAUCAUCUUUACCUUUUCUUUCGUUUCACGGAUCAAGUCAACUCUGUGUAUCUUUUUCUCACUGAGUUCUGUCCAGUACAACAGAUUUUUACAUUUACAGUCAUAUAGAGCCUCAUACGGUGCCAUUUUAAUACUAGAUUGAUAACUAUUCUUGUAUGCAAAUUCAACCAAAGGUAAAUACUUUUUCCAAUUACCUUCAAAUUCCAAAAUAUAGCACCGAAGCAUAUCUUUCAAAAUUUGUAUUACACAUUCAGAUUUGCCAUCAGUCUGAGGAUGUGGUAUAAAAAUACAAUUGAGUACUUAGAGCUUCUUGCAAUUUGUUCCAGAAUCGGGAUGUAAAUCAAGGAUUUUUGUCUGAAAUAAUGGAGACAGGCACUCCAUGCAGUUUAACAAUCUCUGAAACAUAUAAUUCGACCAAGCUAUCCAAAAAGAAACCUAUACGUACCAAAAUAAAGUGUGCAGACUUUGUCAACCAAUCGACAAUUACCCAAAUAGCAUUUUUCUUAUUCGGAGAUAGGGGUAAUCCAGAUAAAAAGUCCAUGGUAAUUCUUUCACAUUUCAGUUCUGGUAUUGUAACUGACUGUAAAUAAUCCUGAAGGUUAUUGAUGUUCAACUUUUACUUGCUGACAUAUCAAACAUUUAGAUACAAAUUCAUAAAUAUCUCAUUUCAUUCCCGGCCACCAAUACAUCUUUUUCAGAUCAUUGUUCAUUUUAUUACUACCAGGAUGAAUAGAUAUGUUACCGUCAUGAGCUUUAUGUAAAAUCUUCUGUACAAAUUUUAAGUUCUUCAGUAUACAUAUCCUGCCUUUGAAUAACAAACAACCAUCAAACCCAAUCUGAAAUUCUAAAUCAAAAUUUGACUCACAUUGUACAAGUUUAGCCUAUUACUCAUAUCACCCUUCUAAGCUUCACAGAUCUGUUGUGGAAAUGUCAGUUUUGCUUUUAACUCGGCUAUAAUUAAACCAUCAUCUGACAAUAACAAUUGAGUAUUCAUCACUCGCAAAGCAAAUAAAGACUUUCUACUUAGGGCAUCAGCAACCACAUUAGCUUUUUCCUGGAUGGCAGUUAAUAACAAGAUCAUAAUCUUUCAAUAAUUCAAGUCACCUGCAUUGUCUUAAGUUCAAGUCUUUUUGUGACAUUAAAUACUUCAAAAUUUUAUGAUCAGUAAAGAUGUGACAUUUUUCACCAAACAGGUAAUACCACCAUAUUUUCACUGCAAAAACAAUGACUGCCAACUCAAGCCAUGUAUCGGGUAAUUUCUUUCAUGUGGUUUUAGUUGUCUUAAAGCAUAGGAUAUUACUUUAUCUUCUUGCAUAUCAUUUACUGAUGCAUCACUGUAAAUUAUAAAUUCUUUACCUAAUUCAGGCUGAACUAACAUAGAUGCUUUUGUCAAUAAGGCUUUCAAUCUAUCAAAACUUUGCUAACAUUUAUCAGACUACUCGAAUUUCACAUCUUUUUGCAACAGACGAGUCAUCAGAGAAGCUAUCAUUGAGAACCUUUUAACAAACCUUGGAUAACACCCAGCUAAUCCCAGAAAACUUUUGACUUUUGACACAUUUUUCGGUAGCUUCCAAUUAAAAAUAGCUAAUUUUUUUUCGGAUCCACCCUGAUACCUUCAGCAGAUAUUAAAUGUCCAAGAAAACCAACUUCUCGUAGCCAAAAUUCACAUUUACUGAAUUUGGCAUACAAUUUUUUCUCACGUAGAGUUUGCAAUACAAUUCUCAGAUGAUCAGCAUGUUCAUUUUCAUCUCGAGAAUAAACCAGAAUAUCAUCAAUAAAUAUCACUACAAACCUGUCUAAAUAUGGUCUGAAAAUUUUAUUCAUUAAAUCUAUGAAUACUGUAGGUGCAUUUGUCAACUCGAACAACAUCACAAUAAAUUCAUAGUGCGCAUACCUGGUUUUAAAAGUUGUCUUUGGCACAUCAGAAUCUUUUACUCAUAGCUGAUAGUAUUUAGAACAAAUAUCUAUUUUCGAAAAUACAGUGGCAUCUUUCAAAUGAUCAAAUAGGUCAUCAAUUCGAGGCAAUGGAUACUUGUUCUUUAUUAUGACUUUGUUAAGCGGUCUGUGAUCUAUACACAAUCUCAAUGAUCCAUCUUUCUUCUUUGCAAAUAGAACUGGUGCACCCCAAGGUGAAAAACUGGGUUGAGCAAAGCCUCUAUCAAUCAAUUCUUGCAAUUGUGCUUUAAACUCUUUUAACUUAAUAGGAGCCAUUCUAUAGGGUGCUAUGGAUAUCGGUGAUGUCCUCGGAACAAGAUCUAUAGAGAACUCCACUUCUCUCACUAGUGGUAAACUAGGUAAUUCCUCUAGAAAUACAUCAGGAAAUUCACAAACAACUGACAUUGACUAAAUUUUCGAUCCAAAUACUUUAGUAUCUAACACAUAUGCAAGAUAAGCAUCACAUCCCUUUCUGAUAUAUUUCUGUGCUGAUAUAGCUGAAAUAAUAAUAGAUAACCCAUCCAGUUUAUCAGAUUCAACGUGAAGUAACUCACCAUUCUGACACUUUAAUACAAAGUAUUUCUAUUUACAAUUUACCACUGCAUCGUGCUGCAUUAGCUAGUCCAUUCCCAAAAUCACAUCAAAUUCAUCAAAUGGAAAUAGCAUCAAAUCAACCGAGAAAAAAUAACCCUUUUACCAUCAACAGGCAAUUUUUACAAAUUUUAUCCACCAUAACAUAUUGACCCAGGGGGUUUGAUACUUUAACCACAAAUUCUGUGAAUUCAACAGGUAAGUUUUUAACAGACACUAAAUUUGUGCAUAUGUAUGAAUGUGUGGAACCAAGAUCAAUCAAAGCAGCAAUAUCAGUAUCAAAAAGAGAAAAUGUACCAGUAAUGACAUCUGGUGCAGAGGCAUCCUCUCAAGCACAAUAGCAUAUGUUCUUGCCGGUGCUUCAGAUUUAACUGUUGAGUCUUUUUUAGUACCUCAGCUACCACUGAUAUUGUCGGGGUAACGAGGUGGUCUGCCUCUCGAGGCAGGAUUACUCGGCUUUGAAGUUUGAUUAGUAUAUUUUUCAAUCCUUUCCGAGCAAUCUUUGAGGAAAUGAUCAAGAGAACCACAUCGGUAACAUGCUCCACUUCUCAAACGACAUUCUCCAAAAUAAAAUUGUUGCAAUAUUUACAUUUCAAUUUGGGAUUACUGACACUUCCCACACUUGUUACAGAUGGAGACGAAGAUCUCGGAUUAGAGUGUUUAGAACUCUGCUCUUUUCCAAAAUACCCCACUGAUGUGGUAAAACGAUCAUGAUACUUCUUUGAUUUCUUUGAAGCAGAUAAUUGUGAUUUACCCAUAAAUCUUUUACUAAAAAUAUGAGCUUCUCUCUCUGCUUGUUUCUUUUCUUUACUUAAUUCAUCGACUUUAUGUGCUUGAUCAACCAAAACCACAAAUUCCCUCAAUUCAAGAAUUCCAAUCAAUAGUUUGAUAUCUUUAUUUAAUCCCUCUUUGAAACGUUUACACAUAUCAGCCUUAGUCGGAACCCAUUCUCUGACAUAUUUGCUCAAUCUAACAAAUUCUUAUUCAUAUUCAGAUACUGUCAUACUUCCCUGUUUAAGCUCUAGAAAUGCUUUUUUUUUCUGAUCUAGAAAUCUCUGAUUAAUGUACUUUUUUUUCUAAAUUCAGUCUGGAAAAAUUCCCAAGUAACAUUUUUUCUCAGUACAACAGAAAUCAGAGUAUUCCACUAAUGGUAGACUGUGUCUUUUAAUAAAGAAACUGCACAUUUCAAACACUCAAAUGGUGUGCAUGAUAAUUCAUCUAAAACUCUGAUGGUAUUUUCCAACCAAAACUCGGCAUUCUCAGGAUCAUCAUCGAUAGUAGCCCUAAAUUCCUCUGCCCCAUACUUACGAAUUUUAUUCACCGGAGGCUUACCGAUUCUACCAGGUUCAACAACUUGUGGCAUCUCAAGAACUGAUUGAGGAGCAGGUGUAGGAGGUUGUUGUAAAACAAGAUUUGUUCUUGUGAAUUCUGUAAGUCAUUAAUUCAUCAUUUGAAAGAAGGCUUAUGUUGCUUCCUCACCUCGGCCCUCAGAUUUGGGCCUUUUACUACUAGAUACAGCUCUUUGAAUUAAAGCUGGAGCAUUGCUCUGAGCUUCCUCGGAUUCAGCUCUAGCUUGGUUAGAUGACAUUACUAUAUAAAAAACGCAUUUAAAAUAGACAAGAGAUAUCAGACUUUCACAAAUUAUAUAAUGGCAUAUAUAGCUAAACUCCUACUUGCUACGUUAUUCUGAGAAUCAACUAAACCGUAGUUUUGAUACCAAUAAAUAUAACACCUCUAACCCGUAUCCAUUGCCCGUAAGGUUACAAAGCAUUACCGGAGUUUACAGAACAUUACAGAUUAUUUAUGUCAUAUACUAUUCAUAUCCGAAACUACUCAUAUUGUCCCUUGAAUGGACCCUCGAAGCCUAAUUUAAACAUUUGAAACUAGUCGGGAUUAAAUCGGGAUCUCAGAGAAUUUUUUCGCGAAAUUUAAAUUUUUUUCUUAUAUAUAGGGUACACAUGCCCGUGUGGCCAAGGCACACACCCGUGUGACCAUAAGACACGUCUGUGCUACAGGCCGUGUCCGACCCCAUAUAACUCUCUGAUUUGUGCCACACGACCUACCAUACGCCUGUGUGCUAGACCAUGUGGUCAGUUUAAUUUUCACAAAUUAAGUGCAGGUUUCACAACACCAAGAAACACACCCGUGUUCUAGGCCGUGUGUCACACACGGCUGAGACACACGCCCAUGUCACUGCCAGUGUGCCAAAUUCUGAACAUUAUGUUUCUCAAAUUUAAUAUGCAGGAGACACACGGCCAAACCACAUGCCCAUGUGCUAGGCCGUGUGUUACACCCGCAGUCAAGAAACACGCUCGUUUGUCUACCCGUGUGGACAAAAUAAUGUCAUUUCUUUGUCUUGCUUGUCACCCAAAUUUAACCUUAAACCUACAAUAACAUUUUCAUACAUUUUCCAAUCAAUUCAAGUCAUAUAAAUCAAAAAAACAUCUUUAACAUGUAUGAAAUAGUAUCACAUAUUCAUAUGAUCAAACUUACCUUCUUGUAAUGAUUUAUAUUUUACCCUAAUUCAAUUUAACCAAACCACAUACAUAUAAGCUAAACAUGACAUAUAUCCUUAUAAUAACAUGCCAAAACAAUCCAUUUUAAACCAUUCCAAUGGCUAAGUUACAAACAACUAUUUACAUACCAAUAAAUGUCAAGUUAACCUAUACAUUCCAUUAUAUCAAAAUGAGAUUACUUUUUAUACAAAACAAGCUGGAGGAUAGUGUGAUGAUUCUCCGACCGUUCUCCAACCUUAACGAGCUUCCAAAAUACCAUAAAACAAAGAAAAUAAAACCUAGUAAGUAUUUAAUGCUUAGUAAGUUCGUAUAACAAAAAGUAAACUUACCAAUCAUAUUCAUUUAAAUAAAUAUAACAAUAACAUGCUUUUCAACAAAUUAGCAAAUUUUCCUAAUCACAUACAUUCAAAUAAGCAAGUUAGUCACAUAAUUCACAUGUACAUUAAGUAAGCAUGGAUGAGCUUAUCAUGCUACACUCCUUUUAGGUAUUUCAGAAGUAUUCGGGACAUAACUCUUUUAAUCUCAUAAUUUCUCAUGUCAAAAGUUUUGUCUGUUGAAUUAUUAAAAUAUCGAUGGAUACUUAGGUAAUACACAAAAGAUGUGCAAAACUAUAAACCGCCAAUUCGUAAUCAGGGGUACCCAUUAGGGCACCUAAUUAGAGAGCACACUCUCGAGCCACAUAUCAGGAUGCUCAGAUGAGCCAUGUAACAAGACACUUAUCUGGGCUAAUCUGGAAACCCAUAAGAGUUUUAAUUAGAGAGCUCAUAGAGCUUAUCAGAUAACUUCGAAGAGUUAAUAUCAGGGAGCACCGGAUAAGGUAAAAAGAAGUUCAAAUAAACCAUAUCAAGAAGCCUAUAAGAGUUAAUAUCAGGACGCUCACGUAGAGCUGCGUUUGUGUCUGCAUUAUAUGCUGGAUCACAACCGGUUAAGUCAUGUAACAUGACGCUCACACAGAGCUAUGGUAGUGCGCAACACAUGUAGAAUCACUACCGAUCAGGAUGCUCGCAGGAACUAUAUAACAAGAUGCUCGAGAGGGCUAUAUCAAGAUUGCUCGUCUGAGCUAUAUUCUAUCCGCAACAUAUGCAGGACCAUAUUUAAUAUGGGAAAUCACAUAUAUCCAUCGAAUUUUAUUAUUCAAACGGAACCUAACAUCCUAUAAACAUUUUCGAGCAUGUGAUCAUUUCAUGUAUUUAUAACAUUCAUAUAACUCACAUAAAUACAUAUCAUACUCAAUCCAAAUACAACAUUCAAUUGAAACAGAUUAACAUGUAUAAUUGAGUUACACGAACUUACCUCAACACUUGUUUGUAUAUAAAAAUCUACUAAUUUGAAACUUUUUCUUUUCCUCGAUUUAGCUUCAAAUUUGAAUUGUACGGAUCUAUAUAAAUGAAUUUAAUCAUCAAUUUAAUACAAUUCAUACUCGAUUGGAUUUAAUUUCACUCCAGGAAAAAUUAUCAUUUUACCCCUAUACUUUUCAUAAAUUUCAAUUUCGUCCCUAGUCUCAAAAAAUGAAAUUCAUGUAAUUUAAUAUUUAUUCCAAGCUUAAUCAAAAUUUUCAUAUAAUGUUUACAGCACAUAUAUUUCAAAAAAUUCAAUUUUUUCUAUAACUUUUACAUCUUUACAAUUUAGUCCCUAAAUCAUAAUUUCAUGAAAAUUCACUUUAGAAAAGUUGUUUAUCUAUCAACAACCUUUCAUUUUCUACCAUAAAUUUCAAAAUUCCGGCAUAUUCAUCCAUGGAAAAACUUUGAUACUUUGAUAACUUUUCAAAUUAAUCCCCAAAAUAGAUAGAUUAAACUAUCCCAAUCUCAAAAAUAUAAAAAUUACUAAAAACGAGACAAGAAACAUACCUAAUUAGGCUUUAUUAGUUUCCUUUAUCUUUCCUAGGGUUUCCAUGCAAAUUUUGGGAAUGCAGAUGAUAUACAAUGAUAAUAUUUCGAUUUAAUUAUUUAUCAUCCAUUAAAUUUUCCACUUUCCAAUUAAGUCCUUACCUUUUUCUAAUUUUCCAUGGAUGAUUCAUCAAAAAUAUCUACUAACUUUUCUUUAAUGGUCUAAUUCCAUAUAAGGACCUCAAUUUUUGAAUUCCAUAGCUAUUUGAUACUUAUAGCUACUAGAACUCAACUUUUACAUUGCAUGCAAUUUGGUCCUUUCCAUAAUUAAACACAUAAUUGAUAAAAUUUUCUUAUCAGAAUUUUCAUAUAGUAUUCCUAUCAUAAUACAUACCAUGCAAUAAUAUUAAAAUAAAUUUUAUUUCUGGCUCAAAUUUGUGGUCCCAAAACUACUUUCCGAUUUCACUGAAAUUGGGCUAUUACAAUAAUUGGCCGAUUAGAUCUGUCGAGCACAUCACACAUUAUGCCAAUUAUCUUCAACAUAGGCCAAAAGCUGCAUUUUUUUAUCAAUGAUGGUAAUUUUGCAGUAUCUCAGAUUUUAUAUGGAAUGGUCUGUAGUGAACGAUAAACCUUAUAUGUAUCCAUAAGAAUAGGCUCAUGUACAUUGGAUUGAACAUCUAUUUUGCAAUGUCGAAAGAGGAACAUAAAAGUGCAAACCCAACUUGUCGUCUUAGGCCAAUAGGGAGGAGGGAGGAAUCUAUGAAUGUGUUGUGCCAUAGGUGUACCUAGCAAUGAAGCUAGUAAAAAUGGUUGCAAUUAAGACAGAGGUUGAGAUCACGACAAAAAGCAUUCCUAUUGAAGAUGCCUUAGCUAUUAUACUUGUGAAGCUGAAAAAGGUUUUAACUUUUCAAAUUUAAAAGUCGAUCUUGUAUUUGUUGAGAUCAUGGAUGAAGAUUCAAUGUACCAACUAGAUGAGCAAUGUUGUUUUUGAUAUUAUGAUGUAUUACUUGAAGUAGAUAAUUUUAUAUAUUUAUGUUAUUAGUUCAAAUAUUUAAUGCAAUAGGGAUUAUAAAUAUUGGUAAUUGAAUAUAAUUUAGACAAUAUACACAAUUAUAUCCUUUACCUUCUAUUAAGAGGGAACUCCCAUGAUUGGGAAUGGAAUGAUACUAACCAUGACAUCCAUGUCCAUACCCAUGUUUGUAGAUGUAGGUAGCAACUGUUAACCUUGACGACCCGUUCUCAUAUUGUCCUGCAAAAUGCCUAUACAAAUAUGCCAAAGUCGCAAAACCCAAGUUGUAUCUAUCGACUGUCUUAAAAAACUCCAAUAGAGAAAUAUACAUUGUGUUCCUCCUAACAUCCAAAGCAUUAAAGGACUAGCAUAUCAAUCCAUCUCCUUCAUUGUUGCAUGUGAUUAAAGGGCUAGCUUGAAAAGCCUUUGUGACUAUGUAUGUUUCACAUGAUUUUCAUCUAAUUCCUUUUUGUUGUUAUCCUUCGAAAGGGGUGACAACCAAAAUUUGAUAGCACUCACACUUCACAUUGAUGGUGCUAGACCCCUAUGAUGAUUUGACAACCCCGAUACCCAUAAAUAUCAAAAUAACCUUAAAACAAUAUAUUUUAAUAAAUACCUUUUGAAAGUGGUGAUUUGCAUAAAUAAUAUUAAAAAACACUAUAUUUGAGUAAAAUAAACUACACUCUUACGAGUUCCAAGAGCUUAUUUUAAGAAAUACAAAUGAAAAAGAAAAAAAAGUUAAAAACAUAAUAAUAUUUUGAUUUCAUCCUAUGUGAAUGGAACAUUAAAAAGAAACUUAUUAUUAAUGUAUUGAUUUUUUUGGUUUUACCUUUUAGCCUAAAGUAUGUUAUAUUUAUUACAAAUUUUGACACAUUAAAUCGUAUUUUAUUUGAAUGUUAUAUUUAAUAUUUUAUUAUAAUUUUUUUGGGAUUCACUCAUAAAAGGUUGGAUACAUUGGAAGUAAAAUUUCAGUUUCAAUUACAAAAAUUGUAUGGUGUUUUAAGUACUUAAAAGAACAGUUGAAACUUUACGUGAGACCAAAGAUUUUGGUUGUGUGUAAAUUUGUGGUAUGUACAUUCACAUCCACACGAAAACCAAGUGGGCUCAAACAAGGACUAGGAUCCCACUACAUCUACUCACUGCCACGGCAUCUGGGACCUGCCUCUUUUGUUCCUUAGCUGCUAUGGUAAUCAAUUAAGCAAAUCUAUGUUGUUAUUUAUUGUUAUUGUUAUUAAAAGUUUCUUUAGUUAAAUUUAAGAAAUUUAAUCUUUUUUUAUUUUUUUUCUUUAAAAAUAAAAAAUUAUUCUUCAUAAUGAAAACCUGUUCGGUAACUGUUUUUUUAAACAUGAGAAAUAAAAAUUUAAUUUUUAUAAUGAAAGAUAUUACGUGCUCAAGUGCACUUGCAAGCUUAAGAAAUCUAUAAAAAAUUCAGACUCAAUUCAAAUAAUUAUUUAAUAAUGAGUAUUAAGAUUAAAAUCAAACUUUGAUGCCUAUAAAAAAAAUACUUUUACUAUCAAACUAAAAAGUAAUUUAAGGGUAAAAGCAUAUAGAUAUUAUUUUUGAAGUUUGUACACCCAAUACACAGACUACUAGUGUUUAUUAAUGAUUUGAGUAAAAAAUAUUUGUUUUGGUACGAAAUACACUAGAGGUUUGAAAUAAGUCAUGAAAACCUUUAAAUAAUAAUAAUAGCAACAUAGUUAUUAUUUUUACUUAAAAUUAAUGAAUAUUUAAUUAUUCAAAAAUUAUAUUAAAGUGUUAUAAAAUUAAAUUAUGUUUAAUUUCAAGUAAAAUUAAGUAUUUUGAACUUGAUGUAUUCAUUAAAAUAAUUUUAUAAGAUUAAAAAUAAUACAAAAACAAAAACAAAACUGAAGUACUGAUUAUCGAAUUUGAAAAAAGAAAGAGAACCACAGCCGGGAUCCCAAAUUAAUGUUUUCUUCCUUCGCAUCCAUUCCACCAAACAUCUUCACAAUUUUGUGGUGGUUGCUUUUCUUUCUAAUUAUUUAAAUUUAUUUAAUGUACUUCUAAUUGUAUUUAAAAUAAGUUUAUAUAUUUUUCAAAUUUUUUUUUGUUAAAUUUAGAUUUAUAAAAUUUUAAAAACAAAAUUUUUGAAGCAGUUAAAUCAGUUUCCCAAUGAUUUUAAAAAUAAUAAAAUCAAGGUAGAAUUAUAAAUUCAAAUACUCAUAUAUUUGUUACCUCUACACUUAUCUAGUUUUAAAUAAGCCAAAAAAAAUGUAGUGAAAAUAGUAAAUCGUCUUCAAACUGGCCCCUCAAUGGAACCCAAGAAAUGGUUUAAUUUUCUGUUCUUGAAGGAACGGCACAAUAAUGCUCUUGGUUGGCCUCAACCACCGCCGGUUACACUAUCUAACACGUUCAACCAAUAUGAUUACAUUUUAAUAUAUAUAAAUUAUUAUCAUGUACACAUUGAAAACAAAAAUACAGGAUACAUCAAUAGCAAUCAUUGUAACAUUUGCAGGAUUCAAUUAAAAAAAAAAAAAACACCCAGAAGCCUGCUUAUGAAUAACCCAGCUAAUAAUGAUAAUGAUGUAUAAAAAAUGGGGAAAUUGAGAUCUUCCAACAUCAAAAUUGGAGGGUGGAUCCAUUUUUAUCCACUUCCAUAACAAAACUCUUAGAUUAGUUUCAUAUCGAAACCUAUAGCAGAGCACCCUCCUUUUGGAGCAUUAUCCAAUUAUUAUCUGCUUUGUUCAAGAUACCAGACAGUUCCAUGGUUCUGAUGAACAUGGAAUCGUUCAAGGAAGGUGAUUGUAAACUACUUAAUGAUAAUUCACCAGCUGAUACUAGUUUCAUCACCUCAGACUCAUCCAAACCUUUGGCAGGGCCAAGGCUGCAUUCAUCCGAUCCGUGCUUUGCCAAUGCAGCUUUGAAUUUCUUGAUCUGCAAACAUAAUAUAUGUCAAACACUUACUAAUACGAAAUGAAAGAAUGCUAUACCGAAAAGCUUACCGUAGCAUUGGUGCAGCUGAAGCUGCCGACUCGCCCUUCAGCACCUUUAUAAAACCUAAAGAAGGGUAAGACAUGAAUAUUGAGACAUUGACACAUCUUCUUCAGUUCUUCAUAGUUAACUUCAAGGAAAAUCGCAUUUGGAUUCUGUUCAGCCAGUUGACAGAUCUGAUACAAACAUAACCCAACCAUCAACAAACCUUAACACACACGGAAAAUAAACCAAGACAAUUUUUUUUUUGGUUAAAAAUCUUACACACAAAAAUACCUUAGGAUGGAGGGCUUUGCAACCACCACAACCGGGUGAAUAGAAGUCGAUAAUGACCAAUCGAUCACCAGCAUUUUGUAAGGAACAUACAAGUUCUUGAGCAGAGUGGAUCUUCACCAUGUUGGGUUUAAGAUUUUUUUCCCACCAUCUCAUACAUCGGCUCACACAGGUUCCUUCAGCCUGGGAAAAAAAUCAAUUGCUUUAAACAUCAGCUUCCAGCCCAAUCUAUUAAAACAAAAUGAACCCAGAAAAGAAAAAACCUUUAAAAUCCAAAAGUAAAGCAAGGUUUUUUGACAUACUUGAACAGAGAAUUUGUUUUCAGGUUUGGUGGUGCAGUUUCUUGAACCAUUCUGAUCUGGGACGACAAGUGGUUUCCCCCAAAAAUCAAAGGUUAAAGCAGGAAACUUUUUUGAUGAUGAAGAAGCCUUGGAAUCUAAAGAAGUGCAUGAUGUCGAAAACCAGGAAGCUUUCUUGGAAUGGGAGCUCAACAUAGUCUCAUUGAACACAGAAAAAUAUGAACCACACUUCAAUGAAAAAGAAGCCAUUCGCAGUUGUCAAAAUGAACCAAAAGUGAAGAUUUUGAACAAAAUAAUGUGCUCUGUUUUUUGCCCUUCGGAUGGUUGAAGAGAGAGAAAGAAGAAGGUCGAAAAGGAGGACUGGGUGUUGGUGUGGAUAUAAAACGGAAGUGAGUCGAGUGGGGUCAAAAUGAUUUGGAUUUAAGGUUAUCCAAUUUGUUUUCCUUUUUGUAAUCAUAAUCCAAUUUGUCUUGUAUUGAUUGAGAAGUAUACAAACCAAAUAGUUUGGAGUAUGAUUGCCACCGAAUUUCAUGAUAAUCAACUAACUAGUUCUGAAAUUAUGAGGAUAAUGAGAACUACUUCUUUUUAAUGUUUGAUUUCAAAUUUUGGAUAACAUACUUCCAACUCUUUAAGGAAAAAUAACUAUCAAUUUUCACUCAAGUUCUCUAACUUUAAACACUUCUUUUUUGCUUUUAACUACAGCUGCUGUGAUUUCUCUACAUAAUUUCUCUUAUAUUUCUCUCCUUUUCUUAACCUCAAAUUUUCUUUUUUUCCAUCCAAACAUAUAAAAAAAAAUUCAUUUCAGGCUCUCAAAAUAAAAGGUUUGUUGUUUAAGCACUCUCGUUAUAUAGUUCUGCCAUUUUGGUCACUUCCGUUAAAAUCACUAACGGACAUAAGAGUUAAAAAUUUGGUAUAAUAAUAAAUUUACCCCUUAAAUUUUAUAUAUUAUUUCAAUUUAGUUAUAAAUUUAAAAAAACAAAAUUACAAAUAGUAACCUUAAUUCUAAAAGAAUUAAAGGAAUAUAUAAAAAUACAUAAAUAUUUUCAAAAAUAUAAUAAUAAAUUUUAAUUUUUAUAUUAAUAUUAAUAUUAAUAUUAAUAUUAAAUAAAAAUAAUUAUAUUAGUAUUAAUAAAAAUCCCCCACUCAAAAUAAUUUUGUAUUAUUAUAUUUUUUAAGAAUAUAUUUACGUAUUAUUAUAUAUUUCUUUGAAUUUUUUAGAAUUAUGACCAAAUUAAGACCAUUCAUAAAUUUUCAGAGUUAAUUUUUUAAACUUAUGACUAAAUUGAUAUAAUCUGUAGAAGUUGAGGACUAAAUUUGUUACUAUACCGAUUUUUAAAUUGUCACGUCAGUUUGUAGUUUGUGAUUUUACCGAGAGUGACCAAAGACCUAACUAUGUACCAUGGGUGCGUAAAUUAUAAACUUUUUAUUUUGAGUGCCUAAAAUAAAUUUUUUUUGAGAAUUAACCGACUAUUUGUGUAGUUCACCCCAUUUUAUCCAUUAUUAAAAUAUUUUUUGUUAGGUUAUGAGACAGAUCAACGGUAAAUCUUAUCCAUUUUUAGAUGACAGUUUAACCAUUUUAUUGUAUCCCAAAAACAAAAUCAUAGAUCAGUUACUUCAAACAAUUUUUAUUUUUAUUUUUUACAAUUAUUUAAAUAUAGCUUUAUUCGUAAUUAAAUUAUCUUAUUUUUCUAACUUGGUUCUUUUUUAUCGUCAUUGGUACUUAAACUAUUUUUUUCUCAAGUUAGGAUAUUCGUUAGUCAAACUCUGAAGUCUAUUUAAAAAAAAAAACUUAACCCUUAAAUUAGUAUUUAAACUGUGCAUUUUUAUCAUUUUCAUACCUAAACUUUUUUUUUAUUCAAAUGCACUUAAAUUAUUUUUUUCCCAAGGUGGUACCUUUGUUAGUUCAAUAAUUAGUUAAAUCGUUAAGUCUAUUUAAAAAAAAAUUAAAAAUUGACAUGUGGUAGAAAAGGACAAAAAGCAUUAUUUUUUUCUUAUAUGUUUUUUUCUUUUUUUUUUCUUCCUGUAAAACUAAAAUGAUGGUUGAACCAAUUGGACCGCCAGUUCUCUGUUUGAUCAGAUAAAUUAUUAAAAGUUCAUAAAAUAAAAUAAAAAACAUAUAAACUCAGUUCAAAUGAUUUUUAUAGCUCACUUCAAUUAGUUUGUAUCGAUUUGUGGGGCAAUUGGGUUCAACCCUUAUCUCCAAACCAAUACCUUAACUGGCUCUUGGUCUAGUCGAUUCGGUUUUGAAAAUACUAAUUUUGAUCGGUGAAAUAAUUUUUUCAACCCCGGCAAGUUAAGCAAAUAGGCAGUGAAGUUGAAAACAAAAUUAAUUGCUAGCGUCUAGACCUCAGGAGGGCAAAUUUCGAGCAUUGUUAGUAUUGCUAGACAUUAUAAAGGAAUAAGAAAGGAAAAAAAAAAAGAGAACUAAUGUAAAAGGAAAAUAAAAUAUUUUUUAAGUUUAUAUUAUGUGGUCAUUUAUUAUUAGUUGGGUUUUUUUCUAACAGAUAUAAUAUUUUGGUGUAAAAUGGGUAACAAACAACUAUAUUUUAUAGGGAUUAAUAUGUAGUUUGCCCCAUUCAACUUGUCUAAAAGUUCCUAUCUGGUAUCUAAAUUUUUUUUUGACCUAGUUGGUAAUUGAAUUUGUAUUUAGUCACCCAAGUGGGUGUCUCCUCACUAGCAUUGUUAAUUUGUGUUGACUUGACACUAAUAGCCAAUUCGAUACUGAUACGUGGCAGCCUCUCAAUGUGCCAUGUGAUGGACAUGAGUAAAAAAUAUUAAAAUUUUAAAAAUAUAUAAAUUAAUAAAAGGAAUAUAUUUUUCAUAUAAAAAAUGAAUCUAGACAUAUGAUUGUCCGUCACGUGGUAUAUUGAAAGGCUGUCAUGUGUCAUCAUAAGAUUGACUAUCAAUGUCAUUCGUGAAAAUUUAAUCGAAACGAAUAAUAUACGAAAUAAUUAAAUAAAACUAUAAUAUUUUAAAACAAGCGUAUUGAAAAAUUUAAAACAAAACUUGAGAAAAUUGAGAGAGAUAAGAGUUUAGAGAGAAUAGAGAGAGUUGGAUUUGAGUAAAAAUAAUGAAAAAUGGCUUGAUAUUUAUAGAAAAUAAAAGUUACUAUUAGCUCUUAAAAAUUUUUAUUGUUGUCAACAUUCAAAAAGUCGUUGGGAAAAUGAUCGUUGGAGCUGAACGCGUUUCCACACACUCUCUCCUAAAAUGACUUAUUUGUUUAAUUAAAAAAAUCUAAAAAGCGAAUUAAAAAAAAACAUAUAUCUUUCUAACUUAGCUUAACUAAAGAAAAUACAAAUUUAGAGAUAUUUUAACCUAAAAUAAUGUAUGGGGUACAUUCUUAAUCCAAUUUGGAUUAGGAAAAUACACAUAGCGGGACUCCCAAAGCAUCAUUGGCACAUACAGUAAACGUUAAAAUAUUCUUAAAGAAAAAACACUUACAACCUAAAAAAAAUAUUUUCGUGGGAUCUGAAUGGAGACAAGUCAAGGGACAAAAUAUGGAAAGAAAGAAAGAAAGAAAAACCCUCAAAUUGAGCAUUUUUUAAUCAGAAAAUUAUUUUCUUGUCUAGGCUAGUGAUAAAUUUUAAAAAGAUUUUACGUUUAUAGAAUUAAUAAUUCAUAUUAUAUAAAUAGUAAAAUAUUUUAUAUAUUAAUGUGUUUUGAUUAAUUUUUAAAUUUUUUUUUUGGUAUCAUAUUAUAAGAUAGGCCAAACCUCUGGAGCAAAUACUAUAUAUAAAUAAAUAAAAUCUUGAUUGGGAACUAAAAGUUCCAAAAUAGCCACAUUCAAUGAGACAGAUGAAAUUAUAUGGUAUUCUGUGUGAAAAAAGAAACACUCUCUUUUGCCAAAGAUGAAGAUAAUGUCAGGUUUAUUAGUAUUUUUAUAAAAUUUCUAUUUUUUUUUUAUCACAAAACUUUAACGAGUCAUAGCAUCUCACAACCACAUGAUUGUAAUUAGCAUUGGAUGAACAAAAAACUUAAUGUUCAGAAAGUCUGAUUGUUUGUAUCAUAGUUGUUCGUGAGUAGGAUUGAUUUUUUAAAAAAAAGUUAAUUUUUAUUGUUUGAAAAUGAAGUAAAAUAUUUUACAUCAUAAUUAAAUUUAAUAAAAAUAUUACUUUUAACAAAAAAUAAUGUGGAUGGAAUCUAACAAUUUAAAUAGAAAAUAUAUUGUACUUGUGAAACCAUCUUUAAAUCUAUUAAUCCACGUAACCAAUCAAAUUUGUUGAAUAUUAGUUACUAUUAAAAUUAAUUUAAAAUAGAUUAAAAUUUAAUUCGAUUAGUAUAGAUAUCGUUAUCAAUGCAAGAGGAUAUAGAUUUGAGCGCGUUGCAGUGCAUUAUCCUCCUAUUUAUGAGUUGAGGAGGGGUUAUAAAUAGUUGUAGAUAUUGUAUAAAAAAAUAGAUAUAAUCAGAAUUUAUAAUAAAAUUUUUAAAAAAUAAUUUUUUAUUCUAAAAAAUUUUUGGAAUGUGUUUGGUUAAAUAAAAGUUACAUUUGCCGAAACAAUGUGAGAUUUGAUUGAUUAUACAUUUAGUAAUAAGUUUAGCUUAUUUAAAAAAAUAUUUAUUUUGGUCCAUUAAUUUAAUAAUUUCGUACAUUUUGGUAUUCACGUACUUUAAAAAAAAAUGAUAUUUACUUGAUAAUUAACUUCAUUUUGAUCUUUCAAUUUAAAUUUCAUUAUAUUUAUUUUCAUGUCAUUUUAGUAGUAUAUCUACGUAGAUAAUUGCCAACAUUAUAUAUUAUUUUUAGGAAAGAGUUUAUAAGAAAUAUAAUAUAAUUAUAAAUGCAAAAAGUAGAAUUAAAUUAAUGUAGAGUAUAAAAAAUUUAAAAAAAAUUAUAAUAUAAUUAAACAAAAUUCACACAAAAUAAAUACGCAUUUAUACAUAAUAAAAACAAUUAUCAAACUUGAUUAUUCAAGGAUCCUAAAACUUCAUUCACUGCCAUCAUACAUGAUUAAAUUAACAAUGAUAGACUUGAUAAAAAUAUAAAUUCGAUAAUCAAUGGUAUUUGAUUUUACAAGUGAAAUUAAUAUAAUUUUAAUUAAAAAUAUCUCCUUUUAUAAUUUCAGAAUUUGCAAUGGAUAGAAGCAAUUGAGAUUAGGAUAGGGAUGCUGCUGCCUUAUCUUCAAGUUGAAGAACAAUAGAAAGAGGAUUGUAGUUCAGCUUUUGUUUCUGAAAGCCGAAAAAAGCAAUCCUUUUAUCCACAUUGGAUACAAAGAUAUUGAGGUUGAAACCCAUGCCUUGACCACCAAGGGACUGCAUGUGGAUAUUUAUUUUAGGAUUUUUGGAUAAAUAAAUGUGGGGUAGCUUUUAAAGUAUUGCCCACGGAUUUUGGAAUUUUCUUCACAUACAUAUUAUACCCAUUGUUUUGGAACCCUAGUUUUGCUAAAACCAAGGCUAACAUUGACUUGGAAUUUUUUAACCAGUUUUUGCAAUAUGUGUUUGUUUUGUAUUUUUUAAAAUUAUAUUAAUUUAUUUUAGUUUUAUAUCAUUUUAAUAAAAAGAUAUAUGAUUUAAUGAUAUAUUAUAAUUUUAAAAUUAUAUUCAUCAACAAGUAUUGAGUAUAAUAGUAAGAUAUAUUAUAUUUUCAAAGUAAUAACAAGGUUUAAAAUUUGAAAACGACAUUGUUAGAAAAGACAACUAUGAACCCUAAACAUUUAUCGUAAUACAAACAUGAAAAACACCAAAAAAAUAUAUUAUAUUAAUUUAUUUAAUUUAUCAUCUUAAUAAAAAGGGUAAACUAUGUCUAAAGUCACUAAGCUAUUAGUAAAUUUAUGUUUUUAUCACUCAACUUUUAAAAGUUACAAAAUGGUCACUAAACUAUUUAAAAGUUUUCAUUUAAGUCCCUAGGUUGUUAAAAUCGAUGUUGUAUAGUCUUUUUUGUUCACACUGCCUAUACCAACUAAAAAUUCUCAUUCCCCAAUUCUCUUCUACAGAGAAACAUCUUUGAACAUCACAAAUCUACAAACUAAAAUCCAAACAACUUUCUUCUCCGAUCUUCAACAAUGAUUGUCAAAUCGAUUUGGAUCUAAGGUAUGUUCUUCCACUCAUUGAUGGGUACUGAUCCACGGUACGGAUCAUCGAAUAGUCUUUUGGAGCUUACUAGCCGGACUUUAAAAAAAAUUAAUCGCCCAAUGACUUAAAUAAAAACUUUCGAAUAGUUCAGUGACUCUGGGUUUAGUUUAUCAUAAUAAUUAAAACUAGAUUAUGGCAUAUCCAUAAUGUAGGUGAAACAAAUUUAUAUAUAUAAAAAAUAGUAUGAAAACUAAAUGUGGUUUUUAUUAAAAUGGUAAAAUUGAGAGGGUGACAACCAAGUUAUUUUAAUUUCAAAUAUCAUGAUUCCCAACACUGUAUGUAUUUUUCUAGAUUUAUCAAAAUAUAAAGACAAAAUAAUAUUCGUGGCUUUGUAAAUGGAAUGAGAUUUCAAUAAUUUUACAACAAUGAUAAUAUGUGACACUAACUCAGCCGAACACAUUACAAUAGUACUAGAUUUUGUCACAUCCAUAAUGUGGAUGUUAAAAAUAUUUUAUUUUUUGGAAAAAAUUUAGAAAAUGGAGACUUUUAGCGGUUCUUUCAACAAAGAUGGCAAGGGAGAAGAUUGUCAAAAUAAGGAAGCAAAUUCAGAUGUAAGCAAAUUCAGAUGUGGUGAUGGCGGUAGAAUUGGACUUAGACUCUCUAUUAUCAUGGAAGGAGGGGUUGCUAGGGGAAAGUUCUCGUGUUUUGAGAGGGAAGAAUAGUUCAUCAGGCAUCGAAGAUAAUGAUGAUUUUACUUUCAUGGAAGGAGACAUUAUGAGAUCCUUUAUGAACGAUAUCCCAUCAAUUAAUUUCUCAAAGAGAAUUAAUCAGUUGUUAAUUAAGGAUAUGACUUUCACAGUGGUGGUGAAGCUCUUAGGUAGGAAUAUUGGGUAUGCAACGCUUCAAAACAAAAUCUAUGCUUUGUGGAAGCCAACCCAACCUUUCAGUUUGUGGCUUUGGAAUGUUCAGGUUCAUAUUAUUUGAUUUGUAAAGAGAUGGAGAUUAGGGAAGAGCUUGAAAUUGUUCUUUAUCACAAAUAAUUACUUUAGAAGCAGAAAUUCCGAUGUGAGUAGCUUAAUUUGAGAGAUCGAAAUACUAAGUUUUUUUAUCGUCACACAAUUCAAAGGAGAAAGGCUAAUCAUAUCAUCACCUUGUGAAACCAAUUAGGGGAUUAGAUUUAUGAUCUAGAUGAUAUUUAGCAAGAGGUAGUCAAUUUUUUCCAAAAAUUGUAUGGGGAACAGUCGAAUCCUGGGGAAGUUUCACCUUCUAGUUCAUUUCCUUAAAUUAAACAAUGUGGUAAAGAUUUGUAACGCCCCAAUUUUCGGGAAUUCUGUGAAUAUUGGCAUAGGUUUAAUUAUGUUAGUGGGCCUCUAGAAGGCCCAAGCUUAAGAUAGAACCCGAAAAUUUUAGUUAAUUUUUUUUCCAUAAGAAAAAGCGGGUGAAAUUAUGAAAUAGGACCUAUGUGAAAAUGUUUGAAAAUGCUAUAGGCUAAAUUGAAGUGGCCAAAUAAAUAGGAGUGCAAAAUAGGAGGAUUUGCAUGACAAACCUCCCAUUUUACAUGAAGUGGCCGGCCAUCAUGUUGUUGAAGACAAUAUGUGCAUUUGAUAUCCAUAAUUUAUGGUACAAAUUGAUAAAAAUUGAUAAUGGGUUAGGUAAAUUUUCCAUGAUAAUGGGUUAGGUAAAUGUUCCAUGAUAAUGGGUUAGGUAAAUGUUUCAUGAUGGGCAUUUCAUGUCUUUUGUAUUAAAGGAUUAAAUGGAUGAAAUAUGAAAUUUUAUUAAAAGAAAAAGGGGUGAAAAGAACAAAGUUUUGUCCAUCUUUGUUCAUCAUAGCCGAAAGUUAGAGAAGAGAAAGGAGAGGAGAAAGCUCUUGAAUGUUCGGUCACUUGGGGAAGAAAAUUGAAGGUAAGUUCAUGGUAGUUUGCUUCUAUCUUGAUGUUCAUGAGUUCUUCUUGAUUCUACCUUAACUCUUGAAGCAUAUUUUGGUUUUUUAGUUGUGUUGUGAGCAUUUAGUCAUGAAUUAAAAUGAAGGAAAUGGUUGUUGUUUCAUGUUCUUUUGAUGAAAAAUGGAAGAUAGGUGAAGUUGAGCCAAACAAAUGAGCAUGCAUGUGCCUUAGAUGCUAAGGGGAAAAAUCGGCUAAUAUGUUGUGCUUUAAAAUGAUGAAAUAGAGAUUAUACUUAAGUAAAAUCAUAGAUAUGUGAUGAUUGAUUGGUGAUAUACAUGUUUAAAUAACAUGCAUGCAAGUUAGGUGUGUGAAAGAGUGAUUUGGUAAUAAAUCUGCUUGAGACAGCAGCAGUAACGUGACUUUGGAAAAUCACCAUAAAUUGUGGGAGAUGAAUUAGAAGCUGAAUAAAUUAUGUAAUUAAAUCUUAAUGAGUCUAGUUUCAAAUGAAAUAAACAAGAACAUAUUUUGAAUUCUGUACAAUGAGAAAUUUGAUUCGUAAUAAAGAGUGGUCAGAUUAGUCAAAUAGUGAAACAUGGGAAACUUUAAGAAAAAUCUGGUAUUGAUUGGCCAAACCAAAAAUUCUGAAAAUUUUAUGGAUAGAAGAUAUAUGAGUCUAUUUUCAGGGAAAAUUAACGGCACUUGAUUUGGAGUUUCGUAGCUCCAGUUAUAAAUGAUUUAGUGACUGUUGCUCAGAAAGACAACUUGCAGUGAAAUUUUGAUUAUGUGGUAAACAUUGACAAAAAUUUGUUAAUGAGUUGCUUAUUGAUUUCUUAUAAGCUUACUAUGAUCUGUAGGUGUGGUUGGCCGAAUAUGGUAUGGGGUUAAUAUGUAGUUCGUGCUUGAAUAGUUAGAUUAACGUGUUAGUAAUCCAAUUGUAGGCAGUUCGUGUGUGGAUCUCGUCAGCAUAUCGUCGCAAACAGGUGUGUAACUAACACCCUCUUAUAGACUAGAUCGGCACAAGCCGAAAAGCUGAAAUGCCGAAAAGCCGGUAUUUUGAGAUCUUGCGAGUGUGUGAAUGCUCAUGAGAUUAAUAGUUUAAUGUAUAUGGUAAAUUAAAGUGAUAAGACUGUAGAGUGCGCGAUUCCGUGCAUUUCGAUGUUUUUAGGCUUAAUGGGCCAAAAAUGGGAUAAUGGGCCAACGGGCCCAAGUUGGUAAGAAAACGCGGAAAGUGUUUCUAAUCGUACGUAAAUGGCUAUGUUAUGUAUGAAAACCUUAAGAAUAGUGAAAUUACUUGAACACCCCUAUGUAUGCAAAAUUACCGUUAUACCUAAGGUUUUUUUUUCUGAAAAGCAUGAUGUUCUGUUUCUGUAUACGUAUGCCAUGACAUAUUAUUUCUGUUGCAUGGGGACAUGGGUUAUAUUAUGGAGGAAGCGUCCUGGUGGCUAUGCCACAAAUAUCUGAUCUGGUGGCUCUACCACAUAUAUCUGUUCUGGUGGCUCUGCCACGAUUAUCUGUAUCUGGUGACUCUGUCACAUUAUCUGUUCUGGCAGCGAUGCUGCAAAUUCUGUGGUGUGUAGCGGUUGGGUUGGUCGAGUUGUCUCCCCACACGGUGUAAGCUUGGUACGAGGGUGUAUACGGUUGGAUAUGGUUGGGUUUCUGCACAAACAUGUAAUAUUUGUUCUGUUAUGGGCCUAUGGGCUUUAUUCUGAAUUUCUGUUCUGGGCUAAGGCCAACUUAUUCUGUUUCUAUAGUUUGAGCUGAUAUAGGCUAUGGUUGGGUUAAUUUACACACUGAGUUUCCCCAAACUCACCCCUUUUAUUUUCAUCCACGCAGGUAAUCCCCAACCAUAGUGGGCUUGGAGCUGUGAGGGAAUUUGGAGUGGCCACCCGUUCUGAAAGUUUGAUUUUCUUCUUGUGAACUGGAUAUCCUUUUAUUUACGUUUGAGGUUUGGGUUUUUAAAUGUAAUAAGGCCGCUUAAUUAUUUAUGAUGGUUUUAAUAUGUGUUACUAAGAUAAGUAUUACUUAUUUUAACUGUUGAAAUUGGAAAGCUUUAGGGCGCGUUUUCAAAUACAACAAUUGAUUUCAAAAUACCACGGCAACAAGCAAAGCUUCCGCAAUGAAAGUAUUUUCCAAAAUUAAUCACUUUUCCUAAAAAGGACUUAAUCAAAUUGGUUUCCUAUAAAUAUACAUGACGUUAAGUUGUGGCUGUACAAGCCCAAUUUUGGGCCCAAAACCCACUGAGCCCACUAAGCCUAAAACCCAAAACCCAAUUUCAAAGGAAACCCUAGCCCAUUACAUUAAUGAAAAACAAAAGAAGAAGCUAAGGAAACCCUAGCCGUCAGCACAUCUCCCCAUCCACCACCGACGCUUGCAAGUGGCCUCUGCUCCACCAUCGUUCGCCUACAACAUUUAAAAAGGAGAAUAGACAAAUAUUAAAAAAAGAAAUGUAGUGGCUAUUUAAAGCCAAAUCAGAGAACCAUGUAAGGGAGGGGAUUUUCUUUGAAAUGAAAAUGCAAUAUUAGAUUGUAAGAAUACUAGCAAAAAAACAGAUCCCAGCAACAUCGAAAGCAAAAAAAAACAGUCCAAACAAAGAGUCAAAAUCCAAUAGCCGAAGGUGAUUAUCAUCGUUAAUUCCUUUCCCUUUUUUAGUCUAUUUACCUAUAUACACCUACAUAUUAUAAAUAUAUUUUAAAACACAAAAAAGGGGAGAAAAUUUUACCUUUUCGAAACUCCAGCCACCGUGCACGGUGGCUGGCGACGGUGACGCACGGCGCUCCGGCGACCGGCCGGUGAUCCCCCCUGGCCGGAAAUCGCCCCUCUCCCCUCUCUCCUUUUUUUUUCUCUCCUCAGCAGCUAAAAUGAAAUUUUUUAGAAAUUUUCAGGCUUUUAUAGCCUACCAAAACGGCACCGUUUUGGUGCCUGGUCUAAAAUGCAGAAACGACGCCGUUUCAAGCAAUGACCCAAAGACCCGACCCGCCUAUGCCCAAGGUCCGCGUGUUUUUAGACUGAGGGGUUAUUUGCGCCCUCAGUCCUUCCGCUUUUCCAAGGCUUUACAAUUGAGCCUCGUUUAAUUUUAAUUUGGCCCUAAAAUUCACUUUGUUUUCAAUUUAGUACCUUUGCAAACUGCGCCGUUUUAGUAGAUCGGGAUAUUUACUCCUUUGAUCCCUCCUGGUCGCUCGCGUGUUCAAAUUAAUCCCUUUUUUCCUUCAUUUAUUUGAAAUUCGCCUCAAAAUUCCACUGUUAAUUCAAUUUCAUCCUUUUUUUUUACUUUUCCUCAUUAUUCUAAUUCAAUUCUAAUAUUAUUUAACAUAUUUUAUUAUUCUUGUAUUUUUAUUAAUAGUUCAUUAUUAUCAUUUUAUUAUAUAUAUUAUAAAGUGUUAUUGAUAGCUUAAUAUUAUUUUGUUAAUGUGUUUAUGUGUCAUAUAUGUAUUCAUUUAAUGUAUAUACAUUAUACUCCAUACUACGUAUAUAUGUAUUAGUAUUAUUAUGUAUAUUUACUCUUUUUAGACAUUACAUAUAUUUUACGUAUAUUAUGUAUAUAUUUUAAUAUAUUAUGUGUAUAUUUUGUUUUGUAUACAAUGUAUAUACAUCGUUAGUAUAUUAGUUAUAUGUAUUUAUCUCAUUUCAUGUACAUGUUAUGUAUAUGCAUCCAAUGUUAUCAUAUAUUUAUUUUCAACAUAUAUUUAUACAUAGUAAUACCACAUUAUUGUUAUUAUCAUCAUCUUUGUGAUUACUAUUAUCAUUGUAUUAUUACCCUUUUUUUUACUACCAUUAUUUUUUAUACAUAUAUAUAUCAUUAUUUGCAUUAGUACCAUUUUUAUUAUUAUUACUUUAUUACGGCUACUACUAGUAUUACUAUUAUUUCUUUAUUUUAUUACUAUUAUUAUUUUAUUUUAUUAUGCUGCCCUUAUUUUUACUACUAUUAUUGUCAUCGCUAUUAUAUUAUUAGCAUAUUAUUUUUAUUAAUACACUUUUUACCUUUUGUCAACAUUGUUAUUGUUUUUCUAUUUUAUAUAUUACUUAUUUAUUUAUCGAUUUAUUAUUAAGUUUCCUUUUAACUUAUUCUUCUUAUCCUUAUUUACUUUUAUCAUCUUAUUAUUUUUACCUAUUAUUCUCUUCUUCAAUUACAUAGCUCGUUUAUUUCUUUCAUUUUUUUGUCAUUCAUAUUACUCAUUUAUUAUAAUGCUUGUUAAGAUCAUGAUUUAUUUCUUUUUUCACGAAUUUGCGUUAUAUGAUCCUUCACCCAACAAAAAUAAUCCUUUCACAAAAAUAAUAUUCCGUAUUUGGAAAUUCGAGAAUCGUGCCCUAACUUACUGGGUUUCGACUUUUCUCAUUUAACCUAAACAACGGAAUAUAUUCUUUUUAAAUCACUAUAUGAGUUUUGAAAAAUGUUUAUUCUCGAAGAUGCGAAGUGUUGUGCCCUAACUUACCGGGUAUGACAUUUUGUCAUCUCGAAAUAAGAAUUUGUUUUGGAAUAAAGGCGAUGUUCGGAGUUUGAGAAUUCGAGAAAACGUGCCCUAACUUACUGGGUUUCGAUUCCUCUCGUUUACUCUAAAUAAUCGAAUACCCUUUUAAUAAAAUACAUAGAUUUUAUAAAAGGCAAGCUCGCUCUCGAAAAUUCAAGAUGUUGUGUCCUAACUCACUGGAUAUGACGUUUCAUAUUUUGAGACGAGAAGGUCUUUAAUAUUUAAGCAUGUUCUUUACAAAGAGAGAUCGUAUUUCAAAAGUCUUCCAAGUUUUCAAUCUUCAACACUAAGACACUAAUUAAUCAACUAGGUACCAAUUUUGGGCGUAUCGAGGGUGCUAAUCCUUCCUCGUGCGUAACCGACUCCCGAACCUGUUUUCUUGAUUUGCGUAGACCCAAAUUGUUGUUUAAAUAAACCAAGAUAUUUAUUAAAGACAACCAAUUUAACGAGGUGACCCGAUCACACCUAGUUAAAAAAAAAAGAUCAGUGGCGACUCCCGUUUCUUGUGUUCAUUUUCAAAAUCCAAGUCGAAUCCCGUUUUUCAAAAAAAAUGGUUACGACAGCUUGGCGACUCCACUGGGGACCAAAUAAGAGAGUCAAGCCACAAGUUGAUUAACUUUUGUCUUUCUGUCGAGAACUGAAAAUUUGAUUUUGAUAUACGAUCCUUUCAUUGCAUUUCACCCGUUUUUCUUGCAGUUUUCAUUAUUUUACUCCUAUUUUCUUUAAUCGCUUCGAGUUUUUAUGCAUAUAUCCUUGCACAUUGCAUUGCAUGACCGCUGUGGUCACACUCCUUUAAGUGGGAGUGAGAAACUACUCUUUCGUGAGGUUUUCACCUCCGUGCAGGAUAGUGGAUCGCUUUCGGGAUACAUCCGUACCUAUGUCUUCGUGAGAUUUUCAUCUCCGUGUAGCCAUAGGGAAAUGUAUUCCCCUGAACUGAACUCGGUCUGUAUGAGCCUAUAAUGGGUGAAGAUUGAGGAAUUUGCUGGUUCAGGUACCCUUAUUCUAGAACCAAACCCCAUGUAGCGAGCCUUAAGAACCCACCCUAGGUAGAGCCACUCUGAAACCCUAGUGGUCACCUGAGCAAGUGCUAUAUUUAUUAUUCUUUGUUUGCUUUGAAUUAUGUAUGAAUUACUGACUAGCUUUGUUUUACUUUGAUUGUAUUUGCAUGGCAUUUUCAUCAUAAAAGGUGUUGAUUCGCAUUUGGUUCCUAAAUAGAUAGCUUAUCAUGGAAAAGGGGUUUUUUGAUAAAGUAGAAGACAACGCGGCUGUCCGGAUAUGGGCUGAGACAACACAACGAGAGAAAGGUGACAGUCUUACCGAUGGGUAUGUGUCAGAGCUAUGGAAUUUUACUCGGAUCAGCGUAAAUCAGAAUAAUCUCCAAGAUAUGAAAGAAAUAUGGGGCCAGUGGGACGACGAGGUCAAACAGCUAUUCUAUUGUCAUUACGGUGAUUUACCUUAUCUGCUCGACGUCAAGGUAGACGAGCACUUGUUUAAAGCCCUUGCCCAAUAUUGGAAUUUUGCUUACAGUUGCUUCACUUUCGGGAAGGUAGAUUUGGCACCUACUAUAGAAGAAUACACGACCUUGCUCCAUUGCCCAAAGAUUCAGGUAGACAGAAUUGCUAACGUCCCAGCAUUUUCAAAAAAAUUGAUGAACAUCACAGGGAUGAGCGAACAGUGGGUGACAACUCGGAUCAAACAAAAAGGAGAUGGUAAAUGCAUUCCUUGGAGGAACCUGAGGGAUCUAAUCUUAGCGCACCCCGACGUAAAGAAAAGGGUAGAUGUCUUCGCCUUGAGCAUUUAUGGACUGGUCAUCUUCCCCAAGGCUUUGGGGCAUAUAGACGAGGCUGUUACCGACCUUUUUGACAGGCUUGGUAAAGGAACCACCCCCGUACUCGCAAUCUUGGCUGAAACUUUCAGAUCAUUAAAUGCUUGUAGAAGAGCGGGUGAAGGGAGAUUUAUUGGAUGUGCACAGCUCUUGCUAUCCUGGUUCCACAACCAUUUUUGAAAAGUGGAAAAGAUCUCGUAUCGCAUCUUCUCUAAAAAUUACUCUCCGCUGAAAGAGUUAAUGGCUACACCGAGGCGAGAUGAUGUGACAGAAGAAAAUUGGAUGACGGUUCUCCAAAAUCUGCAAGAAGAAGAUAUCGAAUGGAGAGCCCCGUGGAUGGUUCCUGAUGAAAUAUUAUACCGAUGCGAAGACUUUGAUUGGGUUCCCUUGUUAGGAGUAUGGGGGGCCGUCGGGUAUGCUCCUCUACUUGCAUUGCGACAAUACAGAUCCAGACAGUUCACACCACCAACAUACGGGUUAGCCCAGUGUGAGUUCGUGUUCACAGGGAAUAAUUACAAAAAGAAAGUUCGCGAGAUAUCAAAUACCUGGAACCAGACUCGUAGAAUGAAGAAGUUUGCCGCCAAUCCCAUGACUACUCCUGAGUACAACCGAUGGUGGAAUCAGAGGAUUAACGACAACAUCCCUACGUCAGAUCAAGGGAAUCCUCAGUCGAUAGAAGAGCACUUGAAAGUAAUCCCAUCUGAGCUAGAAAUCAUCAGGCAAGAUUUCGAGAGAAAGAGUCUGGAGCUAGAAAAAAGGAUCGAGCAGUUGGAAGAAGAAAAGAUGCAGUUAGGGUUAGACGUCGAUGCCCAGAAACUAGAAGCUGAAAGACUCAGAAAAGGGAAAAACAAGGCCGAAGAGGGCUUAGACAGUUUGAAAACGGACUAUAAGAAGCUGCGUAAAUCAAUGAGAACCGCUAGGUUAGGAAAAACAUCCGAACAAUGGCGACGUGAAGUUAAAGAAGAAUAAACCAAAGCCAACCAGUGGGAGGAAAAAUUUCGCGAUACUCAAGCUCGAAAAGGUACGCUGAAAAGAAGUUUGGUAGAAAGCCAGAAUGAGAAAGAAGGGUUAAAGACUCGGGUAUCAGAGUUAGAGAGGUCAUUGUAUCAGUAUCGCUCGCGUAACUCUGCAAUCGAGUUGAAAGCUAGUCAGAACAGAAUCGAAGAAUGAAAAGAGAAUAUAGAAGAACUCAAAACAGUGCUGCAAAAUCGUGAACUUCAGAUAGAACUCCUCGAGGUAAAUAACGAGCGAUGGAAGGAGCAACUUCAUCAAUCUCAAGACCAAGUCAGGAGCAGGGACUACAUCAUGGGCGAAGCUUUGAUUCAAGUACGAGAAGUGGCUGACCACUUGCAAACAUUAGCAGUACAAGCCGAUAUGCUGAGUUUAAAAUACGAGUCAGAAUCGGACCGAGGCCAAAAGCUAGCUCAGAUUCUUAGACAGGUCAAGGCCUUAAGUAUCAGGGCCAAGCCUUAUAUGUAAUCUAUUUUAUGUAAAGAAACUUGUUUUCUAGAAAAGUUACUCUAAUGAAAUCGAAUUGGAAUCAACGCUUUUUUGCAUUCAUUACAUUCAUGUAUCGGCAUUGCAUCGCAUGCACUAAAACUCACAGAAAACCCUAAAAAUCGUGACAGUUACCCUGGAACAUCGUUACGGUACAAGAGGAAAAACAAGAGCAAUGGAUCAAAGGUUAGAGAGAUUGGAACAAAUGCAAAAAGAGAUACAGGAUCAACUACAAACACGUAUGCAAGAACAGCUGGCCAAAAUCCAGCAAGAUGUAAGGGACCAGAUGCUGGAGUCCCAAAGGAGUAUGAUGGAUCAAUUAACGCGUCUAUUGGCUGGUGGAUUAGAAAAAGGGAAAAGCCCCAUGAUCAAUGCUGGAGAUGACAACGAAGACCCCGUCUACCCUCCGGGGUUUGUCCCAGCGGAUAUUCAAACACAACCUGAUGUGUACCCAAGAAGGCCAUCAGUCACAAUCAGGCCUCAACCAUUUCAAGCCGGUGUCUCGGCACAGAUGAAUUAUCAGGCCGGCUCGGGCUCUAAUCCGGGGGACAUUCCAACCAACCCUGUGGUCCUCAAUCUUGAUGAAGUAAUAGAAGCAGAAAAGACAAGGGUAGAACUCCCGAGAGAGCUUGAAGAAAGGUGUAGAUGGUUGGAAGAAAAAUUUAAAGAAAUGGAAAGCACCGACUAUCGUGGUGGAAUCGACGCUAAGGAAUUAAGUUUGGUUCCAGACCUGGUACUCCCUCCCAAGUUCAAAACUCCGGAAUUUGAGAAAUACAACGGGACUAGCUGUCCCGAAGCUCACAUCACUAUGUUCUGCAGACGAAUGGCAGGCCAUGUCAACAAUGACCAGCUAUUAAUUCACUGCUUCCAAGAAAGUCUGGUUGGGGCCGCUUCUAGAUGGUACAACCAACUGAGUCGUGCCCAGAUCAGUUCAUGGAAAGAUUUAGCACAAGCCUUCAUGAAACAGUACGGUCAUGUGACAGACAUAGCCCCUGAUAGAAUCACUUUACAGAAUAUGGAAAAGAAGCAUAAUGAGAGCUUUAGGCAGUACGCCCAGCGAUGGAGAGAAGUGGCCACACAGGUCCAACCCCCUCUGUUGGAAAAGGAAACUACUAUGCUCUUCAUCAAUACCCUGAAGGCACAUUUUAUUAACCAUAUGUUGGGUAACGCAACCAAGAGUUUUUCGAACAUAGUAAUGUCUGGAGAAAUGAUAGAAAAUGCCAUAAGAUGUGGGAAAAUAGAGGCUGGGGAAAAUACUAAGAGGACAGCACCGAGAAAGAAAGAGUACGAGGUGAAUAAUGUGAGCUCAUAUUCGAAGCCGAUCACCGUAAGCCAACCAAGGUCGACAACUACUGGACAGCAGGGCCCACCCCGACAAGAGCCCGACACAAAACAAAACAGGGAGAAACUUCAAUUUACGCCCAUUCCAAUGACGUACAAGGAGUUAUACUAGAGUUUAUUUGAUGCACAUGUCGUGUCUCCCUUCUAUCUAAAGCCAAUGCAACCUCCAUACCCCAAAUGGUAUGACGCAAAUGCCCAAUACGAAUACCAUGCGGGAGCCACAGGACACUCGAUAGAAAAUUGCACCACUUUCAAUAAAUUGGUUGAAAGACUCAUCAACAUGGGGAUUGUGAAAUUUGAUGAUGCAUCCAAUACAGAGAAUCCAUUACCUAACCAUGGGGAUAAGGGAAUAAAUGCGAUAAUCCAGAGUUUGGGGAAAGAAAUUAAAAUGAAUGUUGCAGAAGUGAAUACCCCGUUGAAAGAAGUAUGGAAGAAAAUGGUGGAAAGAGGUUUGAUGACACAGAAUUCGGGGGUCAAGCCUCAGGAAGCGAAGAAUUAUUGUGAGUUCCACGAUCAAGAGGAUCAUGAGAUUCAAAAAUGCAGCCAAUUUAGGGCUUUAGUACAAGGAUUGAUGGAUAAUAAGGAGCUGGAAUUCUUCGAAUAUGUCGGGAGCCUGGAAGAAGCAGAUAUGUGUGCCUCCGAAGAGGGGUCAAUGAAGGAUAAUUACAAAGUCAACCACCCAGUGGUUAUCAUAUCAUGUCCGAGAAUGAAUGAAGCCGGGGCACGAGUUGCGCCAAAGGUCGUAAUCCAAAAGCCCGUUGCUUUUCCUUAUGAAGAUAGCAAAAGGGUACCGUGGAACUAUAGCUGCAAUGUGACAUUCCCAGGAAAGGAGACCCCGAUUAAUGCAUUAGAGAAAGUUCAAGACGAAGGUUUUUAUACGAGCAACGGAAGGCGUUAUACCUUAAAUACAAAAGUCGAGCAGGUUAAAGAAAAAUCAUUAGCAAUUGAGCAAAAGAAAGAGAAGCUGGCGCGGCCUGAACCAAUUGUUAAUGAAUCAGUGACCGAAAAAGAAUCCAAGAAAUUCUUAAAAUUCCUAAAGCAUAGUGAAUAUAGUGUCGUAGAACAGUUGCACAAACAGCCAGCGCGUAAUCGGUACUGGCCUUACUUUUAAGUUCCGAAACUCAUCGCAGCGCAUUGAUGAAGGUGCUGAAUGAAACUUAUGCUGCUAACGAUACCUCUGUAAACAAACUAGACCGCUUAGUCAACAAUAUAAGUGCCGACAAAUUCAUAUUCUUCAAUGACGAUGAGGUACCGCCAGGGGGCCGAGGAUCAACUAAAGCUUUGCACAUCACGACUCGCUGUAAAGGGUACACGUUACCGGGGGUAUUGAUUGACAAUGGGUCUGCACUGAAUGUCUUACCCCUAUCUACGCUGAGUAGGUUGCCAGUAGAUAGUUCCCAUAUGAAGAUAUGCCAAAGUGUAGUGAGAGCAUUUGAUGGCACAGAAAGGAGGGUAAUGGGGGAAUUGAAGUACCCCUCUUAAUCGGACCGAGCACAUACGAGGUAGAUUUCUUGGUCAUGGACAUUAAGCCUUUGUAUAAUUGCCUAUUGGGGAGGCCAUGGAUACACUCAGCGGGGGCAGUCCCUUCAUCACUGCAUCAAAAGUUGAAAUUAGUGACCGAAGGUCGGUUAGUAACAAUCAAUGCUGAAGAGGACAUCAUCGCGGCAAUAACCAAUGAUGCCCCAUAUCUGGAGGCAGAUGAUGAAGCGAUCGAGUGCUCUUUUCGAUCUUUGGAGUUUGUGAACGCGACGUUCAUCAUCGGAGGAAAUAAGAUUCCAAUGUCCAGGUUAUCUGAGACUACAAGAAUGGGACUACGGUUAACUGUUGGAAAUGGGGCUCUACCCGGAAGAGAACUCGGGAGAUACCUCCAGGGAAGGAUUAAUGUACCAAUGAUGAAGGACAAAUAAGACCGUUUUGGGUUAGGGUUUAAGCCGGACAUGAAACAAAGAAAGAAGGAACUUGAGAAGAAGCAAGAAAGAAGGAGAGCGCGAUUGAGCGGGGGAGAAAUCGAAUGGGAACCAAUGAUCUUCACCCAUAUAUCGAAGACUUUUGUGUCUAGAGAGGUCAUUCACUCCGAGCAAAAGACGUCAGGAAAGGAAAUCUUGAAAGGAAUGAUGGAGAGUUUGGACAUCAACGCCACAUAUGAAGAGGGGACGGGGGUAGAGAAUUUGUCAGGCAUUCGCCCCUAUGAGUCGGGAAGUGUUCUGAAUAAUUGGACUGCGGAAAAGAUUCAUGUAGUCUUUAGAACUAACUCAGAGUAAUGUCCAAAACACACUUAUUGCUCUAGGCCUAGGAGUAACAAGUGUCAUUUUGUGAAAUAGGCUUAUGUUCGAAAUCGUUAUUUCAAUGAAAUGCAUCCUUUUGACUUAUUCCGUGCAAAUAUUCUUUUAUUAUUUCAUUCAUGAUCAUACCAAACAUAUCAUUGUUCUUAGAUUCUCUUGUUCUUUGCAUCUCCCUUCACACCUACAACAGGUCUCCAGAUAUCAAUGAUGCGAGUGACGUUGCUACUAAUUCAGAAUCCACUUUUGAGCAAGAUAUGUGUUUAGAGGGAUCCCAAGACUUUGAGGAUGACGGAGACUGUAACUUAUCCCCUGAUUUGUUAAGGAUGGUAGAACACGAGGAGAAACAAAUUCUACCCCACAAAGAGACCGUAGAAGUCGUGAACUUGGGAGAUGAACUAGAAAGGAGAGAAGUAAAGAUCGGAACUUGCAUCACCACAAAGACAAAGCGGGACCUUAUUGAGUUACUCCAAGAGUUCAAGGAUGUCUUUGCAUGGUCAUAUCAGGAUAUGCCUGGGCUAAGUACUGACAUUGUGGUACACAGGCUCCACAUCAAAGAAGAAUGCAAGCCAGUUCAGCAAAAGCUUCGAAGGAUGCGGCCCGAUGUUCUGUUGAAGAUAAAAGAGGAGGUCAAGAAAUUUGAUGCUGGUUUCUUACAAGUAGUUAAGUACUCGGAAUGGGUAGCCAACAUCGUCCCCGUCCCUAAAAAAGAUGAAAAUGUACGGAUGUGUGUAGACUACAGAGACUUAAACAAGGCCAGCCCGAAAGAUAAUUUCCCGUUGCCUCAUAUCGACACCUUAGUGGACAACACGGCAGGUUACUCACUCUUCUCCUUCAUGGAUGGUUUCUCGGGGUACAAUCAGAUCAAGAUGCAUUCUGAAGACAUGAAUAAAACCACAUUUGUGACCAUGUGGGGAACCUUUUGCUAUAAAGUAAUGCCGUUCGGAUUGAAAAAUGCGGGAGCAACAUAUCAGAGAGCCAUGGUAACCCUAUUUCAUGAUAUGAUGCAUAAAGAAAUUGAAGUCUAUGUCGACGACAUGAUCGCCAAAUCUCGGACUGAAGAAGAGCAUGUGCAAGUCUUGAGGAAAUUAUUUUUGAGGUUGAGAAAAUUCCAGUUAAAACUCAACCCCGCAAAAUGUACCUUCAGAGCCAGGUCUGGAAAACUGCUAGGAUUCGUGGUCAGUGGAAAGGGGAUUGAGAUUGACCCAGAUAAAGUCAAAGCCAUACAAGAGUUACCCCCACCACGUACUCAUAAGGAAGUUCGAGGGUUCCUAGGAAGACUAAAUUACAUCGCUCGAUUUAUUUCACAACUAACCGAGAAAUGUGACCCCAUAUUCCGUCUCCUUAAGAAACACAACCUUGGUGGUUGGGACGAGGAAUGCCAGAAGACUUUCGACAAAGUUAAGCAAUAUUUGUCUAAUGCCCCAGUGUUGACACCACCUAAUCCAGAUAAGCCAUUGAUACUGUAUUUGACGGUAUUUGAAAAUUCUAUGGGAUGCGUGCUUGGCCAACACGAUGAAUCGGGAAGGAAAGAAAGAGCGGUAUAUUACCUCAGUAAAAAGUUUACUGAGUGUGAGACGAGAUACUCGUUCAUUGAAAAAUUGUGCUGUGCCUUGAUCUGGACAACCCGAAGACUGAGACAAUACAUGUUGUAUCACACAACUUGGCUAAUCUCUAAAAUGGACCCUCUGAAAUACUUGAUGGAGUCGACUGCCUUGAACGGGAGAAUGGCCCGAUGACAAAUUCUACUUUCCGAAUUCGAUAUAGUCUAUGUGAACCAGAGGGCCGUAAAAGGAAGUGCGAUAGCAGAUUUCCUAGCCAGCAGAGCCCUAGAAGACUACGAGCCUCUGAACUUUGAUUUCCCAAAUGAAGCUCUAAUGUGCAUAGCAACCGCGGAAGAAAACCCUCAAGAAAGUCACCCUUGGAAGCUAAACUUUGACGGAGCAUCAAAUGCCGUGGGUAACGGAAUCGGGGCAGCUCUGGUGUCCCCGAAUGGAGAUCAUUAUCCAUUCACUAGUAAAUUGGAUUUUGACUGCACGAACAAUAUGGUAGAAUAAGAAGCAUGCAUCAUGGGAAUACGUGCUGCCAUAGAACGUAAAAUCAAGGUGUUAGAGGUAUAUAGAGAUUCUGCCCUAGUGAUUUAUCAACUCAAAGGUGAAUGGGAGACAAGAGACCCCAAAUUGAUCAAUUACCGAAAGUUGAUCCUUGAGUUAAUUAAAGAGUUUGAUGAUAUUGUCUUCUACUACCUCCCACGAGAAGAAAAUCAGAUGGCUGACGCCUUAGUAACUUUAGCUUCUAUGAUCAAGGUGAACCAACCAGAGGAUGUGAAACCAAUCCAAAUGAACAUUUACGAGGCCCCGGCUCAUUGUUACAACCUUGAAGAAGAAGAGGAAAAUGAUGAUCACCCUUGGUACCAUGAUAUCCUACGAUAUGUGAAGAAUCGUGAGUACCCCAACCAAGCUACUGAAAACGACAAGAGAACGUUGAGAAGACUGGCCAGUGACUAUGUCUUAGAUGGGGAGAUCCUGUACAAAAGAAGGAAGGAUCAGGUAAUAUUAAGAUGUGUAGACGCCAUUGAGGCUAAGAAAAUCUUGGAAGAAGUCCACGAAGGCGUCUGUAGGACACACGCUAAUGGUUUUACAAUGGCCAGGCAAAUUAUGAGGUUCGGUUAUUAUUGGUCCACCAUGGAAGGAGACUGUAUUAACUACGCCAAAAGAUGUCAUAAGUGCCAAAUCUAUGGAGACAAGAUUAAUGUACCUCCCUCACCUCUGCAUGUCAUGACCUCGCCAUGGCCUUUCUUGAUGUGGGGCAUGGAUGUGAUUGGGCCAAUUUUGCCAAAAGCUUCAAAUGGGCGUCGUUUCGUCUUUGUGGUCAUCGAUUAUUUCACCAAAUGGGUGGAGGCCGCUUCAUAUGCCAAUAUUACUAAAUCAGCAGUUAGCAAGUUCUUGAAAAAGGAAAUCAUCUGUCGAUAUGGAAUGCCGGAAAGGAUCAUAUCUGACAACGCAUUGAAUUUGAACAACAGCACGAUAGUGGAUGUCUGCAGUCAGUUCAAGAUCAGACACCACAACUCGUCACCGUAUCGUCCGAAGAUGAACGGUGCAGUCGAAGCAGCCAAUAAGAAUAUCAAGAAGAUUGUAGGAAAGAUGACAGAAACUUAUAAAGAUUGGCAUGAGAAGCUACCAUUCGCCCUCUAUGCUUAUCGAACGUCUAUCAGAACUUCUACUGGAGCAACGCCUUUCUCAUUAGUCUAUGGAAUGGAGGAAGUUUUACCUAUCGAGGUCGAGAUCCCUUCCCUUAGAGUUUUGUCAGAAGUAAAGUUGGAUGAAGCAGAAUGGAUCCAGUCCCGAUACGAUCAGUUGAAUUUGAUUGAAGAAAAGAGGCUACGGGCUAUUCGCCAUGGUCAGAUGUACCAAAAGCGAAUGAUGCGAGCUUACAACAAAAAGGUUCAUCCCAGAUAGUUCCACGAGGGAGACCUAGUACUGAAAAAGAUCCCGUCCAUACAAAAAGACUUCAGAGGAAAAUGGAUGCCGAAUUGGGAAGGGCCUUAUGUGAUGAAGAAAGCCUUUUCUGGCGGAGCAUUGAUAUUGGCUGAAAUGGAUGGCAAGACCUUAUCCAAUCCCGUGAAUUCGGAUUCGGUUAAGAAAUACUUCGCCUAAAAAAAAAGGGCCAGGGUGAAAACUCGCAAAUAGCACCUUUAGACCAAAGGGAUUUUGAAUUGAAAACCCGUAAAAGGCGAUUCAAAUUUUGAUCAAAGGUGGGGCAUGCGAUGGUCUUAUGAUACCUAAAUUAACAAGGAGGAGAGAUGUUACAUCUUGGGGCAUCUGCAAGAGUACUCUAGAUCCCCUAAACACAUAUUGGGCAAAAAAAGAAGUCCUCAAGAAGUCAGUACAGAAACUCACGCUGCAAUAUCUGGGGCACCUAUUCCCUUUUAUUCAUUUUGUAUUCCAGCAAUGUUUGUUGACUGUGAUUAAUAUAUUCCCUUCAAAUGUUGUUUCUGAUAAAUUUCAGUUUUGUCAUUGUUAUAAUCUUUUUCAAGCAUUUUGCAUUGAAAUGAUGAUUAAUGGACUAAAACCAUUUUUGCAAAAAGAGUUCUGCACAUUACUCCGAAAGUUUCUAAAUAGUACAGGAACCUGAAACAGGACUAUUAUUUAGAACUAACCAAACUCAAAGAUUGGAAGCAUCUGAGAAGAAAGAGUUUAAAUUGGGACUACCUCUUCGGGUUUUCUGUUCAAAAUUUGAGCUGACCAAGAAGACAAGGUACCAUUUCAGUAAAGAAACCUUGAUUAACAAAAAGCAAUGGCAACCUAAACAGGGAUUCACGCUCACAACAUGCUAUACUCAUACAUUCAUAGAUCAUUCAUAAGUGCAUCUAAUUAGGAACAUUUGAUUCAUUUUGAUCAUAACAUCUUAAUUCUUUGACAUAAGCAUAAAUACAUGGAACUGAUUCUACAGGUCAUGUCCCUAGAAUCAGUGAAUUCAUAGAUCUUAUCACCCUAAGCAGUAGGGAAAUAAAUCGAAGAUAAUGAGCUUUAACCCCCUAAGCAGUAGGGUAACAAGCCAAAUUUACAGACCUUAAUCCCCUAAGUAGUAGGGUAAUAGGCUGAAAAUUACAGAUCUUGUCUCCCUGAAGUUGCAGUGGAAUAGAUCGAAUCCAGCGAAUCUUGUCUUCCUGAAGUUGCAGUGAAGCAGAUUGAAGAUUUACAGAUCUCACCCCCUAAGCAGUAGGGAAGCAGAUCAGAAGACAGCGAAUCUUGCCCUCCUGAAGUUACAGUGAAGCAGAUUCAAACUACCAAAUUUUAACCCCCUAAGCAGUAGGGUAACAAGCCAAAUUCACCAGACCUUAACCCCCUAAGCAGUAGGGUAAUAGGCUGAAAAUUACAAAUCUCGUCUCCCUGAAGUUGCAGUGGAACAGAUCAAAUCCAGCGAAUCUGUCUUCUUGAAACCUCAGUGGAGCAGACUGAAGUUACAAGUCUCAUCUCCUUGAAGUCGCAGUGGAGCAGACUAAAUUUACAGACCUUAAACCCCUAAGCAAUAGGGUAACAUGUUGAAUUCAAAGGGCUUUAACCCCCCUAAGCAGUAGGGUAACAAGUCGAAUUUGCAGAUCUUAUCACCCUAAGCAGAAGGGAAACAAAUCAAAGAAGAUGGGCCUUAACCCCCUAAGCAAUAGGGUAAUAGGCUGAAAAUUAUAGAUUUCGUCUCCCUGAAGUUACAGUGGAGCAGAUCAAAUACAUCAAAUUUUGCCUCCUCGAAUGCAGUGAAGCAGAUUCAAACCACCAAGCUUUAACCCCCCUAAGCAGUAGGGUAACAAGUUGAAGUAUAGAUAUUAUUGCCCUAAGCAAUAGGGUAACAAGCCAAAUUUUCAAACCUUAAAACCCCUAAGCAGUAGGGUAACAGGUUGAGUUUACAGAUCUAAACCCCUAAGCAGUAGGGAAACAGAUCAAUGAUGACAAGCCUUAACCCCCUAAGCAGUAGGAUAACAGGUUGAAAAUCAAAUAUCCUCUCCCUGAAAUGGCGUUGGAGCAACUAAAAACCACAGCAGAUCUCCUUGAAGUUUCAGUAGAUUAAACGAAGCUACAGCAGAUCUCCUUGAAGUUUCAGUGGAAUUGAUUGAAGUCACGUGUCUUAUCUCCAUGGAGUUGUAGUGGAGCAGAUCAAAACAAACCUUACCUUCUUGAAGUUGUAGUAGAGCAGUGAAGUGAAGUGAAGCAACAAGAUUGGAAUAAAGCUACCUGGAGAAAAUGAGCGCUAAACAAGUCCAGACACAGUGAGACCGGCAAAAUUGGUCUUUCUUAAGUCUUUGCUUUGUUCUCGUUACACGACAACAAGCAAACAGGGGCAGCUGUACAAGCCCAAUUUUGGGCCCAAAACCCACUGAGCCCACUAAGCCUAAAACCCAAAACCCAAUUUCAAAGGAAACCCUAGCCCAUUACAUUAAUGAAAAACAAAAGAAUAAGCUAAGGAAACCCUAGCCGUCAGCACAUACUCCCCAUCCACCACCGACGCCUGUAAGUGGCCUCUGCUCCACCAUCGUUCGCCUGCAACAUUUAAAAAGGAGAAUAGACAAAUAUUAAAAAAAGAAAUGUAGUGGCUAUUUAAAGCCAAAUCAGAGAACCAUGUAAGGGAGGGGAUUUUCUUUGAAAUGAAAAAGCAAUAUUAGAUUGUAAGAAUACUAGCAAAAAAACAGAUCCCAGCAACAUCGAAAGCAAAAAAAAACAGUCCAAACAGAGAGUCAAAAUCCAAUAGCCGAAGGUGAUUAUCAUCGUUAAUUCCUUUCCCUUUUUUAGUCUAUUUACCUAUAUACACCUACAUAUUAUAAAUAUAUUUUAAAACACAAAAAAAUGGGAGAAAAUUUUACCUUUUCGAAAUCGCCCCCUGGCCGGUGAUCCCCCCUAGCCGAAAAUCGCCCCUCUCCCCUCUCUCCUUUUUUUUUUCUCUCCUCAGCAGCUAAAAUGAAAUUUUUUAGAAAUUUUCACGCUUUUAUAGCCUACCAAAACGGCACCGUUUUGGUGCCUGGUCUAAAAUGCAGAAACGACGCCGUUUCAAGCAAUGACCCGAAGACCUGACCCGCCUAUGCCCAGGGUCCGCGUGUUUUUGGACUGAGGGGUUAUUUGCGCCCUCAGUCCUUCCGCUUUUCCAAGGCUUUACAAUUGAGCCUCGUUUAAUUUUAAUUUGGCCCUAAAAUUCACUUUGUUUUCAAUUUAGUACCUUUGCGAACUGCGCCGUUUUAGUAGAUCGGGAUAUUUACUCCUUUGAUCCCUCCUGGUCACUCACGUGUUCAAAUUAAUCCCCUUUUUCCUUCAUUUAUUUGAAAUUCGCCUCAAAAUUCCACUGUUAAUUCAAUUUCAUCCUUUUUUUUACUUUUCCUCAUUAUUCUAAUUCAAUUCUAAUAUUAUUUAACAUAUUUUAUUAUUGUUGUAUUUUUAUUAAUAGUUCAUUAUUAUCAUUUUAUUAUAUAUAUAUUAUAAAGUGUUAUUGAUAGCUUAAUAUUAUUUUGUUAAUGUGUUUAUGUGUCAUAUAUGUAUUCAUUUAAUGUAUAUACAUUAUACUCCAUACUACGUAUAUAUGUAUUAGUAUUAUUAUGUAUAUUUACUCUUUUUAGACAUUACAUAUAUUUUACGUAUAUUAUGUAUAUAUUUUAAUAUAUUAUGUGUAUAUUUUGUUUUGUAUACUAUGUAUAUACAUCGUUAGUAUAUUAGUUAUAUGUAUUUAUCCCAUUUCAUGUACAUGUUAUGUAUAUGCAUCCAAUGUUAUCAUAUAUUUAUUUUCAACAUAUAUUUAUACAUAGUAAUACCACAUUAUUGUUAUUAUCAUCAUCUUUGUGAUUACUAUUAUCAUUGUAUUAUUACCCUUUUUUUUACUACCAUUAUUUUUUAUACAUAUAUAUAUAAUUAUUUGCAUUAGUACCAUUUUUAUUACUAUUACUUUAUUACGGCUACUACUAGUAUUACUAUUAUUUCUUUAUUUUAUUACUAUUAUUGUUUUAUUUUAUUAUGCUGCCCUUAUUUUUACUACUAUUAUUGUCAUCGCUAUUAUAUUAUUAGCAUAUUAUUUUUAUUAAUACACUUUUUACCUUUUGUCAACAUUGUUAUUGUUUUUCUAUUUUAUAUAUUACUUAUUUAUUUAUUGAUUUAUUAUUAAGUUUCCUUUUAACUUAUUCUUCUUAUUCUUAUUUACUUUUAUCAUCUUAUUAUUUUUACCUAUUAUUCUCUUCUUCAAUUACAUAGCUCGUUUAUUUCUUUCAUUUUUUUGUCAUUCAUAUUACUCAUUUAUUAUAAUGCUUGUUAAGAUCAUGAUUUAUUUCUUUUUUCACGAAUUUGCGUUAUAUGAUCCUUCACCCAACAAAAAUAAUCCUUUCACAAAAAUAAUAUUCCGUAUUUGGAAAUUCGAGAAUCGUGCCCUAACUUACUGGUUUUCGACUUUUCUCAUUUAACCUAAACAAUGUAAUAUAUUCUUUUUAAAUCACUAUACGAGUUUUGAAAAAUGUUUAUUCUCGAAGAUGCAAAGUGUUGUGCCCUAACUUACCGGGUAUGACAUUUUGUCAUCUCGAAAUAAGAAUUUGUUUUGGAAUAAAGGCGAUGUUCGGAGUUUGAGAAUUCGAGAAAACGUGCCCUAACUUACUGGGUUUCGAUUCCUCUCGUUUACUCUAAAUAAUCGAAUACCCUUUUAAUAAAAUACAUAGAUUUUAUAAAAGGCAAGCUCGCUUUCGAAAAUUCAAGAUGUUGUGUCCUAACUCACUGGAUAUGACGUUUCAUAUUUUGAGACGAGAAGGUCUUUAAUAUUUAAGCAUGUUCUUUACAAAGAGAGAUCAUAUUUCAAAAGUCUUCCAAGUUUUCAAUCUUCGACACUAAGACACUAAUUAAUCAACUAGGUAUCAAUUUUGGGCGUAUCGAGGGUGCUAAUCCUUCCUCGUGCGUAACCGACUCCCGAACCUGUUUUCUUGAUUUACGUAGACCCAAAUUGUUGUUUAAAUAAACCAAGCUAUUUAUUAAAGACAACCACUUUAACGAGGUGACCCGAUCACACCUAGUUAAAAAAAAAGAUCGGUGGCGACUCCCGUUUCUUGUGUUCAUUUUCAAAAUCCAAGUCGAAUCCCGUUUUUCAAAAAAAAUGGUUACGGCAGUGGCAAUGGCGACAUGCAUGUCUAGGACUGGAUCCGAAGGGAGCUUGGUACUUAAGCAGUCCGAUGGACUCACCUCCUCUUUUCUGGUUUCCUACCUGGUGCACAACUUCCAUUCACUUUAACCUAUAAUGAAAUUAUCUUUUGAAACACUAAGUAAGUUUUUCAGGAUAAAAAAUGUUCUGAAUGCUUCGAUGUGGCAUGUCGGAUCCGGCCAUAACGUCUAGGCCGGGUUUGGGGUGUUACAAGAUUUUUUAGGGAGAGCAAUUUCUAAUUAGGAAAUUAAGACUGUUCUAUUUGAUAUGACCCCUUUAAAGUCUCUUGGUAGUGAUGGUUUCCAUGCCUGCUUCUUUCAGAAUCAGUGGGAUGUUAUUGGGGAGGCUAUUCGUGAUUGGGUUAAAAGUGUCUUUAAUAGAGAUUCUAUUGAUCAAGAGCUUAAUAUUACUUUCAUUGUUCUUGUGCCUAAAGUUCCUAAUCCUGAGGAGUUUUCAAAAUUUUGACCUAUUAGCCUCUGUUCCAUUUUAUACAAGCUUGUUAUGAAGGUAAUAGCCAAUCACUUCUGUCGAAACCCUUUUUUCGAGUUAGAAAAAAUGGGGAUCGACUUUUAAAAAUGAAUAUGGAGUCGCCACCAACCUUUUGUUUAGGUGUGAUUGGAUCACCUAAUAAAACAUUUUAAAACAAUCCUGGUUCACAAAAAUUUAAAAAUGGGUUCGGAAGUCGGUUAUGCAUGAGGAAGGGUUAGCACCCUCAUUACGCCCAAAAAUUGGUACCAAAUUGAUUUGAUGCUGUCCUUAUAUCAAAAGUUUUAAAAGAAAAGAUUUUCCGAAGUAUGAUUUUUUUAAAAUGCUGAAUAGCUCAAAUUAGCGGUCAAAAAUCUCUCGUUUCAAAGAUGUGCAGCAACAUACCCAGUACGAUUGGAUACGAUCCUUUAUACCUUUAAAAAUACGAUUGAUUUUUGACUUUUGAAAACUCGUAUGCUAAAAUUAUAAAAAGGUCAUCCAAAUAUUUGGUUCACCGAAAAAUCAUACCCAGUACGAUUGAGCACGAUUUUCCGAACUCCCCACAUAUUGGAUAUUGCCUUAUUUUAGAAUUUUUGAAUGAUAAAGAAAAUUGGAGACUUGCUCAAAACACGUUUACCCGUUUUAAAAUGGAAUGCUUAAUGAAUUGUAUCAAAACGUUUAUAUGAAAAAGGGUAGUGAACAUAAAAAAUAGGAUAUAACAAGUUACAAUUAACAAAUCCAACAAAUUAUAUAAAACUAUUCUAAGUAAAUCGUGACCAAAUCCUUAAUCAUGGAUGAUGAAUAAUCAAUAAAAAUGAUAUACAACAAUAAUUCACAUGACAUAAUAUAAAAUUAUCCAUAAAAUAUGUACAAAAUAAAAUGGAAUUAUAGGUUAAUAUGGUAUGGGAUAUUUUCAAAAAGUUUGAAUCGAAUUAUGUGCACAUUAUUUUAAACAGGAAUUCAUCUAAAAAUGACCAAAUGCAUAGUAAUUUGAAUAACGUAUAAAAAUAUGAAGUAAUAAUAAAAAUACAUGAUAAGAUAUAAUAUACAUAAUAACUUCAUAAAACACACAUAUAUAUAUAAAUAAAUUUGAAAAUAUUUGUUUUAAAAAAAAUGGCACGGAAUUGAUAAUGUGUGAAAAAUUAAAUAAAUAUAUAAAUAAUACAUAAGCAAAUUUAGAAAACAUAAUCAUAUACACUAUAAGGGUAAAAAACCUAUAUUUACAAAAAAUUCACAUUUAGUGAUGUAUACUUAUAAAAUUAUAGUUAUACAGGGAAAUUUAAAAAUAAAUAAUAUAUAUAACAUAAUUUUACAUGUGACAAUUUAAUUCGGAUUGAUAAAACAUAUAAAUAAUACCUGCACAAAGAUAAUAUAAGAACGUAUACAAUAAAUAAGUUGCAUGAUUUAAAAUAUGGUUCUUAAAAAAAUAUUAUAUGCAUAAAUAACUUUAAAGAAAAAUAUAUAUACAUAAAAAAUAUUGAUAUGAAAACAAUAACGUGGACUAUAAAAAUAAUUUAACAUGAAUUAUGUACAAUAGUAAUUUUUUUUUAAAAACACAAAAGAUGUAGGACUUUUCUUUAAACAACAUAGAUGUGUAAUAAGAUAUAGAAAUAAAUUUAAGAGAAAUUAUGUGCAUAAAAUAAUACAAUAUUAAUAAUAUACAUAGAAUAAAACUAAUUUUAUCAUGAAUUACAUAUAUAAAUAAUAUAAGGGUAAUUUAAAUUAAAGAUUAUAUCAAGGUUUAUGAUACAAAAUGGAAUAAUAAUUUUAUACUUUUAAACAAAACAAAGCAAACUUAUCCACGUAACUUAGAAUGCAUGUAAUUAAGAUUUGCAAGAUAGAUGUUAAAUGAGUAGAAAACAUGAUGAAUUAUACGAACUGAAAUAGUAACUUAAUUGAACUAAAAUCAAAUUAAAAGGUAUAAUUAAUAAAUAAAAUAAGCCAUUAAGAAAGAAAUAAGGACCAAAGUGUGACGCACGUGAACGUAUGGGACUAGAAUUGAAAAUCUCCCCUAUCUCAAAAUACAGCACCAUAUCGUGGACUAAAGUGAAAGCACGCACAAAUCAAAGAGCCAAAUUAAAAAAUCAGGCAAAACAAAUCAGGCGCAAUUGACUAGUUCAACAAAGUACAAGGACCACGCGCGAAAAUUGACCAUUCAAGGUCAAAAGCGCGGAUCCGGGGCACAGAAUGGGUCAAUGCGCGGAUCUUCUUCCCUUGGCCAGCGCCGUUUAUUAUUCUGCAUAAAAUGAAGUUAAAAAAACCCUAAAACUAACAUUUAUCACCUAAAAACAAAUCAAAAUAAAGAAAAAAUCUAAAGCCUAUCUCUCUUCUUCAUUUGGCAGAACUUAAAGCAUCCUUCCACCGUCGUUUAGCCUCCGUUUUCUGUAGACGAUCGUCGCACGAAGGCUAAUCGACCCUACUCGUCCAUGAAUCUAAAAGUUUUACCAUUCCUAGACCUCACAAUCCUUAUUUAAGCUCCGAUUUUUUCAAAACCAACAAGGUUUUGAGGGCUAUCAUCAAGAUAAGUACUCUCCCCUUUCUUUAUUUUAUAUUUUCAUCCUCAUAUAGUAACAAAAUCAAAUAUAUAACAGCAAAAUGAAAAGAAAAAAAAAUUCAAUUACCUCCUAAAAACUGUUUUUUAUUCAAACUUUUGGUAUUGAUUUUCAUAUGCCUAUCCCCCUUUUACACUUGAUUUCACUGGCUUUUUAUAGCCAAAUCUACAAAAUAAAAAAAUACAAUGGCCCUUGAUUCUUUUUUGUUAUACAUUUGCUGUCAUUUGUUCAAUAUUUGCUGUGUGCUCUUUCUGUUACAGGUAUGUACGGCGUGGUGAUGCUAACAUGGCGAGGCCGUUCGUGGGGUGUGACGCGAAGUCUUCCAGAAGUUUCACUGUUUGGGGCUGCUGAUGGUGUUUGCGGUGCAUGGGAACGGCUGCUUGGUGGCUUAGGGUUUCCACUAUCUGAAAAUAGUUAAUGGGCUAUGUUUUUGGGUUAGGAUUAGGUUUAAUUUAGGUUUGGGCCUUAUUGUAAAAUGAGUUUAAAAUUUGGGCAACAAUUGUAUGUGGGCUAAACGUAAAUUUGGACUAUGGACAUUUAUUGAAUUUUUAUUUUGUGAUUUUUUUGUUUUUUAAUUUCUGGUUUUUUUUUGGAUCUUAACGGGCCCAGGCGAAAUGGGCCUAUUACAACUUCCAGAUAAUCUUCCCAAAAAUUAUUUCUCAUGAGUAGACUAAUUUUAUUGCGGGAAGAAAUAUUUCAGAUAAUAUUGUUAUUGCCCAGAAGGUCAUACACUCUAUGAAGGCUAAGAAUAAAAGGUAGAUGGCUAUUAAAAUAGAUCUUGAAAAAGCUUAUGAUAGGUUACAGUGGGAUUUUAUUGAUUUUUCCCUUCAGGUUGCUGGCAUAUCGAAGUUCUUUAGGAAAGUGAUCAUGUCAGCAGUUUUGAACUCUACAAUGCAGAUUUUGUGGAACGAAAUUCUAACUCCAAAGUUUAAGCCUUUGAGAGGCAUUAGACAGGGUUACCUGUUAUCCCCUUAUCUGUUUAUGCUAUGUAUGAAAUGGUUAGGACAUGGUAUUCAGUCAGCCAUUUCUAGCAGCAAGUGGAGUCAUAUCAGAUUAUUUUGUUCAGGACUUAAUUUAUCCCACUUGUUCUUUAUAGACGACUUGGUUAUUAUUUCUAAGAUGGAUUUGAAGCAUGCUUUGGCCCUUAGGGAUAUCCUUGAAAAUUUUUGUGUAUCUUUGAUCAUCGGGUUAAUGCUCGGAAAACUAUUAUCUUUUUUUUUCUAAAAGAGUGGACAUUGAUCUUGGUGAUAGAUUGAGCAACCUUUUUGGGUUUCAAAAGGUACAUAACCUUGGUACCUAUUUGGAGGUGUCGUUAUUCCAUGAUAACUCACUUGCUCUAGUUUGAGGUUUGUGGUUGAGAAGGUACGAAGUAAACUAAAUCAAUGGGACGCUAAGUAGGUGUCACUAGCAGGUAGAAUUACUCUUGCUUAAACUAUUUUUCUUUUAAUCCCUAACUAUUUUACGCAGUCUAUGCGGACUCCUAAAGGUAUAUAUAUGAUGAAAUUGAACACUUGGUAAGACAGUUUGUAUAGGGUUCUUCUAAUGGUGUAAGGAAGAUGUCACUGGUUGACUGGGAUUCUAUUUGCCAACCAUGUUCUUGUGGUAGCCUCGAGUUUCUUUAUCUAGAGGAUCAUAAUUCCUCUUUUUUUAUUAAAGUUGGAAUUUAAUCUUGUAUCCAAAUAUGAUAAACUAUGGGUUCAGGUUCUCCAAGAAAAAUACUGGAUAAUGAAAAAGGCAUCCAAAAAUAUAGCGCAAGGAAACUGUUUAGCUAUCUGGAGAGUCAUUGUUAAGGUAUGGCCUUUAUUGCGUGAAAACUUAGUUUGGUCUGCAGGAACUGGGAACUCUAUACGUUGUUGGAAGGACCCUUGGAUACCUAAUUUAGGUCUUUUGAUAAACUAUGUACCUACUCAUAAUAACCUUAUAUCAAAUAAUUUGUUGCAUGACAUGGUAACUAGAGAUGGGGUCUGGAAUCUGAACUUGUUUAGAGUAUGGUUGUCGAAGGAUAUUAUUCAAAGAAUUGUUAGUAUUCCCCCUCCGUAUUUCUUUGUAGGGGAAGAUAGAAUUAAUUGGAUUAGCACUUCCACUGGGGCUUUUAUAGUGAAAAGCGUGUAUAGAUCACUUUGAGAGAGUUCUUGGCAUACUAAAGAUAGAUGGUAAAAGGUUAUUUGAAAGUUUUUGGGACCUCAACGUAUUCAACUAUUUUUAUUGUUAGUCUUCAAACAACACUUUCUAACAAAUAUGGAACGAUUAAGGAGGAGUAUCGCUCAACAGUUACGAAGGAUACAUAUGAGAUUACAAUAUAUACAACAUUAGAGGAUAAGGCACAUUCCAAGGGAGAGGAAUCAAGUUGCAGAUCGUAUUGCAAAAAUGACCACGACAAUAAGUACAAAUAUGCAAGUGUUUGAAGACAUUCUUGAAGAUCUACCACUUGUUCUUGAAAUUGAUCAUGUUAGCUUAAUAUAGUUAGUAUGUUUUCCACACAAAAAAUAUUUCUUUUAAAUUUAUUUAAUAAUGAAUAUAUGUGAAGUCGUAAUAAAAUUUUAUUAUAAUACUAUUAAACACAUGUUCGAUUCUUGAGUUGGUAAUGUGUAAUUCUUUUAUUUAAAAAUGAUAUAAAAGUAUGAAAAAGACAAAUGUAUCAUCGUAAUAAUAUUAAUUAUAAUUUAAAAGAAUAGGUGUUUUUUUAAUUUCAUGAAUGAGUUGGUGACCAAAUUAAAGGUGACACCUAGAUAGAUAAUUAUGUUAUAUUUCUUUAAUUUCAUUAAUGAGUUGGUGGCCCAAUUAAAGAUCACAUAAUAUAUUUUUGGUAUAAGAUAAAAAGAUAAUUUAUUUUAGGUCGUAUUUAAUCAAUUUAUGACUAGCAACAACUAAACAAUUUUCUAUCACACUUGAAAAUAUGUGGUACCUAGUAAUACGAAUAAUAAAGAAAUAAAAUAAAAAAAAAGUUGAAUGAUUCAACUUUGGAAAGAAAAGCUCACGUCCAAAGUAUAUUAAACUCAAAUCUCUAUCCUUUACAAUGCUAACCUAAUUCAAAGUAAAAUAAAAAGGCUAAAGCAAAAUUCAAUUUUUAAACUACUAAUGAAAAUACAACUCUUAAAUAAACUACCAUAAUCAAUCAAUCUAAUUACAAUAUAUAUCUAAUAAAUAAAUAUAAAGCUUAGUUAAAAUUUUAAAUUAUUUAACGAGUAUUUAAACUUGUAAAAAUAAGGACAAAGUUGAACGGACAACUUAGUUUAUUUAUAUUAUAUUCAUGUUCACUUUCUUAUGUGUUAAUUAAAUAAAUCAUGUAUGAAUAAUGUUUCUAAUUCUAACGAAAUGAGAGUUAGCUCAAAAUACAUGUGUUGUGUAUAAGCCCAAAUUAGGCCUCUUUUCUCAUUCACACCACAUGCUUUGCUAUCCUGCACCAUUCUUCACACACUCUUCCAUUUGGUCCAGUCUUUUUAGAUUUGGUUAUAUUGACAAAAUAAAUUUUAUUUUAUGGUUUUUAAAUAUUAUUCGAUAAAUUUUCAAAAUAUAUUUUCUAUAAAAUAUAUUUUCAAAGUAAAUAAAAUCCGACCAUAUCAAUUCAAAUCCUACUCCUACGAAAUCAAUUGCAUGUGGUUUUCAAUCUCAUUUUCCAAGAAAAAAGACCGGCCUGCUUCACAAAGCCCAAAGUCAUCACCUUUCCUCUACAUUCUCAGAUAUUAAAAGUGGCAAGUGUAAGGUGUUUACUUUAGUGGGCAUAGCAACACACUUUAAGCCAGCUGAUCAACAAAAUAUACAAUACCGCCAUUAAACCAGCCCAGUUUGUUGCUCAUUUGAAGGAAUUAACUAUUAAGCCACCUUUAAGCUUCAACACCAAUGUCAUCAAAAUAUUCAUCCAAAAUCUAUUCAGCCUCUAACUAAUGGAAUGGAAGAACACCCUACACAGGUCACCAAGAAAGGGCAAAUGGUGAAAAAUUGCUCAAGAAAACUUUUAUUUUUAACUUCUAAGUUUUUUACUUUUUUCUCUUUCUAUGUUAUAUCAAAUACUUACAAACUAUUUAUAGACUAUUAUCCUUAAAAAAAACAGAAAAUAUUAAAAUCUAAUAAUAGCCAACCAAUGACUCUGGACCUUUCAUUCUCCAAAUAAAAAAAAUUCUAAAUUAAACCCAUUAAAAUCAUAUUUAACGUUUAAUCAAUAAAACUCCCCCGUAAACUUAAAUGCUUCUCCCAUCCUUCAUGCUGAUUAAUUUCUUGCAGUUGUCAAGUAGUACCAUCAAUAGCGGUUUCGUGAAGAUAUCUACAACUUGGUCCUGGCUUACCACGUGCACUAAUUUCACACUUCCUUCCUUUACAUGAUAUCGGAUGAAGUGAAAACGAAUGUCAAUAUGUUUGCUUCUCUCAUGAUUCACUGGGUUCUUUGCUAACUCAAUUACUGAUUUAUUGUCAACUGGUAUCUCAGUCGCACCGAGUUGUUGUUGCUCCAACUCGUCUAACAAAUUUCUGAGCCAUAUAGCAUGACACACACACCAAGAUGCUGCCACAUAUUCAGCUUCACAUGUCGAGAGUGUCACAAUUGGUUACUUCUUUGAAAGCCAAGUAAACACCGUGUUACUUAUAAAGAACACAUAUCCCGAUGUACUUUUUCAAUCGUCUAAGUCUCCGUACCAAUCACUAUCAAAGUACCCAAUCAAAUUGUAAUCUCUUACAUUUGAAUAGAAUAACCCGAGUGACAUUAUUCAUUGGAUGUAACGUAGGAUUCGCUUCAACACCUUCCAAUGUGAAUAAACCGACUCCUUCAUGAACCGACUUACAAUGCCAACACUUAGCGAAAGAUCAGACUUUGUACAGUGAGAUAGCUAAGACUUCCCACCAAACUUCAGUAUUUGAUCGCGUCAACUCGUUCUCCUCAAUUGAAUUUCGAGAGUUUUACACCUGGUUCCAUUGAUGUUGAUACCGGUUUGCAAUAUACCAUAUUGUAUUUCUUCAAAAUUUCCUUUGCAUAUGUCUCCUAUGACACAAAAAUACCUGUCUCUUCUUGUCUUACCUCUAAACCAAGGAAAAACUUCAUCAAUCCAAAAUCUGUCAUCUUGAAUUCCUUCAUUCCUCUUCAGGAAAAGGGCAUGUUCAUAGGGACAUUGUUUGAACCCGUUCUCUUUGAAGUAUGUAUCAAUACGUAUUCCAUGCUCCUGGUGCUUGCUUCAACCCGUAAAGUGUCUUCUUCAAUUUCAGCACCUUCUUCUCUUCUCCACUUUUCAUGUACCCGGAUGGUUGUUUGAUGUAGACUUUUUUUCGAGCACACCAUUCAAGAAUACCGAGUUGACGUCCAUUUGAAAUAUCGGUCAUUUGAAUUAAGCCACUUGUGAAAAGAGCAAUCGGAUUGUCUCCAUUCUUGUAACGGGAGCAAACAUCUCGUCAUAAUCGAUUCCCUCAUUUUGUUUGUAUCCCUUUGCAACAAGUCACGCCUUGUACUGUUCUAUCUCGCCUUGAGCAUUUAUCUUUCUCUUGAACACCCAUUUCACACCAAUGGGCUGACUUCUUUUCGGCAACUCCAUUAACUCCCAUGUGUUGUUGCGGUUAAUUGCUUUAAUCUUCUCGUUCAUGGCAGUUUGCCACUUAUUGUCUCGCACCGCCUCUUCAAAACUUAUAUUCUCAGAAUCUGCCAAAAGACAUACAAUGUGUACUUAAUUUGUUGAAUCAUACAAAUCUUGCAAACUUUGCAUUUUGGGUUGUUGCGGUUCAUCUUCAUCAUCGAUAGUUUCAGGAUUUGUCGGUAUGAUUGUUGGUGUAGUGGUUGAUGAUUCUCCAUAUUUGAUGAUGACCUCCGUUGAGUUAUUCCAAUCCCACUUGCUUGCUUCAUUAACAUGUACAUCACGACUCACCACAACCUUCUUGCUUAUCGAGUCGAGUAGCUUGUAUCCAUUUUUUUCACAUCAUACCCAAUAAAAAUAAAUCUUUUGCUUUUGUCUUCCAGCUUCGUUCUUCGCUAAUCCAGCACAUGUACAUAGGCCUCACUACCGAAUACUUUGAGAUGAGAAACUGUCAGUUUUUGUCCGCUCCAUGCCUCUUGUGGUGUUUGAUCAUUCAACUUCACAUGUGGACAACGAUUUUGCAUAUAGAUGGCACAUUGCAUGGCUUUGGCCCAAAAUUCCUUCGGCAUCUUCUUGCUCUUGAGCAUUGACUGAACCAUGUCGAGAACAGUAUGGUUCUUCCACUCUGCCACACCGUUUUAUUGGGGAGAGUACAGUGCGAUUAGAAAUCGUCUUAUGCCUUGCUCCUCAUAAUACUCCAUGAAAGUCGUGAAAGUAUACUCGCCACCUCUAUCGGAUCGUACAAAUUUGAUGUGUCUACCAGUUGCCUUUUCCACCAUUCUACUUUGAACUUUUUGAACACCUCGAACACCUCGGAUUUUUCUUUCAUAAAAUAAACCCAUGUUUUUUGUGGGAAAUCAUAGAUAAAGGAAAUGAAAUACCUUUUACCGCUAAAAGAUUCGAGGGUGAUUGGUCCACAUAUGUCGGUAUGAAUCAUUUCGAGAGGUUGCUUAGCCCGAUAUUCUACCUUCUUUUGAAACGAAGUUCUCGCAUGCUUGUCGAGCACACACUCUUCACAAAAUUUUCCCUUAUAGUCCAUGUCAGGUAGCCCGUGCACCAUGUUCUUCUUCACCAACUCGUUUAGACCACCAUAAUGUAGGUGACCAAAACGGAGAUGCCACAACGACGCCUUGUCUUCUACGUCAACUUGCAAAUAUUUUUCUUGAACGCUUCUCAAAUUCAACUUGUAUUUGCGAUUUCUCCCCAUUUCAACUCGAGCGACCAAACGCCCUUACUUAUCUUUCAAGUGUAACACCUGGUCUUUCAUAAGUACCGAAUAACCUUUUUCCAUGAGUUGUCUCAUACUCAAAAUGUUGCUUUUGAAGUCUGGUACAUAAUACACAUCUUGGAUAGACCCAACUAACUCAUCCUUUUGUAAAUAACAAGCGGUACAUUGGCAAAAUGUUGAUUUCUAUUUUUACAAUUUUUGGUGAUUUUUCAAAAUUAGACUACUGCUGCUGUCCAAAACAGUUUUAGUGCAAAACGUUGAUUUCCAUUUUGCCCCAAAUUUCACAAUUCAUACAAUUCAGUCCUUGCUCAAUUAACCCCUCAAUUAAGAUAAUUUUCUCAAUUAAUACUUUUUCUAGACAUUAUAAGUUAUUUCAUAACUAUUGAAAUUCAGAAUUUCCACAUAAAACCCUAACUUCAAACUCUUUUACAAUUAGGUCCCAAACAUUCACUUUCUAUUCAAUUCUUUCAAUAAAAUCAGCAUAUAAACAAUUUAAAGCUCUAAUUCCAUGCCAAAUCAUCAUAUACUUCCAGCACAUAUUCAUAGCAACUUUCAAUUUCUUUCAUAGAAUAAAAAAUUAAUGGAUUCAACAAGUGGACCUAGUUGUAAAAGUCACAAAAACACAAAAAUUUUAAGAAAUAAUCAAGAAUUGAACUUACUUGAAGUAAAAAUAUGAAAAACCAGCUUAAGGGAACUCUUCCAUGGCAUUUUUGCUGAUGAGAAUGCAGAAAAAUAAAGAGAAAUCUAGAUAAUUCCACUUUAGUCCUAGCUUUAUUAAGUAAAUUUUGUAAUUUUCCAAAUUUGCCCUUAAUUCUCCUUAUUUUCAUGCUGAUUUCAUGCCCUUGCCGUCCAGCCCAAAGAGACCUUGGGUCUAUUUGCCUUUUAAACCCUCUUUCUUUUAUCAUUUAAGCAAUUUAAUCAUUUCCCACAAUUUUGCAUUUGAUACAAUUUAGUCCUUUUUGUUCAAUUAACUAUCAGAACUUUAAAAUUUCUUGACGAAACUUUAGUACUAACUUAUUAGCACUCCAUAAAUAUUUAUAAAAAUAUUUAUGGCUCCUUUUAAAAUUUUUGAGUUCUCUAUACCUCGUUUUCGAUUCUAAUUAUUUUAAUAUUUAUUUUUAGUAUACUAUUCACUAUUUCAAAAUUUUUCCUAACUUCACAUUUAACUUAUACUCACUAAAUUAAUAAUAUUUCCUACUCAUUUGUCAGAUUUAGUGAUCUCGAAUCACUGUUCCGACACCACUGAAAAUUAGGCUGUUACAACUCUCCCCCCUUUUAGGGAUUUUCGUCCCCGAAAAUCUUAUCAGAAGAAGUUGCUUUCAACACUCAUGAAACACUUUUACUAACUUCUCAGAAUCACAAUUCAGUUUAACCUUGAAUAUUAUUUAUUUAUUUAUUUAUUUAUUUUCCAGUCACCUUUGAACUCUAGAAUAAAUGUUGGAACUUAUUGUCAAAAUUCUAAAUUACCCUAUUAGGAACACAUAUACUUAGCUGAUCUAUCAAAUAAAAAUUCUGUACCUACUGAAAUGAUCAUACAGAUUUUUCUUUGUCAAAUGAUUAACCAUAAACUAAAUAACAUUUUCCUUUCUGAUGUUAAUGACAAUCCCAAUUCGAAAUCUAUAGCCAUUCUAUCUCAUAUCACACUAGUAUUAUCACUGACUGCAAUAAUCUUGAAUGCUCUUGAUGUUCGGCUUACUUGCUAACAAAUAGACAUGAACUUGAACUAAAAAAUAUUAUGUAACGCUCUUGCAAUCACUAGCACAUCUAACACACAAGAAGAUAAUAAAGAUCUUGAUAAUUCAUCAGAGAAAGCCAGAAGAAAAACAAUGUUUACCGAUUCUGGACUUCCAUCAUAACAAAGAUAAUAUAUUUCCCGUAUGUAUAAAAUAAAAUCAUAAUCAGUAGAAACAUAAUAUUAAUCUCAUAUAAUUUUUUUCUUUACCAUCGACUUCAUUCCAACAUGUUAGAAUAAAAUUCCAAAAAGAUGAAAAAAUACUGAUCAUAAACCGACCAGACAAACAGGGCUUUCAUCUAACUUCAUUGUUAGCUAGCAUUCUCACAACAUAAGAACUCCAUCAAAAACUGAACAACCACACACAUAUAUCUGAGGAUAAAAGAAUAUAUAUAAUACCCAGAAAAUAUCAUCAUAUUCAUUUCAACUAUAACUGUCACACACACAGACAUCUUUACUACUCAAUUAUCAUUUCUCUGACUAAUUCUAUCAUUAUGAACUCUGCAUCAUUCCAUUCGCUAACGAAAACCAAUUCGGGAAAAACUUCAGCAAACACAUACUUUAGACAUCAUAUCUGAAUAAGUCGAUUAGCCGAGGUUAACUUUUUCUUUAACCGUGACAUUACGUAAUCUGAAUGAUCUUUAAAAUAAUAUGAUAUCUUUUUCAAAUCUGUAUUCACUUGUCAAACUAUUUUUAACUCCGUCUGCAUUAUUAAUUAUUCCACUACUGUACUCUUUAGUUUCACACUUGUGAACUAUUCAACAUAAUUCUCGUGAAUUUUCGUUAUAAAAUACCACAUUGAUAAGGGGGUGAGGUCGUAAAGCCUCUAACUGGACUCUCAUAAAUACACGCAUAUGACUUAGCAUUUAUCAUCAACAUCAUAUCCUCACAAUUACAUAAUUCACUUCAAGCAAAUUAACAUACAUAAUUAUGUUACAUGAACUUUUCAAUUAUCCUUUUCAAACAAGUGUAUUUAAACAUACAUUCCAUGAAUUUUGAGUAAGUUUACUCAUAGCAUUUACUUAAUCAAACAAGGUAGGCACAUAAUAUCAUAUGAAUGUCACACAAACAUAGAUGCGCUCAUCACAAGAUAAACUUCCAUUUCAUUUCACUUUUCCCAUAUUUCUCGAUUUAUGACUAUUUCAUUUCGUAGCUCAUCACAUCCAUAUCAUGAACUCUUCUUCAUACCUUUCCAAGUUUCGACUCAUCAUAAACACAUUCUUACUCAGACACCUUAGUGUCACUUUCAACACUUUAUGAAAUAGCUCAAUUGAAAAGUAUUUUUGUCUAUAUGUAAAACAAAGAUUAGAUCGGAUCAUACACAUCACACUAUCACAGAUUUAUAUGGCAUGUAUUUCUAGACACUUUACACAUCUCAUUCGUUCUGAGAAUCGGUUAAACCGAAGCUCUGAUACCAAUAAAUGUAACACCCCCUACCCGUAUUCUGAGCCUAAAAUAGGGUACGAGGUAUUACCGAACAUAAUAUGAUCAAUCAUGUAAAAAUCAGCCAUAAAAUUUCUUCUAAAUUAAAAACUUUCAUACAUAUGUUUAACGUCCGUUAUAUGGGCCUAUGGGGCCCAAAACAUACAUUCAGGGUGGUUCGGGACCAAACCGUAAACAUAUGAAACUUUUGCAACACUUAGAAAUUUUUCACACUUUGGAGAGUCACAAGCCCGUGUUUUCAACCCGUGUAAUUCUCUGUUUAUAACUUCAUCACCCUUGUCAGUCGUACACUUCAUAUAAAUAACAAGAAACGCGUAUGGGCUCAAUUCUCAUUAAAUUUCUCAUAUAUAUACACAAUUUCACGUUAUGUAAUCAUACAACAUAUAUCAGCCAUAUCUCUGUAAUCUAAAUAUAUUUUCAUAACAACUUAUCUUGAUUUCAUACUAUUUCAUAUUUAAGCUUAACUAACCAAAGUAUUUGAAAUAUCAUCUUUAUGCAAAUAGUACACAUGAGGUAUAUAAUUCUAUAAUUAUGAAUAAACACAUUUAUCAAACAUUUUCCAUAUUCAUAUAUCAAUGUCUCAUGUCUCUAUAUAUCAAUAACCGUCAUUUUCAUGAAUUUCGAGUUCAAUUUCAUAAUUGUUUGUCUCGUGUUCAAUUUAUUCCAUGUCGGAACUUUAUUCAUUAAAAUAUUUGAAUUAUCAAUACAUAUGGAAAGUACAUUCAAGAUGAACAAUUAUAUAAUCACAAAUGAAUUCAUUUAUCAACCAAGUUCUAUACUCAUAUCUUAUCAACUCGUACUUCCUUGUAUCACAUAAUUCCAUGUAACAUUUACCAAACUUUGUCAAAUUAGUGAACGUCUUACGAAAUUGAGUACUUCUUUUUCUCGAUGCCAUAGUUCAACUAUGGUCUUACACAUUUUCACAUAAUGAUGCCAUAGCCCAGCUAUGGUCUUACACAUAUUCAUAUAUCGAUGCCAUAGCCCAGUUAUGGUCUUACAUGAAUCACAUAUCUCACUGAUGCCAUAUCCCAGAUAUGGUCUUAUACAGUAGCAUAUAUCACACCGAUGUCAUAUCCCAGAUAUGGUCUUAUACGGAAAUCACUUGUCACUUGUAGCCGAAGCUACCACUAUUCACUAAUCAGGUAGCCAACCAUUUUUCACUGGUCAGGUAGCCGGAGCUACCACUUUUCACUGAUCAGGUAGCAGAAGCUACCGCUUUUCACUGAUCAGGUAGCCGAAGCUACCACUUUUGACUUGUCAUUUGUCCUUGAUCAGAUAAGUGUAGCCGAAGCUAUCACUUACCACUUUCACUUGUCCUUGAUCAGAUAAGUGUAGCUAAAGCUAUUACUUAUCACUUUCAUUUGUCCUUGAUCAGAUAAGUGUAACCGAAGCUAUCACUUAUCACUUGUUACCAUGGUCCAACCAUGGUCUUUUCCUUCAAUUCAUCUUGUCACUAACUGAAAUGCUCAAUUGGAUCAUUUAUUCAAUUUUCAUGCUUUUACAUUAUUCACGAUUUUAUCAUCAAUACAUAUGAAAUAACACAUCAUGAAAUUCAUAAAAUUAACAAAUAAUCACUAAAAUUUAGCCAUAUAAACUCACAAGUUCAAUUUUUGUAUUAUAACGAUAAUCAUAAUUUCAUAAUAAAUAUUCCAAAUAAAACAUUAUAUCAUUUCUAAUCCAACAUUUAUCGACUAUAAUCGAGCAUGUGAUCAAUUUAUACACGAGUCAUCCAUAUAUUUUUUCCUCCUCCUCCUGUCCAUCCACAUCCUUGGUAUAAAUAACACACUUGUAAGUAACCUUAUCCAUAAUUUUCACUAAUUACUUAUGUGAAUAUUCAAGCUACCCAUUCGUGUCAUAGUCACUAAAUUAUUUAUAUCUGAAGCUACGAAACUCCAAAUUAAGAUCCACUAAUUUUCCCUGAAACUAGACUCACAUAUCUUCUUACCAUAAAAAUUUCAUAAUUUUUGGUUGGUCCAAUUAAUACAGUUUAUUCAUUGAAGUAUCCCUUGUUUUGCUGUCUAACAGUUCCGACCCUUAUUCACUAAAAAUUAAUUAUCUCAUCGUACAGGAUUCGAAUGAUGUUCCCGUUUGUUUUUCUUGAAAAUAGACUCAUUCAAUAUUCUAAAAAUAUAAAUUUAAGCCCCUAAUUAUUUUUAUCCAAUUUUUGAUGAUUUUGCAAAGUCAGAACAGGGGAACCCGAAAUCAUUCUGACCUUGUCUCACAAAAUUUAUCAUAUCUCAUGAUUUACAAUUCCAUUGAAACUAGACUCAAUAAGCUUUAAUUUCAUAUUUUAUUCAUCCUCUAAUUCCAUUUCUACAAUUUUUGGUGAUUUUUCAAAGUUAGACUACUGCUGCUAUCCAAAACAGUUUUAGUACAAAAUGUUGAUUUCUAUUUUUCCCCAAAUUUCACAAUUCAUACAAUUUAGUCCUUGCACAAUUAACCCAUCAAUUAAGAUAAUUUUCUCAAUUAAUACUUUUACUAGACAUUAUAAGUUAUUUCAUAACUAUUUAAAAUCAUAAUUUCCACAUAAAACUCUAACUUCAAACUCUUUUACAAUGAGGUCCCAAACAUUCACUUUCUAUUCAAUUCUUUCAAUAAAAUCAGCAUAUAAACAAUUUAAAGCUCUAAUUCCAUGCAAAAUAAUCAUAUAAUUCCAGUACAUAUUCAUAGCAACUUUCAAUUUCUUUCAUAGAAUAAACAACUAAUGAAUUCAACAAGUGGACCUAGUUGUAAAAGUCACAAAAACACAAAAAUUUUAAGAAAUAAUCAAGAAUUGAACUUACUUGAAGUAAAAAUAUGAAAAACCAGCUUAAGGGAACUCUUCCAUGGCAUUUUUUCUGAUGAGAAUGAAGAAAAAUAAAAAUAAAGAGAAAUCUAGAUAAUUCCACUUUAGUCCUAGCUUUAUUAAGUAAAUUUUGCAAUUUUGCAAUUUUUCCCUUAAUUCUCCUUAUUUUCUAUGUGAUUUCAUGCCCUUUCUGUCCAGCCCAAAGAGACCUUGGGUCUAUUUUCCUUUUAAACCCUCUUUCUUUUAUCAUUUAAGCAAUUGAAUCAUUUUCUACAAUUUUGCAUUUGAUACAAUUUAGUCCUUUUUGUUCAAUUAAUUAUCAGAACUUUAAAAUUUCUUGACGAAACUUUAAUACUAACUUAUUAACACUCUGGCUCCAUUUAAAAUUUUUGAGUUCUCGAUACCUCGUUUUUUAUUAUAAUUAUUUUAAUAUUUAUUUUUAGUACACUAUUCACUAUUUCAAAAUUUUUCCUAACUUCACAUUUAACUUAUACUCACUAAAUUAAUAAUAUUUCCUACUCAUUUUUCAGAUUUAGUGAUCUCGAAUCACUAUUCCGACACCACUGAAAAUUAGGCUAUUACACAUAUGGUUACUUGCAUCCGUGUCAAGGUACUACACCAUGUUGUUGUUGGUGUUGACUUCGUUGUGUGCCAUCAAGAGAAAACCUUCUUUUUCCUCCUCAUCUUCCGUAGGUAGGUUGGUUGUCUCUUCUACCUUUUUCUAAAUGUGACAUUCUUUUGCGAAUGCCCGGUCUUACCACAAUUGUAACACUUAUUAGAGUUGCAAUCCUUCGCAUAGUGACCAUAUAUGUCACACUUGUAGCACUCGAUGUUGGAAUAAUUCGACCGACCGCCUCUUCCACAACCGCGUCCUCUUCCACACCAAUUUUUUAGUUUGAUUGCUCAUUCUCCUCAUGAUGCCCUUCUUGACCGCGACCAUUUCCUCGACCUCCACGACCAUGCUAUCUACCUCGAAAGUUUUGAGAAUAGAAAAUCUUUCCAUCUUUGAUUGAAGCCUUGGUUUGAAGUCCUUGCUCGAGUGUUCAUGUGUCUCGAGAAAACCGACAAGCUCAUUGGCUGUGAGCGUUGCAAGAUCCUUUGACUCUUCUAUGGCAUAUACGACAUUCUCGAAACUGUUAGUUAACGACCUCAAAAUCUUCUCUACAACUCGUGCAUUGAUUAACGCUUCUCCAUUUCGGUUGAGUUGGUUCACCACGGUUUGAACGCGCGUAAUGUAGUCGGAGACACCUUCCGAUUCCUUUAUCUUCAUACCUUCCAACUCGCCGCGAAGAGUUUGAAGGCGGACUUGUUUAACCCGGUCGGCUCCUUUGUACACCUUCGCCAAAAUGACCUAUGCUUCUUUUGAAGUUGUCGCACUCACAAUGUUCUCAAAGCCUGACUCGUUAACAGCUCGGAACAACAUGUACAAUGCCGCCUUAUCUUUCAAUCUAUCUCUUUCAAUGUCUUGUUUUGAGCCGCUAUAUAUCCUGCGAUAGUUGUCGGUUCUACAAAACCUUUUUGAACCGCCUCCCAACCAUCUUGAGACUCGAGAAGAGCCUUCAUUUGGAUGUUCCAAUUCUCGGAGUUCACCUUCAUUAGUCGAGGCAGCGACACAUUACUAGUCACUCUUCAUGGCUUUGAUACCAAAUUGAAAAAUUGCUCAAGAAAACUUUUAUUUUUAACUUCUAAACUUUCUUACUUUUUUCUCUUUUUAUGUUAUAUCAAGUACUGACAAACUAUUUAUAGACUAUUGCCCUUAAAAAAAUUGAAAAUAUUAAAAUCUAAUAAUAGCCAUAAACCAAUGACUCUUAACCUUUCAUUAUCCUAAGAAAAAAACUUUUAAAUUAAACCUAUUAAAAUCACAUUUAACGUUUAAUCAACAAAUGGCUGCUAAAGCUGACAAAUUGAAAUUAGAUUGGAUUAAAAAAAUAGAGUGGCAUCAUGGAUAGGUAUUUGAGAUUCAAAGUUCAUUGGUGAGUAGGGUUACCAGGUCAUUUAUACAAUACAACCUUCCAUUUAUUUCUUCAAUCUCACCAUCUCUUUCAUCUUCUAACCUUUUCCAACCUACGCAUCUAAACCACCAGCUUUACUUACUUUAGAAUCUGAGAAUUUUUGUGUGUUUCAAAUCUUGAUCCGAGCACUUUGUCAUUUCGGAUCGAGACUAAUAGUAAACCUAAUGACUUGACUAUGAUGUAAUAGGUUUUUGGCUAUAAUCCUCGGGGAGUGGGGAUCUCAUACACCUAUGGUUGAGGGUUUUAGAACAUCUUGUCUUCGUAUAUUAUUUUCUAAUGUAUAGUGUCGAAACCAUUUUUUUGGGAAAAACGGGGAUCGACUUUGGUUUUGAAGAUGAAAACGAACAUGGUAGUCACCACCAAUCUUUUUGGUUUAGGUGCAAUUGGAUCACAUAGAAAUUUGGUCGUUUUAAUAAAACAUUUUGAUUUACUAAAACAACGAUUUUGGUCUACGAAGUUUGAGAAAAUGGGUUAAGGAGUCGGUUACAUACGAGGAAGGAUUAGCACCCUCGUAACGCCCAAAAUUGCACCUAAUUGAUUAAUUAAUGUCUUGAUGUUUAAAAUUUGAAAAGGUUUUGCAAUAAAUUUUAAAAUACUAUCCCUUGAUAUGAAUGUUUGAAAAACUUGAAAUGGAUAAUAAGAUUCUCUUGUUUCGAAUAAAUACGAUAUCACAUCCAACACGUAGGACACGAUAUUUCAACCUUCGAUACCAAAAUCGUCUCAUAAUUUCCAAAAAUUUGUGUAUUGAAAAUUUAAAAAGGAUAUUCGGUCGUUUAGUCAAGCAAUGAAUCGAAACCCAACACGUAGGGCACAAUUUCUCGUAAUUUCCAAACGCCAAAUAUUGCCUUGUCUAAAACUCUCAAAAAGAAUACAAUAGUAUGAAACAAUUAAGAUUCUCUUGUCUCGAAGAAAUAAAAUAUCACAUCCAACACGUAGGACACGAUAUUUCAAACCUUCGAUACCAAAAUCGUCUCGUAAUUUCCAAAAUUUAUGUAUUGAAAAUUUAAAAAGGAUAUUCGGUCAUUUAGGUCAAACGAAAUAAAUCGAAACCCAACACGUAGGGCACGAUAUUUCGAAACUCCAAAAAACAGAAUAUUGCCUUUAUUUGAGUAAAAACGAGUGCAACAUUUAGCAAUGUGCAUUUAUUUUGUUUGAAGCAAAACAAAUAUGUUGGAGCAUGAUAUAUGGUAUGAUUUGAACUAGAUAAAACGAAAUAUAUCAUAAAGCACGGAGUAGUAAAACGUAAAUUAGUUACAAUGUUCAUGAAUGUUGACAAUAUGGAGAUAUAAAUAGUGAUUUCUAGAACAUGUAAUGACAACAUUAAUGAGCAUAAAAAAACAAAUAAAUAAAAAAUAACUUAAAAUAGAUAAUAAGAUAAUUUUAAACAAAUACCACGUAUAUAAGGCUUAAAAUAGAAGCUAUGAAAACAAUUUAAAGUUAGCAAUUCGAAAUAAUUAAUAUACAAAAAGAUUUUAAAAAAAAUAAGGCAACUUACAAUAUAUAAUAUAUAAUAUAUAAUACUUUGAAAUUACAUGCAAAAGGUUUAAAACAUGUAAAAGAGAAUCUUAAUAUAAGCAGUAUACAUACGAUAAAAGGUUUAGUAUAAAUAAUAUAUAAAAAAAUAAUAAUGUAUAAAGAAUUUAGGAUGAAUUAUAUAUGAAAAUUCAGAAAUAGACAAUCCAUAAAAGGAGUCUAAGAAUAAAGUAUAUAUAAAUUUAUGAUAAUAAAUAGUCCAAAAAAAAUAAAAAAAUAAUAAUAAUGGUAAUAAUAAUAAUAUGUGAAAUGGGUUUAAAAUAAAUAAAUAAAACAAUGUAAAGUAAUUAAUAUAUAUAAAAAUAUUUAAAGUGACAUACGUUAAAACAAUUUGAGAAGAAUACUAAAUAAAAGUUUAAGAAUGAAUACUAUAUAAAGUAGUUUAAACUAAAUAUUAUACGCCAAGAUUUAAAAUACAUAACAUGUAGAAAUGAUUUAAAACAAAUGACUUAUAUAAAAAACAAUAUCUAAGGUAGAUAAUACAUAGAAGUUAAUAGUCAAUAUACAACAAGAUUUAAAAUAAAUAAAACAAGUGAAUUUAAUAAAACUGGUAAAGCAAAUUUAGAACACGGUUCAUAAAACAAAUCUAAAGAAUUAACAUGUAAAUCCAAAAUAAAUAAUGUGCGUAGAAAAUGAAUAAAUAAACGAUGGAAGAAAUAACAAAGAAAAUCAAACUGGAAAUAAAAUAAAAUUAAAAGCAAAAAUAAUGAUAAAAUAGAAGCACGGGGGUCGAAAUAAAAAAAUGCAAGAUUUGAGGACUAGAUGGGCAAAAAUCCAGCUUCUAGACACGUGUCCGUUAUCCAUUGCGUCCAUGCGUUUGGGACCAAAAUGAUAAUUGAGCAGAUUUGUAGGGCCGAAUUUGAAAAUAAAAGGAAAAUAAGCAAGCGGAUUAAAUAAAGACAAAUGAGAACGUGGAGGGACUGGUUUAUAAAUAACCCUUUUGUAUAUUAAUAGGAGAACGUGUCCGUUUUGUACUGCUGUUUAAACUAAUUUUUUUUUACUCUUUUUUUUCUCCAAAACAAACAGAAAGAGAGUAGCCCCCUCUUCCCCAUUUUCGUUGGUGCUCUGCUAGGGUUUCAAAAGAAACCCAUCAUCGCCAUCAUCGCACAAAGCCACCGAGGGCGGUGGCUGGAGCCACGCGAAGAUCAGAUUUUCAGCCCUUUUCAAGAGAGCCCGAAAGCAAAACGCCUCCCAAACUCAGAAAAUGCGAAAGAAAAGGCCUCUCUCUUUUCCCUUUAAGUCAGAUUCUGACGACGGAGAAUAGAUCCGUCGAGGUGACACGGGAUUCCGGUGAGAUUCCUUCUCUUAUUUUUUAAAAAUAGAUUCGUAAUAGAAACAAAAGAAAAAUAAUAGUAAUAAACGAAAUGAAACCAAAAAAUAAAGAAAGAAAAUGAACAGUCAACCUUUUGUUUUUUUUUGAUUGCUCAAUUAUGCUGUGUGUACAAUCGUUUUUUUUUCUCGGUCUUAUACAGCCGAUUUACAAGUCAUUAUUUUUCUAUUGUUUAGCCACUGUUCAUACUGCUCUAAUUUGAUGUUUCUCUGUUACUUUUUCUGCUGUUGUUUCUUUGUUGCCCUUUUUGUUCUUGUUUCUGUUUCUUCCUUUUUUGCAGGCAAAGUCAACGAGGCAGGAGCUGCUAUUUUGGUGCAAGCAGUACCAGGGGCGGUGGUUUUCGGGCGAUGAGCGUGCUGACCCAGCAUGUGGAAGCAGCGGCGCAACAGGAAACCCUAAGGUUAGGGUUCGGGUUAAUUUUUGGGCCACUGAGCCUUUAAUUUAUUUUGAUUUAUUUUUUGUGGGCUGUAGUUUUAAUUGAUUUUCUUUUAUUUUUGUUUUUGUGUCUGAUUUGGGCUUGUUGGGCCCGGGUAAACUUGGGUUCUUACAUAUCGAAUAUUUGAGAGGCAAAUAUUGUUAUUUAUAGAAGGCCAGAUAUUCGUUUCCAGUGAACAAAUUUUACAAUCCACAAUAUUUAACUUGACGACAUCCUCGCACAGAUAUAAAAACUCAACAACAUUAUAUAUUUUUACUCUUUAAAUAGUUGGUACAUUAUUAAAGCGUUGGUAAAGAGUAAAAAAAAUAUAUUUAAAAGGCGAGCGUAUUAAUAGUAUAUUUUUUCAAUUCCACAAAUCAACUUAAAAUAUUGUCAUUUAUUUCAUUUCUUUUAUAUAUUUAAACCUUACAUUCACUUAUCAACUUUAAAUCAAAUAUUUUCUCAUAUUUAAAGUAAAAAGAAGAAAGAUGUUAACCUUCUCCACCACUUGUGGAAUUUGUUUCUUUAAUUACAUACUUUGGGAAAAUCCAAACCCAAAACUGAAAAAGGACUGCAAUUACCAAUCCAAUUUAUUGCUUGUAAUCCAUGAAGUAAAAACUUAAAAUUUCACAUUACUUAAAAGUAAAUUUUACUCUAACAGAAAUACAUAUAAGUUAAUAUUGCACGUGUCAUGUUUCAUGGAAAAUUAAGCAACCACCUCUUUUCUGUUUUUACCUUAACAAUUUAUCCACUUCACUAUAUAUAUGAUGGGUGUGUUAGAAAAUAUGAUUUAUAUUAAUAAAUACCUUUAUUUAAUUUUAAUUUAAGAAAAAGUGUAGAUGUAUGUAGAAGAGAAUCUCAUGUUUUGUUAUAGCUAAGUUUGCUUCAAUUUUAUAUUAGAUUUCUCCAAUUUAUGUUGUCUUGUUCAUUAAUUUAAUAAUUUUUUAGAGCAUGACAUAUGUAUUUUAUACUUAUAAAAUUAUAAUAAAAUAAGUAUCAACAGUAAAUAAACAAUUCGAUUUUGAAUUCAAAAUCUGACCCAUGAUUCUAGCUAUAAUGGGUAAAUGAGGAAUUUGUGGUAUCUUCCUAUCUUAAUUUAUACUAGUUUGGUUUAUAUUAGAUAGAUAUUUGUCUAUAUCGGAGAGAAUUAUGGAUAAAUUUAGGUAUUGUAUGUAUAUAAAAUAAUACUCUUUAAUUUAUUUCAACGUAUAAUAUUCAAAAGGGUAAAUUAUGUCAUUAGUCACUAAAUUAUGUGUAAUACCCAAAUUUUGCCCGGGGUCCAAUAAAAUCACAGCCCAAAUACCAAAACUCAACUAAAACCCAAAAUACCCCAAGCCCAAAUACAACCAAAAAUAAAAAUAAAAAAUAAAAAAAUGAAGAAAAAAAAAAAACCUAACCUCUUCAGCCUAUGUGCCGCCCUAAGCGCUGCCCUAUUCCUCUUUUGUCUACCACUUAUAAAAAGAAAAGAUAGUAAAUAAAAAAAAAUGUUGUAACAAGGCUAUAAAAGCCAUCAUAAAACCAAAUGUAAAUGAGAAGGAGGGAUAAAAAAAAACAUUGUAUUUUCACAUAGAGAUCAAAAAUCCAAAGCAAAAAAAGGUUGAUUUUAAUUUCUUGUAUUCCCUUUGUUCAUUUUUCAUUUUUGUUAUUUUAUUUUAUUUUCUUUAUUUUAUAUAUAUAUAUACAUAUACAUAAUUUAAUUGAAUUACUUAUUUGAAUUCCCUUACAAACAUGUUUAUAUUUUUCCCUUUAAAUCUAUUUAUGUAUACCAUUUAUUCCCCAAUUUUAAAUUAUACUUUGUUUAUUUCAAACACUUGCCUAUAUUACUAUUUUUUUUAUAUACAAUGUUUAUAUUAAGUUUUAUGUUUUAUGUAUCUUGUUAAUUGUUGGUAAGUAAAUCUUGUUUCAAAUUAUUUUGUAUAAUUAUUGAUUUAUAUUAUAUAGUAUGUCAUUCUUAUAUUCUUUUGUAUAUUCUUACAUGGUUGCAUUUAUAUAAUUCAUCUAUGUUACAACUUGUUAGUAUGUACAUUAUUCGUUUUAAAAUUUUAUAUAGGUACACAUUACUAUUGCUAUGCACAUAAUAUAUAUUAUAUACAUAUAUACAUUUUUUGAAUCUUGCUUUUUAAAUUAUUUUGCAUAACACUAACUUUAAAUUUCCUCUUAUAAUACUUAUUUUGAAGCUCAUUUAUAUGUUAAACUUUAUAUACUUUAUGUAUUAUUUAUUUUUAUUUUUUAUUUAUUUUACGAUCUAUUGUAAAUUUUUUGCAUGUAUUAUCUGUUUAUGUAUAUAUAUAUAAUUUAGCUACUUUUAAAUUGUUCAUUCCAAGUUUAUUUGUUUUAACAUUUUUUAUUACCUUUUAAAAUAUUUUUCUUAAAAUAGAUUUUUAUUUAACCAUUAGUUAGAAACGUUAAAUAGUGUAUGUGGUAAGAUUAUUAUCAUUGGGCAUGUUUCAGUUUUCGUGUUUGUACUUUUCAAAAAAUUGUAUAAUAUAUUAUUGAUAUAUGUUUUCCAUAUUUGUUACUUUAUUUUGCAUCCCCAUGUAUUAUAUUAUGAUUGAGAUUGGCAACCUAUUUGCUUGAAAUCAACCUUUUUGCCUGAAAUUAUUCAUUUCAUUUUCUUUGCUUCAAAUGAAUCGAAUAAAUACAUUGCAAGUUUGUUUCCAUAAUCACUCCCUUUUAAAAAAAAUAAAAAAUAAAAUUUCAAAGCGAGGUAAUAUUUCGUGUUUGGUAAUUCGAGAAAUUGUGCCCUAACGUGUUGGGUUUCGAUUUUCUGUUUGACCAAAUAAAUAUUCUCUCGAGAUUUCGUCCAUGUUUCUUUCAAAUUAAAAAUAAGGCAAUAUUUCGAAUUUAGGAAAUUUAAGAAAAUAGUACCCUAACUUACUAGGUUUCAAUUUUUCUUGUUUAACCUAAAUAACUAAAUAUCCUUUUGAAAUUUCAAAAGCAUGAGUUUUGGAAAUUAUAAAAUGAUCUUGUAUCGAGGAUUUGAAAUGUUGUGUCCUAUCGUGCUGGGUUGCGCUUUUUCAUUUGUUCAAAACAAUUGAAGAUCCCUUUGGAAUUUCACUCAUGUUUUCUAAAAACUCUUUAAAAUGAAAGAAAUGUUCGAUGUUUGGCAAUUCGGGGAAUAGUGCCCUAUCGUGUUGGGUUGCAAUUUCCCGUUUGUUCAAAAUAAUCGAAUGUCUCUUCGAAAUUUCACUCAUAUCUUCCAAGGUGAGGCAAUGGUCAAUAUUUGGAAAUUCGAGGAAUCGUGCCCUACUGAGCUGGGUAUCGAUUUUUCGUUGGACCAAAUAGUUGAGCAUCCUUUUGUUAUUUUCGAAUUAUAAAUUUUCGAACGUCGAAACAAGAAGAAUUUUGGCAAAGGACUCGGGUUAUUCAAAUGUUAUUAACAAGAACCACAUUUCAAAAACAUUUUUAAUUUUAGACAAAAGGACAGUAUUUAAUCGAUUUGGUACCAAUUUUGGGCGUAAUGAAGGUGCUAAUCAUUCCUCAUACGUAACCGAAUCUCGAGCCUAUUUUCUCAUAUUUUUGUAGACCAAAAUCAUUAUUUUAGUAAACCAAAAUGUUUUAUUAAAACAACCCAAAUUUCUAGGUGAUCCGAUCACACCUAAAUAAGAAAAGAUUGGUGGCGACUCCAUUUUCGCUUUCCAAAAAGUCGAUCCAUCAUUUUUAAAUCGAAAAAAAAAUGAAAAAAAUGGUUUCGACAGCUUGGCGACUCCAUUGGGGACAAUAAGAGAGUCAAGCUGCAAAAUUGAUUAUUUUCUGUCCUUUUGUUGAAAAUUUAAAAUUUGGUUUUUAAUAGAUAAUCCUUUUACUUCAUUCGUUUUGGUUCAAGUCCCAUAGAAUAAUAUUGCAUGGCAUUGCAUGACCAUUGUGGUCACACAUUCUAAGUUGGGAGUAAGAAACUAUGCUUUCGUGAGGUUUUCACCUCCGUAUGGGCUAGUAGAUUGCUUUCGGGGUAUAUCCGUACCUAUGAUUUCGUGAGAUUUUCAUCUCCGCAUGGUCAUAGGGAAAUGUAUCCCCCCGAGCCGAACUCGAUCUAUAUGAGCCUAUAAUGGGAAGGAUUGAGGAAUCUGCUGGUUCGGGUACCUUAUCUCUAAAACUAAACUGCAUAUAGUGAACCUCAGGAACCAUCCUUGGGUAAAGCCGCGCCGAGCCUUAGUACUUACCCGUAUAUGCGUCAUAAUAGCUAUUAUUGACACUAACUGGUGUUUUGUUUUGUUUUGUCUUUUUUGCAUCACAUUGCAUACUAAAGGACGUGUUAAUCCGUAUUCAAUUACUAAGUUAGAAAAUUUGACAUGGAGAAUGAAUUUCUUAGUAAAGUCGAGGAUAAUGCGGCCGUUCGUGCAUGGUCGAAGAGGCUGCAAUCGGAGAGAGGGGAUAGCUUGGCAGAAGGGUAUGUAUCUGAGCUGCAAGAUUUCACUCGCGUCAAUGUAGUACAAAACGAGCUGCAAGAGUUGAGAGACAUUUGGGCUAGUUGGAAUGAAGGAAUCAAGCAAUUGUUUUACCAAAAUUAUGGUGACGUAUCCUACCUGCUAGACAUUAGAGUGGAUAAAAAUUUGUUCCAAGCCUUGGUACAGUUUUGGAAUUCUGCGUACAAGUGUUUCACUUUUGGAGAAACGAAUUUGGUACCUACCAUGGAGGAAUACACUACUUUGCUCAGGUGUCCCAAAAUUCAGGUCCGGAAGACUUAUGCUCGGGUUUUUAGUAGUCAGACUUUCGUGAAGAAACUGAUGAGAAUUUCUGGGAUGAGCAAGCCUUGGGUCACUACUCGGAUUCAGCAAAAAGGAGAUAACAAAUGUAUCCCUUGGGAGAAUUUGCAAGAUUUGAUCUUGACACAUCCAGAUGAAAGAAAGAGGGUUGAUAUAUUUGCCUUAAGCAUCUACGGAUUAGUGAUAUUUCCUAAGGCUUUGAGGCACGUGGACGAGGCAGUCAUUGACUUGUUUGAUCGCAUUGAAAAGGGAAUCACACCGGUACCGGUAAUAUUGGCAGAAACGUUCAGAUCUUUGAGCUCAUGUCGGAAGACAGGCAAGGGGCGAUUCAUUGGAUGUGCACAAUUAUUGAUGGCAUGGUUCUACAGGUACUUUGGAAGGUAGACAAAGUUUCCUAUCGAGUCUUCUCCGAGGGUUAUUUCCCAUUAAAAGAAGAAGCAGGUAUACAGAAGAGAGAGGAUAUCUCAGAGGAGAAGUGGAUGGACAUUCUUCAGAACCUCAAGGAGGGGGAUAUCGAGUGGAGAGCUUAUUCGAUGGUUCCUGACAAGAUCAUGUACUGAUGUGGUAACUUCGAUUGGGUGCCAUUGUUAGGAAUUUGGGGAGCUACCGGGUAUACUCUAUUAUUAGCCUUGAGGCAAUAUAAGUCGAGGCAGUUUGUACCCACGACCUAUGGGCUUGCUCAUAGUGAAUUCUCAUUUAAAGGUGCUCAUUAUAAGAAGAGAGUUGGGAGUUAUCGGAUGCUUGGAAGCAAACUUGUUGGAUGAAGAGGUUAGCCGUCGGUUCCAUGGUAACGCCCGAGUAUAGCGAGUGGUUUAAGAAGAGGAUUAAUGAUAAUAUUCCUAGGCUAAGCUUGGAGAAUGCUCGACCUAUCAGGGAACAAUUACAUGUGGCCUCAUCAGAAUUGGAAAUUAUAAGGCAAGAUUUCGAGAAGAAGAAUUCGGAGCUCGGGAAGAAGAUCGAACAGUUAGAAGAAGAGAAGAUCCAUCUAAGGUUAGACACUGAUGUUCAGAGGUCAGAGGCUGAGAAAUGGAGAAAAGGAAAAACAAAGGCCGAAGAAGACCUAAACAGCUUGAAGACGGACUACAAGAAGCUGCGCCUAUCUAUGAGGACUGCGGUUUAGGUAAGACUUCCGAACAAUGGCGCCACGAAAUUCGAGAAGAAAAAGCCAAUACCGAUCAGUGGGAAAGAAAAUUUCAAGAAGCUCAAUCACGAAACGAAGAUUUAGAGAAAAGUCUAUCGGUAAGCAGAAAUGAGUGAGGGGAAUUAAGUGCUAGAGUGGCAGAACUCGAGAACUCUCUGUAUCAGUACCGAAACCGCAACAUCGCAAUAGAGUUGAGGGCAAGCUUGAGCAAGAUAGAAGAAAUGAAAGGAAUGAUAGAAGAGUUAGAAGCGUCCCUGCAGAACUGCGAGAUGCGGAUCCAGUUUUUUGAGGAAAACGAGGAUCAUUGGAAAGAGCAGCUUCACCAUGCGCAAGACCAAGUCAGAAACAGAGAUUACCUUAUGGGGGAAGCCAUAACCCAGAUUCGGGAAGUAGCAGACUACUUGCAAACUUUAGCGGUUCAAGCGGACACACUGAGCGUGAAGUAUGAGUUGGAGUCAGACCGUGGACAAGAGCUGGCCUCGUUGCUUAGAAAAAUUAGGACUUUGAGUGUUAGAGCGAGAUGUUAUCUGUAACUCGACCUUAUGUAAAAGAUUUUAUUUUCUAAGGGCAAUUGAAUCAAAAUUGAUGCCUCCUUCGCAUUCAUGCAUUUGCAUUACAUCAUAUCAUCAUGCAUUAAAGGCCAUAAGAGUUUUUUAA
rnacentral:lncRNA from 1 species